GUGGUUUCUCUCCCUUGGGAGGUUUACCAAUUGGGGUUGGUGGCUUGUGUUCUGGGAGUGGUUUCUCUCCCUUGGGAGGUUUAGUGGGUGACUUGUGUUCUGGAGGUGGCUUCUCCACCGGAGGCUUGUGCUCCGGUGGUGGCUUCUUGGUUGGAGGGGGCUUGGGGUAAUCAGCAAGAGAUGGGGGGGUGAGAACCACCACUCCAAGGAACAACACUAGCAAGUAUGUGGGAGACAUUUCUGAGUUUGAGCUGAUCAGAUGAUGCAAAACUAGAAGAAUUACGUGACCUUUUAUAGCAAGUAGCUCCCAAUACCCACAUGACACGUGUUACUGUGACCAUAAAUAUUAUAGGGUCCAUUUGUGCCCUACCGGGUUGAAAACUUGGACGCUUGGCCGAGGACACACCGAACUAUGGAGGACUAUUGACGUGUGAUCACAGCUUUUGGAUUUUUCUUCCUGUGCAGCUGUCUAGCGGUUGGCAUUAUUUUUUUAAUCUUAAAUAAAGGCAUAGUUAUAGAGUACAUUUAUAUAUCUUCAGAUAGCCAUUAAUAUAUUUGAUGAAGAAAGACAAGUGCAUACAACAUGUAUACGGCUUGCUUCAAUCGAGUACAUUUAUGAUCAGUUUUCCAGUGCAAGUAAACCAGUUUUUUGUUCCACAACUAUUUUGGAAUCUUGUUUAUCAGUUUCUAUCAUUAUAAUGUCACAUAGGCUGCAAACUUGGGCACCCAAAGAUCUAGUUGGGCAAAUUUGUUUCAGAAUUUCAAUGGUGGAUUCAGUAAUUGUUAAAAGGUGUUUCUUCAUUAAGGAAAGAGUCCUGUAAAAAUAUUGUUAAAAGGUGUCAUAGAAACUAUAAUAAUUAAAUAACUUCUUUUCCCCGUGGGUGGUGUUUCUUCUGGGGAUACCCAAAAUGAGUUCAGAUUAAAAUUGGUUCGAGUCAAAGCUGUCUCUUUUGUCCAGAAAUCAACUAUUUUGCGCAUUGCAUGAAUCGAUAAAGAAAAAAUGAAAGCCAAAUCACACCUCCCCUGCAAAACCUAAACCCCGGUUGCUAACUUUCUAUGUUUCAGUCCUAUUCAUACAGGAAUAUUGGUUCAAGUUUGAGAAAAAUGGCAACUUACCUAGGGAUUACUUGGUUGUGGUUUGCGACGACUAUUUACGCAACCAACCAUGAGUUUGACUUUAACGUCAUGGGUUGAAGCCUCCUACAAUCGUGUAUGAUAGUUCAAAGCUCGUAGUAGAAAUUAUACAGGAAGGAAGAAACCUCCAAAGCUAGCUCCAAAAGAGAAUUAUCACAUCGAUAGCUCCAGAGAUUCCCAAGGGGACUGAAUCAAAGACAAGUUCCUCACUUUUUCUUCUUUUGAGGCCAAAUAUGAACCAAGGAUCACACGACCUCAUUCAACUUCAUAAGUUUGAUUUCAUGCAGUUGAACACUGGGUGAAGGCCAUGACAAGAAUUGAUUAAAAAAUUCUACCACUGUUUUAAGUAAUGGAAGAUUAUUAUCUCUGAUUGGCACCACAACAGCACAUGCUGCUAGAUCUUUCUAGACACUCCAUGCAAUGAAAGUACAAUGGAUCUUGUAACGAUAGAAACUAAGCCAUGCUACAGUACUAGAUGACGAGGUAAAACUAUUAGACAUGGGUGGCAGCCUAUAUGGGAGGGACACAAGUCUAAUUGAUUUGCAUUUCAGCGUUCUAGAUGGGUAUGUUUUGGAAGAUUUGUUCUGGAAAUACCGCACCAAGUAGGAUUCUUUUUUCUCUUGAGUGGGUCCACUUGCAUGCCAAUUAUCGAGUUGAAAAGUAGAGCACCUACCUCGUGCUCGUGGAACCGAAGGUCAGUGAAGUGGGGCUCCUUUUGGCCUCUUGUGUUUCUGUUCCAACCAAGGCGGCGGAGGGAAAAACAGCAAUAUGUCUCCGCUAAAUAUCAACGCAUGAUAGCGAAUGAGGGAGAAAAAAAGUAAUUGGCAUCUCAAUCUCACAAACUUGGUACAGUAGUGACAUUAAUAGUCUUCCACAUGGUUUUUAUUUUAUUUUAUUUUAUAUUUUAUAUUUUCCAUUUUUUUAUUUUUUUGUAUGUCAAGGCUAAUGAAUAAAAUGCGUUAGCUUGUUUUGUGAUUGGAACUGCAAAUGUCCAAAUUGGAGUUUCUCCAUUUCUCAGUUCGGAUGGUUAACUUUAUAAACAAGAUAUAGGAAACAUGUGAACGUCUUGAGGAACAAUUCGAAUUAUUGAUUAGAACUCCUAGGUUGAGUUCCAAGAUUUAAAUCAGACCCCUCUAGCAGCUUCAGGGGUACCUAGCAAUUAGAACAUAUUAAUGAAGAUUUAGGAUUUAGACUCCGGAAUACAAAUUAAUAUGUAUCUUAUGCUCUGACUAGCUUCCCUGCAUAUGCACAAAAUGGAGAUGACCCAAAAAAUAGCAGAAUCGCCUUAGUUUAUGUGGUUAAGGUGAUUCUCCGGUUAAUAUCCACAUUGGCUCAUUAUGCAAAUCAACUGAGCUAUUUUUUUUUUAAUGUCAAAUAGGAACUCCUAAUUAACCUAACCAUUGGCCUGUGUAAAUUGAUUUCACAUGCACAAUGUUGUAGUAGAAGUCCACAUUUUGAAUUUUAUUUUUGGAAAGGUAAGGAAAAUGAAGCAUUGUGUAAUUAUAAAAAUAACUUCAUUGGAAUUCACAAGGUUCACCCAAAAUGGAGCUACAUCCGUAUUCUAUCUUACAGUAGACUAUAUAGAUUGUACAAUAGUAAAUUGCAAAUACAAUUAAUAAGUCUUGUGUUUCCUUACUAAUAAUCCUUUGACAUAAACAUUGCAGCACUAAGGUCCUCUUGGGCAGACACCUUGCACCCAUGAGAGCACUAAGAGGAAGCAAGGCGGAGUCAUGGGUGCAAUGUCAUGACUUGUUGCACUAAGAGAGGCUUGGUGAUGGCAUAGUGCUGCAGUAGCAAGAAUGUUGCCUUGGCAGGGACACGAUCUAGGGACAGAUGCCAAGAAAGGCUUAGCACUCACAUGAGUUGCACAAAGAUGAAUGAAAUAGAACAUCAAAGAGACAUCUUGGCAAGCUCAAGAAAGACAUGUGGGUUGGUAAAUGAAUGGAUGCAAGAGGCAACAACAUGAGGAGUUUCAAAUGGAUAGGGAAUGAGUCAAAGACAUUUGAAAGCUACAAGUUGGAUUCUAAUUACGAUUGCAAUUUGAGUUUGAGUAGGAGUUUAUAUUAUGAUUGUAAUUGUAGUAUGAGUUGGACUAGGAUUGCUUAUCCCUAGUCAAAAUAGGAGUUGUUCAUGCCACACCCUAUGAAAAGAGUUUGAGUAGGGACUAGGAUUGCUUGCUCCUAGUCAAAUAUGGAGUAGGUGGUGCCACACCUAUAAAAAAAAAAGGGACAACAUGAGAGAGAGAGAGAAUGAAUUCACCAAAGAUAUUGUGGGAGUUUUGCUUUGUUACAUCUUGUAUUAUUAUUUAGAAUAGUAAUAAAAUACAAGUUGGGGCUAGAGCCCCAUAAUCUCGUGUGCCUUUGUGGGUUAUUCUUUAUUUGCCAUCUCGUGUGGAUUGGAUUAGAUUGAUGAGGCGAAAUAUUAUGUGGGAAAUUUAUGUUGGGACACUUACCAUAACCAGGUAAAAUCUACCAAGUCUUUUGUAAUAUCUUCUACAAAUAUUUUAGACCAGUUCUUCACAAAACAUCAUAAUAUGUUUUGUGUUUCUCUUGGAUUUUGAGUUGAAUUGUCUUAGAUCAAUUGAAUGCAUCUCAAUAUUAUUAUCUUGUUUGAAGGCUUGAUGAUUUUCCAUUUAACUUUACUUUCUUUAGGUUAUGCUUGAUUCCUUAAAAGUACUAAGGAAAACAAAAAAUAAAAAAAAAUAAAAAAUGCAGAGGGUUAGGACAUGUGUUAUCUAAUUGUCCUAUCCAAAGAUAUUAAGAAAGUCAUGUAGGAAAGUAAUUGAAAACUAGGUCAAGAAAGGAGCAAAAGGGAAUUGUUUUGGUAUUUUCUUUUUUAUUCUUGAAGGUGGCAGAGCUAAAAUUUGAGAAAUCAAGCAAAACAUACUGAAAUUACAUUGAAAGAAAGAAAAUGGUAGUUAAUGUCUUGCAGUACAUGAUAAGGACUUCAUGCAUGUAGUGUGACGACCCAUGUCUUGGACUGAUGCCACACUCACGGUUACACUUAUACCCUUGGUUCUCUCUUUACUACCUUGGCUAACCUAGAUCAGGCUAUGAGAUAGGCUCCUCACCACACCAUCACUUGCCCAGUAAUUAGUGACAUUUUCAAGCAAUGAGGUAACAUGGUGACACCAAGAGGGUUUAUCCCUCGCCCCAACAAGUCUAGACUCGGUCUCAAAAAAAUGGAGAAAAAUGAGGUGUCGUUAUGCAGAAAUACAACAACCAUGCCUUCCUUAUUACUUAGAUUCAGAAUGUGAAGGUGAAAUUGAGAAACAGAAACUCUUGAAACCAGAAUGAAAAUUGAUACUUUUACGAAGAAUUACAACAUUAGAGGAAGACUACAUUCUUCCUCUAUAUUCCUACGUUUCUACACUACUUCUACUCCACUCCAUAUUUCUACAUACAUCUUUAAUCAGUUUUCCCUCCUUUAUAUAGAGCCAUCUUCACACAAAUUCCGCAAGGUAGAAAAGAGGAAUGAAACUUGGAGCAAGGUUCGACUACUGGUUGUCGCUUGUCAAGGCUGGAAUUGAACUUUUUUUCUUGGCUUUUCUGGGCAUAGGUAGUAACUUGUGGUUCCUUUUUGGAAUGAAAAUGGUACAGCUAGAACAUGUGGCACUCUCUUGUUGGAUUAUGUGUCAAACAUGUGGCAGCCAUCUAGUGGAGAUUAUUUCAAUUUUGGGAUGGAGAGUUGGCAUCCAAUUGCAAAGAAAUAUGACAUCUACCAACAUGCAAUGUAAACCUAUAUAGAUCAUAUGGAGAUAGAGAGGAAACAUAUAGAAAUGGAUAUAUACCUAGAACUAGCUUUUUAUUAAAUGAGACGGAGAGCCAACAAUGAAGGAAAAUCAAAAUUUUUGGCUCAUAUCAAAGAAUUCACAUUGUGUUACCCUAGGUUUUCUUAAAGCUUGCACAAAGCCAAAAAGCACACAAAAAAUUAUAUUUUCUAGCUCUCUACCUUGGAUGGUCUCUUGAUCCUACUUGGAGAUGUGCAUAAAUAAAAGGAUUUGAAAAUGACAAUUGACUAAGUAUGUAGUCAAUCAAUUACUCAUUAAUUGACUAGUUGAUCAAUUAACUUUGCAACAUCAUAUGCAAUCCUAAUAGCUAGUCAUCUAAUCAACUAGGUAGUAAAUCAAUAGGCCAAAAAUAUGUUUAUAAUGACUAUUUUGUACAAAAACCACCUAUAUGGUUAAAUAUAAUGCAUUUCAUUUAUAAAUCUUCUAAUUCUUGAAUAACGAUCCUAUCAUCCUUUGAAAGUUUUUAUUACACCUUUUAUACUUUUGUUCUAAAACUUACACAUGUACAUCACCCUUAAUUGUACCAUGAGAACCUAGCUUUUUUUUUUUUUUUUUUUGUAAUUCAUCAAAGUUAGCUUUUGUAUUCAUUACUGUACUAUUUUUAUUGUAACUUAGAAAGCGAGUGUUUUCAAGUGAGUGAAAUUGACUUAUAAAUAUUGUAAAGAUUCAUUGAUGUGUAUCUUAAACUAAGUGUACAAGUUGAAACAUUUGCUAGUAGAUUUUCUCAAGAUUUAGAAUAGAGCUUGAGGCUAUUGAAAUAGGUGGGGUUGCACCAAACCACAUCACAUUGUUGUUUGCACCUUUUUUUCACUCUCUUUUACUUAGUUGCUCUAUAUUUGUUGUCUAGUAAUAUCCUAUAGGCUUGAUGGGUUAGGGAGCAUCCCUUUGUGAAAAAUUUUCAUUCAAUCCUUAGUUGUAUCACGCAUAUAUAAAAUGCCUCAUUGUUUUAAUGGUAUUCAGUCGUGGCAUCACAGAUAUGGGCAUCUAAAUUUUAAAAGUUUGAAACUUUUAUCUAAAGAAAAUAUGGUGCUUUGCCUUUUUGUAAAGCAUGUUGAUGAAAUCCAUGAGAAUUGUGUACUUGGGAAGCAACAUCGAGAUGACUUUUUUUUUUUUCAUUUUUUAUAAUGCGACACCUAAGUCCGGUUUCUAAAUGCUGAAGUGAAAGGGUAGGUAUGGACCAUUGAAAUCUGAUCACAACUUUUGGCCUUUUCCUUUCUCUGCAGCCAUGUUGUCUCUUUUUUCUUUUGCAUGAUUUUCUUACCUAAACAGAAUCAUAGACUUGUUUAAUCUCUAAAUGGUAUUUCAUCCAGCUUUAAGCUACUGUAUUAUAUCUUGGUGGAGGACUUUUAAGAGUGAAACCGACAUAGAGCACAUGCAAGUGGGUAUAUGGGACAUGAAAUUUCUUCUUAUAAAGACUGCAUGGUUUUUAUAUUAGAGUUGUUGAGGCGCAAUGUAUUUAGCUUGUUUUGCAGUUAAAUUAAUUGGAUAAGUAGACAUUGUCGUUUCUAAAUUUCCCACCUAAGAUAGUGACCUUAUCCUUGACUGCUUGAUGAGAUACACAAACAAUUAUACCUUCAAAAUCUACUGUGAAGUGCUUCAUGUAUGUGUGAAGUAUUAGAAAUUUCUUUCUUGGCAACUUGUUUUUUCUUUGCCCUCUACUGAUAGGUUUGACUCAAAUUAAAUUCCCUGUCAUGCUAAUUAAUUUUCACGUGCAUGCUCAAAAGGAUCACGUCAACUCUGGUUUCUACUAUUCAGGUCCAUUCCCAGAUAAACUGGUUCAAAUUUGAGAAAAUGGCAACAGCCCUUUAGUGAUGUUGGUUUGGAGCCAGUAGCCAAACCCGCCCUGAGCUUUACCACUAAUGUCAAGGGACAAAGCCAUUUGAACAAAAACAAUAGCUUCAAGAGACUGAAUCGUGGAUGAAAUCUGAUCCACAUUUCUUCUCAUUUUGGGAACAAAUGAGAACUUAACUACAAAGAUUCUACUGCCUCAUAGUGCUUUUCCUGAUCUAAGGUUGGUUCGUUUCCCAAAUUGUGAGGUACGUGCCAUUCUCACGCUCAGGAGUGUAUCCACGUGGUGGACAUAAGAUGGUGGCUUAAUAUCUGGUGUCGGUGGCUUUACUUUACUAGGAGAGUAGUGUGUCUUCAUCUCAUUCACUGCCGGAGGGUGGCGUAAGCAGUGACGCUAAGGUGGGGCACAGUCAAUAUCAUUUGCAUUUGACCAUUAUAGUUUUCUCCCGGCUUGAAAGUAACCUUAUCGUGAUAAAGGAUUACUAGCACUAGUUCAGAUGACAGUCAUGUUAAAUUCGGACCAUGUUUGUGUCACAUUAUCAGCAACCAUGUGUUUAUGGUUCAUGCUAUCUGCAACUAAACUUGAUAUAUAACCACGUGAACUUCAAUCUAAAUUCUGGAAGUACUCUUGUGAUAGAUGGUGCCUGUCUGCAGAGUCCAUCAAUUGAAAAAUGGAGUGAGUGUAUCUAUAAGAGGGAAGGCUUGGCAAAUGUUCAGUUUUCUGGGAACUCAACAAGGAUCUAAAAUAGAUUGUUUUCUUUGCUGAUUUCAAUGGUUGAAAUUUGAGAAGAUUGUGUCCACAUAACACAACUAUUACUGGUCCUUCUGUUGCAAUUUAUCCUCUAAGGCUCUAACAUGUCUUCCAAUUCCCACUUCCCUGUUACUCCAGGAAAGCUAUUUCUGUCAUUGUGAAGAAGAAAAGAGAAUGUACAUAUCGAUGGUUUUAAGUGACUGGGGCAUUCAUAUCAGGUGGUCUGCAGCCAUAUAUGCCACUUUGUGAAGGUUGGAACAGUCAAUCACCAGGCUAUAUUAGUGUGGCCCAGCCACUUCAAUCAAGGACAAGUCUUCAUACUUAAAGUCAAAUUCUGCCUUUAGUCUCAUUAUAAAUUGCUGUUUAAAUAUUAAGCAAACAUUUGUUUAAUGCGAUUAAGACAGUACUAACUCAAUACUUGUUCUAUUUUUGGAUGCAAAUGCUUGAUGGUUUCAUCAUUGGAUGGGAUAAAGGUGCAUUCAUGAUUAUGAAUACUUGUAGUUAUAUUUUCAUUCUCUUUUUUCUCAAUGAGACUUGUUGGCACAAUUUUGCUGUUCAGAAACCUACCUCUCCAUCGAAAAUCAGUUGUGAUUGAUAGUACUGGAUAUAUUCAAGAAAGCUAAAUAUAGAUAGCACCAAAUAUUAUCGAUAUAAAUAGCAUUAACAGCGUACGUAUGUCUCAAUGCUCAUCAGCUAUAAGCAACGGGCAAACACUUACUAUGAGCAACUUGCGUCAAAAUUCCAGAAUAGGACAUAGAAGUGACAGAUCUAUAUAUAUAUAGAACACUGCAUAUGAGUCACAAGAAAGGAAAUUACGGGUGCAUAGCAGCUCUUAUUUUACAUCCUACUCAUACUGAUCAAAGUCACUCAGUUGGGAUGGGUGGGAGUAGGAGGUUUGUGGGGUGGCUUGUGCGGAGGAGUUGGCAGCUUCUUUCCAGGACCUGGUUGCUUCUCUGCUGGAGUUGAAGGAGGCUUAAUCUUCCGAGGUGGCUUGUAUGAGUCUUCAGCAUUCUCAGCAGGAGGGUGACCAGGGUUGUGACCAUAAUGUGGUGGCUUCUCUCCCUUAGGUGGUUUGCCAACUGGGGUUGGUGGCUUGUAUGAGUCUUCAGCAUUCUCAGCAGGAGGGUGACCAGGGUUGCGACCAUAAUGUGGUGGCUUCUCUCCCUUAGGUGGUUUGCCAACUGGGGUUGGUGGCUUGUGUUCUGGGAGUGGCUUCUCCCCCUUGGGAGGUUUUUCCAAUGGGGUUGGUUUGUGUUCAGGAGGUGGCUUCUCCACUGGAGGCUUGUGUUCAGGAGGUGGCUUCUCCACCGGAGGCUUGUGUUCAGGAGGUGGCUUCUCCACCGGAGGCUUGUGUUCAGGAGGUGGCUUCUCGAAUGGGGGAUGCUCAGGGUAAUCAGCAAGUGAGGGGUUGGUGAGAACCACCAUGCCAAGCAACAGGACUAGCAAGUAUGUAGGAGACAUCUUUGGGUUUGGACUUAAGACAGUGGAAAACUGCGAGAAUUCUCUAGCCUUUUAUAGCGGGUCGACCCAGUACUCACAUGACACGUGUCAUUAUGACACAUGUGCCAUGGGGUCGAUUUGGGUCCUACAGUGUUGAAAAGUUGGGCAUUUGAGGUGUGAGCACAACUUUUGGCCUUUGCUUUCUCUACAGCCGCCAUGCUUUUCCCUUUUUUCCUUUUCCUUUUGUUUUCCUCCUGCCUCGUGUUCUCAACUAAACACAAUUAGGUUGUUUAAUUGUUAAAUGAGAUUUUUGUCUGUCAAUCAUAUUAUAUCCUAUCAAGAGAGAACAGAGUGUAAUGUAGUACACAUAACACGAGGCAGUAGUAAUUUUAUCAUUUAUUUUUAUAGCUUGGACCACCGCAUUUUUUCUUCUAAAAUAUUCUGUCUUGUUAAGAGACGCAAUAAUACACAAUUUUAUCUGCCAUUCAACAUUUACUGUAAAGUUCUUUUAUCUCUUUGUAGUUCUAGAAAAGUACAAAAUGGAACAUCAUGUAUAUGGUGCCUUCUGUCCUAAAAAAGAAACUGGACAAAUUAUGAACUGCAUGCUAAAAAGAGGCAAAGGAGCUUAAUUCGCAGCAUAAUUAUUUUGGUUUCUAGAGAGCCCGGGGCCUUUUGGUUGGUUUGGGGUCAGAAAAUGAACAUCAUAGGGAUUGUGCCCUUAACUGGCCUUGUUACUACAAAGAAAUUGCCAUAGAAAUUUAUUCCAGGCUGAGUAUCUCCGGAUAGACCCCAGAAAAGAAGAGUCAUAAUGAGAAUCAACCUUUGUUGAGUUUGAUUCCAUGCCUCCAUUGUGUUCAUUUCAUGAAUCUGAUUUGCAUUUAACAUUACAGUUUUGUUCUGGAAACAAUCAAAGGAGCAUCGUUUGCUUCUUGGGUGACCCAUAGUGGUGGGUGGGUCGAUUUGCUUAGUUGAAAAUUGGACAAUUGGCUCCAUCGCCUACCUCUUGGAUUCCAUGCUCGGAUAAAACGACAACAAAUAAAUAUUUAUAACUUACAACUGGGGAAAGGAAAAAAUAGUACUAAAUUCAUGGUACAUGAUAGUGAGAGAAGGGGGUGUUACACUCAGCUAAAGUUCUUUUCUAAAUAUUGCAUGGUGUUUAAUUUUAUGUGUCGGCGCGCGUGUGAAUGGAACCUGCAAAAGUCCAAAUUGGCGUUUCUCCAUUUUCCACAUAGGAUGGUGACGUUAAUAGACAAAGAUACAAUAUCUGUAGACAUUGCUUAAAAAUCGAUGUGAAGUAUUAGAAAUUACAGGCCACUGUACUGGGGGAGCGGCUGCCCCGCCAAAGGAAGAAUGUAGCAAUUUCUUCUGUUAGCCAGGCCUUAGGAUUUAUGCAUGGGAUGCCUAAUAACAAACAGAGAAAAUAUGCUUUUGGGGAAGGUAUCCAACAACAGACACCAUCAUUCAGAUGGUGGGAAGGUAUCCAACAGAUGCCAUCAUUCAGAUGGUAACAUAUAUAUACAUUUAUUAGUGAGUUUUUUUAAUACCUAUAAAAAAAAUAUACACUUUGAUAUUGUGGCUGAAUCCAUUACAUACUCAACUAACCUUGCUCAUUAGGGAUUUGACGUAACAAGGGCAACGUUGCAGUAAAAGCUCGAAACUUUAUGCAGGUGACAUUACAUUUGGUAAAGAAGAGGAAAAUAAGGAAAGCCAUCCAUAAAAGCAAAAUUCCUCAUGGGAUGAAAUUCACAAACUUCAUUUACGUUAGAGUCGCAUCCAGGCAAUUAAUUCCACAUUAGACCGCCUUUUGACAUGUGUACGGAUCUUUUUUCAAAAAUUAUUUAUAAAUAAUUGAUACUUACAAAAAUAAUUUAAGAUUUAUAAAGGAUAAAAAAAUAUUUUCAAAUCUAUGACAAUUUAUAAAAUAUUAAUAAAAAAUUAUCUCUUAAACUUAGUAUAGUUUUAUCGUAUUAAACUUUUAUUUUGAACAAAUAAUUUUAAUCUAAGUUUUAAAUUCUAAAAUUAUUUCCUUAAAAUAAAAUUUUAAAAUUCAACACUUCAAUUGAAAUUGUCUUUUAAAAAAAAUAUCUUCUUAUUUUAAUCCUUAUAAACUAUAGUUGAUUGAAAAUACUAUUGAAGUUCUCUCUUCAAAAAAAGUCUUAUUUUAAUCUUCAUAAAUUGCCCUUGAUUUGAAAAUAAACUUUGGGUUAUCAUAUUUUAAAUAAUAUAUAUAUAUAUAUAUAUAUAUAUAUAUAUAUAUAACAAAUACUCUAUUUUUUUUUUAAAUGAACUAAUUUUAAUUAUAUUUUAUUUUAUUUUUUUAUAUAUUUUUAAUGAUAAACCAAACAUAGAAAAUCAUUUUUCUAAAUAUUUUAAAAUUUCUAAGCAACCAAACAUAAUCUUCAAAAUAAAAGGAGAAUAAGGAGGGACAAGUGAGAAAUGGCGAUUAAAAAAAAGUGUACAAAAGCUCAAUUAAUUUUCUUCUAGUCUUUUAUAUAAAAAAGUAUUGGUAUGUAAAUUAAUAUUUGGAUUUUAAUAGUAUUUUAUUUGUCUUUCUCUAUCUCAUGUAAAAGAGAAUUUAAGAUAUUUCCUAAAGCAAAGCAUUAGUUAUCUGCAAUCAGUGGUGAUCAUGGUCCAUGUCAAUUUCGGACCCAUAUCUUAAAACCGUAUAAUUUGCGUUUCAACAUUACUGAUUUCUCAGAUGUUUCAUACUCCACAGAAGAGUAUUGUUAGUGAAAGCAUUUUGUAACUGUUACUCAUAGUGUUUUGACUCUGGCUCAACAACAUCAGCCAUUGACGGAUUUUCAUACAUGCAAAUCAAAUAGUCUUCUUCCUCCCUUAGGAAUUUCGGUUUAAAUGUUAUUAAGCAUACAUUUGGCUGACAAUUAUUAACCACUUCAUGAUAUGGUUUCUUACCCUUAAUCAAUGGUUUCUAAGUGAAUAUAUGCAGAAGGAAAUCUGAACUGUAGACAGCAGUAUUGAUAACUCUCAAUAUUCUUUAUAUAAGAGAAUAAACAACGUCAUAGUGAUCGUCGCCUACAAGAAAGGUACAUUUCCCAACAAGAUGUAGUGGUGACUGCUACAUGGACGCAAUUAACUCGUAGAAAAGGAUAAGACCAGUGCACGGCAGCUCUUAUUUUACAUGCUAAUUAUGCUAACCAAAGUCACUCAGUUGGGAUGGGAGGGAGAUGGAGGUUUGUGCGGUGGCUUGUGGGGCGGAGUUGGUGGCUUCUUUUCAGGAGCUUGUGGCUUUUUCGGAGCUGAAGGAGGCUCAAUCUUAUGAGGCGGCUUGUACGAGUCUUCUUUACUCUCGACAGGAGGGUGACCAGGGUUGUGACCAUAAUGUGGUGGCUUCUCUCCCUUAGGUGGCUUGCCAACUGGGGUUGGUGGCUUGUGUUCAGGAAGUUGUUUCUCUCCCUUGGGAGGUUUACCAAUUGGGGUUGGUGGCUUGUGUUCUAGGAGUGGUUUCUCUCCCUUGGGAGGUUUAGUGGGUGACUUGUGUUCUGGAGGUGGCUUCUCCACCGGAGACUUGUGUUCUGGAAUUGAUUAAAAAAAUUCUACCACUCUUUUAAGUAAUGGAAGAUUAUUAUCUCUGAUUGGCACCACAACAGCACAUGCUGCUAGAUCUUUCUAGACACUCCAUGCAAUGAAAGCACAAUGGAUCUUGUAACGAUAGAAACUAAGCCAUGCUACAGUACUAGAUGACGAGGUAAAACUAGUAGACAUGGGUGGUAGUUGAUUACUACUCAAAAAGUACUCUUUUAUAGUUUGAAACUAACUGUUUUAAACACUUUUGAGUAGUAGUUAAUAAAUUUUAACUCAAUUGGCACAUUAAGGAACCUAGCAAGGGUUACUAAUAAACUUUUGGCAAGUUUUGGUGUUUUUGGUAGUUAUUCGAUCAUUGAAACAAGCCAAGAAUGAGGGAGAAUUUUGUGAAGUCCAUGGCAAUGCAAGUUAAAGCUCAAAUACACGAAGAAUCCAAGCUUUGGAGCACUACAUAGCCCUUUGCCAAGCCAAUUAGAGAUGCAAGGAACAAAACCAAAGGAAGAAAUCCAACAACCAACAUUUUCGCAUGGUUGUGUGAAAUUUCGCACACCAUGCGAAACCACAAGAGGUAGCCAAAGAAUUUCACAUGGUAUGCGAAAUCUUCUCAUGCACCGACUCCGUUAGAUUUUUAUCUUCAGAUAUUUUGUGUAAUUUCCUAGUUUCUCCUUGUAACCAACCUAGAUAUUUUCUUUUAUAUCUUUUUUUAUAUUUUUUAGGUAACAUCAUAUAUAAGGGGAGAGACAUAAGGAGGAUAUGGAUGUUUUUCAUAGAACACUUGUAAAUUUUCAGUAGUAAGAAAUAUACAAAGCUUUUUGCUAUGCCUUACCUUCUCAUUUUGUUUUCACCUGUCUUUCUAGCCAAACAACCUCUAAGGAUGAUUUCUCAGGGGAUGAGUGGCUAGGUUUUACGUUUCUUGGAGUGAGGGAAGCUAGGUGAAGGACCUGAAUGCAAAGAUGAGAGUUUUCCUUGCUUUAAAUGAAAGUAGUUGUUAAACAUUAAUGGUUUUUAUUUUAAGGUUUAGCUUUAAAUCCCUUAAAAACACCUUGAAUGACCAAUACUUGGUAAGCUUUUCGGAUUCUAUGGAUGCUUAUUGCUAGAUCCAUGGAUGUCUAUUAGUUAUCAUUUACGAGCCUUUGGAAGGUGAUUCAAGGUGAGGGUCUUUAGUGUUUGAAGCCAUUAAUGGGAAGCAAUUACCAUUUUUUCAUGAAUCCUUUGGAUCAAAUCUUAAUUGCUAAAUAUAAAACCGAUUUGGGAAAUAACCAUCCUUUAUGUUAUUAUCCCCAACGCAAGGAGAAGAUCCGGAAUCUUCCCUUUUGUCUAAGGAACCCGAUCCUAGUGACCUAAAGCUCCAAGAGACCUUUUCUUUGUAGUUAACUUCAUUUAUUGUUUUUGCUUAACUUAAAAUCAAUCUUUGCAACCACAAUUCCAUUUUCUUUAAAAGCUAAUUUUUAUAAGGAAAAACACCAUUUUAUUUCCUUCACUAAGUCAACUGUACGAUGAAAACCCAUCCCUGUGGACGAUCCUAGAGCCAUUAUACUAUGUUAGCUAUGCUACCCUAGUGUGAGGUGAUUUAGGUUUUAUAAAUUUUGUUGAUAACACCCAUCUGAGCCAGAAUCAAAUGGCACAACUGAACCAGGGACGAAUCAAAUGGCGCCGCUAUCGAGGAUGGUGCCAAAGUACAUUGACAUGACUUUUGGUGAACACUUGUGAUCUUCAUCACAAGUUUGGUGAUUUUUCUAUUACUAAUUUUUUUCUUUGUUUUUAUUUUAGCUUAUCUUUUAUUUAGUUUUUAGCUAACCUUAACUUUUUCUUAGAAUUGUAUUUCUUCUAUUUUCUUUGUUUUUGUUUCAGUGAUCUUUAGUUGUGCAUGCCCUAUUGGAUAAGAAAUAUUGAGGGAAUACUUGUGAAGAUUGAAAAUCCUCGAGAAACUGAGUUGGAAGUGUGAUUGAACAUCAUGGAUGUUCCACCUGAAGACCAGAAUAGCCAACAUGGUUAAGAGGAUAAUUUCAAAGCAUACCGAUCCAUGAGGGACUGCAUGCAUCCACCUCGUAUGAGUGCACCGUCAUGCAUAGUGCCUCCCACUGAGCAACUAGUAAUCUGACCUCACAUUGUGCCACUCCUACCUACUUUCCAUGGGAUGGAGAGUGAGAAUCUCUACUCGCAUAUUAAGAAAUUCGAGGAGGUUUGUAAUACAUUCCAAGAAGGAGGAGCUUCAAUUGACUUGAUGAGGCUCAAGCUAUUUCCUUUCACUUUGAAGGAUAAGGCUAAGAUUUGGCUUAAUUCUUUAAGGCCAAGGAGUAUCCGAACUUGGACUAAUUUGCAAGCCGAUUUUCUUAAGAAGUUCUUCCUUACCCAUAGGACCAAUGGUUUGAAAAGGCAAAUUUCGAACUUCUCAGCUAAAGAGAAUGAGAAAUUCUAUGAGUGAUGGGAGAGGUACAUGGAAGCUAUUAAUGCUUGUCCUCACCAUGGCUUUGACACAUGGCUCUUAGUGAGUUAUUUUUACGAUGGUAUGUCUUCUUCAAUGAAGCAACUCCUAGAAACUAUGUGUGGAGGAUACUUCAUGAGUAAGAAUCCGAAGGAAGCCAUGGACUUUUUGAGUUAUGUGGCUGAAGUUUUAAGAGGAUGGGAUGAACCAAAUGCUAGAGAGGUGGAAAGAAUGAAGUCUCAACCUAAUGCUAAGGGUGGGAUGUAUGUUUUGAAUGAAGACAUUGACAUGAAAGCAAAGGUUGUAGCUAUGGCAAGGAGAUUGGAAGAGCUAGAAAUGAAGAAGGCACAAAAAGUGGAAGCCAUUUCUGAGACAUCAGUGCAAGCUAUGCCUUGUUCCAUUUGUCAACCUAAUGCUAAGGGUGGGAUGUAUGUUUUGAAUGAAGACAUUGACAUGAAAGCAAAGGUUGUAGCUAUGGCAAGGAGAUUGGAAGAGCUAGAAAUGAAGAAGGCACAAAAAGUGGAAGCCAUUUCUGAGACAUCAGUGCAAGCUAUGCCUUGUUCCAUUUGUCAAUCUUAUGAGUACCUAGUGGAGGAGUGUCCUACAAUUCCAGUAGUGAGAGAGAUGUCUGGUGAUCAAGCAAAUGUUAUUGAUCAAUUCAAGCCUAAUAAAAAUGCUUCAUAUGGCAACACCUACAAUUCAAAUUGGAUGAACCAUCCAAAUUUCUCUUGGAAACCAAAGCUACCUCAAUACACACAACCUGCUCAAGCACCUUAGCAAUCCUCGAAUCUUGAACAAGCUAUUGUGAACCUUAGUAAGGUUGUGGGAGAUUAAAAGUCCAUCAAUGCUCAACUGAAUCAGAGAAUUGACAGUGUAGAGAGUACAUUGAACAAAAGGAUGGAUGAGAUGCAAAAUGAUCUGUCUCAAAAGAUAGACAAUGUCCAAUAUGCAAUCUCAAGGCUUACCAACCUCAACACAGUGCAAGAGAAAGGAAAGUUUAUUUCUCAACCUCAUCAAAAUCCCAAGGGUAUCCAUGAAGUGGAGGCUCAAGAGAGAGAAUCUUCAAAGGUGAGGGAAGUCAAAGCAGUUAUCACCUUGAGGAGUGGUAAAGAGGUUGAUCAACCCACAUCCAAGCCAAAGCAUAAUGAAGAGAGUUUUGUAGAAAAAGAAAAGAGAGGAAAAUAAAGGAAAGAGAAUAGAGAAAAGUACAAAGAAAGAUGACCAUGAGUCUAGUGUGGAUGAAGAGCCCAAGAGGAUAGUGAUCAAGGAAAAUAUGAUGAAGAAACACAUGCCUCCACCUUUCCCCUAAGCUUUGCAUGACAAAAAAGGAACCAAUAAUACAUCGGAAAUUUUUGAAGUAUUGAGGCAAGUGAAGGUCAAUAUCCCUUUGCUAGAGAUGAUCAAACAAGUGCCGACAUAUGCAAAAUUCUUGAAGGACUUGUGCACUGUAAAGAGAGGGUUGAAUGUGAACAAGAAAGCUUUCUUGACCGAGCAAGUGAGUUCCAUCAUACAGUGCAAGUCUCCAGUGAAGUACAAAUAUCCGGGCUACCCUACCAUCUCAGUGAGUAUUGGAGGUACUUGUGUGGAAAAAGCUUUGUUGGACUUGGGAGCAAGUGUGAAUUUGCUACCCUACUCUGUCUAUAAGUAGUUGGGACUUGGAGAGUUGAAGUCAACAUCCAUCACCCUAUCUCUGGCAGAUAGAUCAGUGAAGAUUCCAAGAGAGAUGAUAGAAGAUGUCUUGGUUCAAGUUGACAAAUUCUACUAUCCAGUGGAUUUUGUUGUUCUUGAUACGGAUCCGAUUGUCAAAGGAACUAAUUAUGUUCCUAUCAUACGAAGACCCUUCCUAGCUACAUCAAAUGCAAUCAUCAAUUGUAGGAAUGGAGUCAUGAAACUCACGUUUGUCAACAUGACAUUAGAGCUCAACAUCUUCCAUUUGUACAAGAAGCAUAUCCAUUCAGAAGAAAAAGAAGGUCUAGAGGAAGUGUGCAUGAUUGACACUUUAGUGGAGGAGCAUUGUGAUCGACAAUGCAAGAAGAUUUAGUUGAGAGUUUUGGGGAUCUUGAUGAAGGGUUACUUGAACCCUCAGAUUUGCUUGCUACCCUACUCCAUUGGAGGAAGAGAGAAGAAAUUCUACCCUUAUUCAAUGAGGAGGAGACACAAAGAGCUGCUAAAGAUAAGCCCCCAAAGCUUAUUCUUAAGCCACUACCCACAGAGUUGAAGUAUGCAUACUUGGAAGAAGACAAGAAGUGCACUGUUGUUAUAUCUUUAGCUCUUACCAUUCAUCAGGAGGAUUGUCUACUUGAAGUCCUUAGAAGAAGUAAGAAGGUAAUAGGGUGGCAAAUUUCUGAUUUGAAAGGGAUCAGCCCUUUUGUCUGCACCCAUCAUAUUUACAUGGAGGAUGAAGCUAAGCCAAUUCAUCAACCUCAGAGAAGGUUGAACCCUCACAUGCAAGAAGUGGUGAGAGUUGAAGUUCUUAAGCUACUUUAGGCUGGUAUUAUUUACCCCAUAUCAGAUAGCCCAUGGGUGAGUCCUACUCAAGUUGUGCCAAAGAAGUCGGGGAUCACGGUGGUGCAAAAUGAUAAGGGAAAAGAUGUCUCUACAUGUCUCACUAUAGGUUGGAGGGUGCGUAUCAAUUACAGGAGGUUGAAUGUAGUGACAAGGAAUGACCAUUUCUCGUUGCCCUUUAUUGAUCAAGUGCUUGAGAGGGUCUCUGGGCAUCCUUUUUAUUGUUUCUUGGAUGGCUACUCGAGGUAAUUUAAGAUAGAAAUUGAUGUUGAAGACCAGGAGAAGACCAUUUUCACAUGCCCAUUUAGAACCUAUGCAUAUAGGAGAAUGUCUUUCGGCUUAUGCAAUGCACCCACAACUUUCCAAAGAUGCAUGUUAAGCAUUUUCAAUGAUAUGGUGGAGCAUAUUAUGGAAGUCUUUAUGGAUGAUAUCACCAUAUAUGGAAGUGCAUUUGAUGAAUGCUUGGUCAACUUAGAAGUUGUUCUGAACCGAUGCAUUGAGAAAGACUUAGUGCUUAAUUGGGAGAAGUGCCAUUUCAUGGUACACCAAGGGAUUGUCCUUGGGCACAUCAUCUCCAAGCAAAGCAUUGAAGUUGACAAAGCAAAGGUUGAACUCAUUGUUAAGUUGCCAUUCCCAACAAAUGUCAAAGGAGUAAGGCAAUUCCUUGGCCAUGCCGGGUUCUAUAGGAGGUUUAUCAAGGAUUUCUCUAAGCUUGCAAGGCCUCUUUGUGAAAUAUUGGUGAAGGAUGUUAAAUUCAUAUGGGAUGAUAGAUGCCAAAGGAGUUUUGAAGAAUUGAAGCUAUUUUUGACAACCUCACCAAUAGUGAGGGCUCCCAACUAGCAACUGCCCUUUGAGGUAAAGUGUGAUGUCAAUGACUUUGCUAUAGGAGCUGUUCUUGGGCAAAGAGAAGAUGGAAAACCUUAUGUGAUCUACUAUGCGAGCAAGACAUUGAAUGAGGUGCAAAGAAACUACAUAACCACCGAGAAAGAAUUGUUAGCUGUAGUUUUUGCCUUGGAUAAGUUUCGUGCUUACUUGGUGGGAUCCUUCAUCGUGGUUUUUAUUGAUCACUUUGCUUUGAAGUAUCUAUUGACUAAGCAAGAUGCUAAAGCAAAACUGAUUAGAUGGAUUUUCUUGCUUCAAGAGUUCAAUCUCCAGAUCAAAGACAAGAAAAAAAUGGAGAAUGUGGUAGUAGACCACAUUUCAAGGCUAGCUAUCGCACAUAAUUCCCAUGCUUUGCCCAUUAAUGACGAUUUUCUAGAGGGGUCUCUCAUGUUGGUGGAAGUUGUCCCUUGGUACGCUCACAUUGCUAACUACCUGGUCACAAGAGAAGUUCCAAGUGAGUGGAAAGCACAAGAUAAGAAGCACUUCUUUGCAAAAAUUCAUGCCUACUAUUGGGAAAAGCCAUUUCUAUUCAAGUAUUGUGCGGAUCAGAUAAUAAGGAAGUGAGUUCCUGAAGAAGAGCAACAGGGGAUCCUCAGUCAUUGCCAUAAAAAUGCAUGUGGAUGCCACUUUGCUUAUCAGAAGACAACCAUGAGGGUGCUGCAAUCGGGUUUCUGUUGGCCAUCACUUUUCAAAGAUGCCCACACCAUGUGCAAGAGUUGUGAUCGAUGCCAGAGGCUUGGGAAGUUAUCAUGUAGGAACAUGAUGCCUUUGAACCCCAUUUUAAUAGUUGAUCUUUUUUAUGUUUGGGGCAUUGACUUCAUGGGACUUUUCCCUAUAUCUUUUGGCUACUCUUACAUCUUGGUGGGAAUAGAUUAUGUUUCUAAGUGGGUUGAGGCAGUCCCAUGCAAACACAAUGACCAUAGAGUGGUUCUCAAGUUUCUUAAGGAGAACAUCUUCUCAAGAUUUGGGGUGCCCAAAGCCAUAAUUAGUGAUGGGGGUACUCAUUUUUGCAACAAGCCUUUUGAAACUCUCCUAGCCAAGUAUGGGGUGAAGCAUAAGGUAGCUACACCUUACCACCCUCAAACUAAUGGGCAAGUUGAGUUAGCAAACAAGGAGAUUAAAAACAUAUUGAUGAAGGUGGUGAACACAAACAGAAAAGAUUGGUCAGUCAAGCUCUUCGAUUCACUAUGGUCAUGUAGAACAGCUUACAAGACCAUUAUCGGGAUGUCUCUUUAUCACCUAGUCUAUGGAAAAAAUGCCAUCUCCUUGUGAAAUUGGAAUACAAAGCUUGGUGGUCAAUCAAGAAGCUCAACAUGGAUUUGAGCAGAGCUGGGUUGAAGAGGUUCUUAGACCACAAUGAGAUGGAGGAAUUGAGAAAUGAUGCCUACAUCAAUUCAAAAAUUGUAAAAGAAAAAUUGAAGAGGUGGCAUGAUCAGUUGAUUUCCCGCAAGAAUUUUCAAAAUGGAUAAAGAGUCUUGCUCUAUGACUCUAAACUCCACAUCUUUCCGAGCAAGCUGAAAUCAAGGUGGAUAGGUCCUUUUACCAUUCACCAAGUGCAUUCAAAUAGAGUAGUGGAACUACUCAACUCCAACAACAUCGGGAGCUUCAAAGUGAAUGACCAUUGUCUCAAGCCCUUUGUAGAGUCUUUUUUCUCGCGACAAGGAGGAAUUCAUCCUCCUUGAUCCACAUCAAGCUUGACAAGACCAGUUUUUUUUUAUGGACUUAGUCUUUCUAAAGACUAUCGAGUCCAUAACUUUUUAUUUUAUUUUUUAUUUGAGAGUUUUUCGGUAUUAUUACUUGUUUUGUUUUUUAUUUUUCGUUUUACUUUUAUUUGGUUUGAUUUAACUUAGAUUUUUUAUGAUCAAUUGCAGGGGGGAUUUCAAAUAGAGGAAAAACCAAGAUAAUUCGCACACCCUGCGAAAAUUUCGCAAGGCAUGCGAAAUUUAUGGCUCAUUUCGCAUGGGAUGCGAAAUUUCGCACACCCUACGAACCAAUUUCGCACACUUUGUGAAAAUAAACCAACCCUACGAAAUCAUUUCAAAUACUCUACGAAAUUUUCGCAGAGCAUGUAAAAAAUUUCGCAGACCAAACACCAUUUCGCAUACUAUGCGAAAAUGUAAGGGGUCUACAAAACCAUUUCGCACCUCCAAAGCCAUUUCGCACAUUGUGCAAAAAUGAAAAGUCGCCCUAUCAUCCAUUUUUAAACCCCUUGAGCCCUGAAAUCCCCAUUUCGCAAGCACCCCUGUCCUUGCGAAUCCCUCAUUUUCCUCUGCCACCUUGCGACCUUGUCCCUCUCCAUUUGAUAUCGUGCCCUGCGCACAUCUCAUUUCAAAGACUCGCACUCUGCGCCCUCUCAAAGCACGAACCCAAGGCUCACAUUCCAUUUCCGACAUGGCACAGACCCGAGGAGCCCUUCCCGCCCCUUCAUCGAGACGCACACCAAGGUAGAGAGCCUCUUUUGCUCAGAUGCCAAGUGAUUCUCCAUUUCAGGCCACGGAGGCCCUGCGGAUUCCACAUUCCAAGGGUAGAACAGCCACUGGUCCUUCCUCUUCUAUUCCUCAGCGUAGAUAUGAGACGAGGAGACCACCUACUACACAAAGGGCGACUACUUCGCGCCAUGAGAAUUCGGUACGACACCCUCCUGCCAAGAGGGCCAGGACUUCAGGCCCAGGCGAGUCAUCCAAAGCUUCACAGCCUGAGCCUCCUGCAGAUUCCGAGGUUCCUACUGACAUAUCAUCGGAGUCUAUUAUCAAACGCCCGAUGCUCACAGCACCGCCCAUUGAGGGCAACUCUGAUUGUAGAGCGAGACCUUUCCACUUGGAGCUAUAUUUUAAUUAAGAGGCCAUGCCACAGCAGCCUGAGCUCCAAGACUCUUAUGGCUUACUACAGAGGUACCAUCUUGAGGACCUUAUGACUCCUCGUGAGUUCUUUUAUCCCAGAGUAGCACUAGACUUUUACCAGUCCAUGACUACUCGUGGCGUCCCGAGUCCUACCGCGAUGCACUUCACCAUUAAUGGACGUCAUGGUAUCCUCGAGGCCAGACAUAUUGGAGAGGCUCUACAGAUUCCUUUCGAGCUAGAGGACCCAUCUGUUUUCUGCCAAUGGUCCCCAAUAUCUCAGAGGGACAUGGUCCAUAUUUUAUCCAGGGGGACAUCUACAUAUUCGAUCCUUCUACGGAAGGAGCUUCGACCUGGGAUACUCCUCGUAGAUGUGGUGCUACUUUCCAACCUCUUUCCCUUUUAGCAUUCGAUACAUAGGCGAGGAGCUAUUUUGGACGCUUUAUUCUGUAUAUCAGAGGGCUUCUACUUUGGCCCGCACCACUUGAUCAUGGUUUCCCUCAUCCAUUUUGAGGAGAAGGUCCAUAGAAAGAAGCUUCAGAGGGCGAACACCAUUCCAUUACUAUUCCCGAGGUUGCUCUACUAGAUCUUGGAGUACAUGGGCUUUCCUACUGAGCCUCGGCUUGUGUGCCGCCGCCUUUGUCAAGAGCGAUCCACUCUCGACAAAUGGAAUCAGUUGGCGGGCUAUUCUACACCUCCAGGAGCCCCUCCCAUGGUAGCACCUCUAGUGUCCCCACAGGCAGAGUAGGGCAAGCUCCCGGUAGAGACUGCACCCCUAGUGCCCACACCUGAGGCUACUUCUGCUGUUCCGCCUACGACUCCUACUGUUCCACCAGUUGGUCCUUUUACAUCUGAGUCUUCCAUCAACAUCUCGACUUCGGAGUUUCGCGCCCUUGUGCAUACCUUUCAGACACUCACCACCACACAUACUGCUCUCUUCUAGAAAAUGGCUGAGAUGCGUGCCCAUCAGGACCAGCAGACUACUAUACUCCGCCAAAUUCAACAGCACCUGGGACUUCUGCCUCUGCCUCAGCUUGACCUUCCCACAUCAUCAGAGCCUCUAGCUCCAGUUGAGGAUACUAUUCCACCUGAGGACACUACCACAGUAGAGGUUCAGAUUCCACCACCUCAGGAGGCCACCACAGCUACAUUAGAGGAUGCAUCAUCUCCACCUGAGGCUCCCACUACUUGAUCAUAGGACAUCUCUUUAUCUUAUUGUAUUUACAUAUUAUAUUACUGGAGAUUUGUCUUUGUUUUGAUACUUUAUAUUCUGGCAUUGAAUGUAUUGCCUAAUGAUAUCUCAAUUGUACUUUCUCAUAUUAAUAUAUAGACAUCAAUUUUUUUUAGUAUACUUAGGAUUUUUCUAUUUACUCUACUCAUUACUCUUUUGUUUUUUUUUUUUUACUCAUGUGGUUUCUCCUAUACGACUCAGACUCCAUUUCACUCAGGAGGUACCACUUCUUCCCUUUAUUUUCAAUUGCUCUUGAAACAUUGAGGGCAAUGUUGAUCUUGGUUGGAGGGAGAGUUGAGGAAGGAAGUGAUUACUACUCAAAAAGUGCUAUUUCAUAGCUUGUAAUUAACUCUUUUAAAACACUUUUGAGUAGUAGUUAUCACCUUUUAACCCAAUUAACAUAUUAAGGACCCUUGCAAUCAAUUCUAAUCAAAUUGUGUUAAGUUUUGGUAUUUUGAUAGCUUUUUUAUCACCAAAGCAAUCCGAGAUUGAGGAUAUUUAUUUGGAAUCCAUGGCAAAAGAUGUUUGGACAGGACGUCCGGACACACCAUCGGAGGGCGGCGGAACGUGGGCUGUGGCAGGCUGUCGGAAUGACGUAGCAAGGCUUGUGCACUUUAGCCAAUGAUCGGGAUAACAUAUCCGAAAUUCUGCUCCGCCGACAUUCCACCCGGAUGUCUCACAUCCGGAAUUCUGCUCCGCCGACAUUACACCCAGAUGUCUCACAUCCAAAAUUCUUCUCCGUCGACAUUCCAUCCGAAUAUUUCACAUCCGACGCUUGACGCCGGAUGGGAGAGGAGGGCGUUUCAACUUCCCCGGUCAGACAUAUCCGAAUCCUUUGAUAACGCUUACCCGGAGAGUUUCGCAGCCAUUUUGCACAGUGCCGCGGUGUUCUCUUGAAGCUUCCCGAUAUGUGCGACCGACAUUUUGAGAUAUUUUGCUUUAGAUAUUUGAUGUCUAAAUCCCCAAACUCUCCUUGUAACCCACCAAUUAUAGGAUUCCUUAGUUAUUAAGUUUGGAAAAAUGGUGAAUAACCCCUUAUAUAUAGUUUGCAAUUUUCAUAAAAAAGAUAUGUAGAAUCUCGGGAGCUUGUUCCCAGAGAGACGCAUCCUUUGUACAGUUUUGGAAGGAAGUAAAAUACAGAGCACUUGCUCUGCUUUUCAUAUAUAUUUUUGUUUUCUCGUUCUUUUUAUUUCUAGCCAAUCAAAGUCUGAGGAUUUUUCCUCAGAGGAUGAGAGGCUAGGCUCUUCGUCUCUUGGAGUGAAGAAAACUAGGUAAGUUUCCACAUGCAUAAAUUGAAAGUUUUGUUGUUUUAGUUUUUAAUGAAGAGAAAGUGUGACCCGUUAAUGGUUUUUAUCUUUUUAGUUAACUUAAAACGCCUUUAAAUCACCCGGGCCAACACUUGAUAAGGCAAGUGGUCUCCAUCCAUUGAGAUGCACUAGUUUAUCUCUUGCGAGCCUUUGGGAGGUGGUUUGAAGGUAGGAUUUUCUAGAAUAACCAACACUUGAUAAGCUUUUGGACUCUAAGGAGACAUCCAUUAGUUAUCUCUUGCGAGCUUUUGACGGGUAAUCCAAGGUUAAAGAUCACCUUGAAUGGCAAGUACUAGGUGAGAGGUAUGAGCCAUUGCAAGAUGCAUUAGUGAGAGGGAUUUAGUGUUUGAACCCAUUAAAGGGAAGCAUCUGUACCACACCGGUUCGGGAAAUAACUAUAUGUUAAAUCCCCAAUGAGAGGAAAAGAAACAAGUGACCGGAACUCCCUUUUUGUAUAAGGAACCUGAGCCUAGUGAUCUAAACUCCAAGAAACACUUUUCUUUGUAAGUAAAAUCAGUUACUAUUUUUGGUUAGUUUAAAACCAAACCUUUUUCAUUCAAACAUCUUUAUGUUUUCUUUUAAAGCUAACCUUGAAAUGAAAAGGCACCAAUUCAUAUUUGAAUUAAUAUCAAUUGUGAAGUGAAAACCCAUCCCAGUGAACGAUCCUAGAGCCACUAUGCUAUAGUAGCUUUGUCUUUGCUACCCUAGUUCAUGGUUUAAUAGGUUAUAAAUUUUGUUGAUUACUCCCACAAUCAAAGGAGCACCAGUUGGACAUGAAUCAACUGAGACACUAAUUGGGCACAAAUCAGGAAGUUUUGUUAAUAAUGCUAGGUUAAUUUGUUAAUUUAGUUACUUUCUGCUUAAUUUUAAAAGUUUUCACUUUACUUUCCAUAGUUAUUAAGGAAAAAUUCUCAAAAUGAAAUGGGAGAAAUUGAAUUCUUACAUUUUUACUUGAAUUUUAGAAUUUGUAUUAUGCUUAUUGAAGCUGAUGAAUUAUUGAAACUCCUAUUGAAUUCAACCUUAUUUCUUCCACUUUAAUCUUACCACACACGGUGCACAUUAGGUUCCGAUUAUAAGAGGUGCGUUCUUAGCCUAUUGGAGGUUGGUCAAUUUGUUAAAGUUUGAGAAAGAUCUAGGUUAGGGGAGAGAGAAUAGUCUGACAUACUAUAAUCGAAAACUAAUAAACUUAACACUUAGAUCUUUGUGGAAGAGUAAGGAUUGGACCUUUGGGAGUGGAAAUUCGUUUGAUGCUUAAAUUUGCAUAAUGCUUACACUUUAUAAAUUGUGAUUAGGCAAGAGAUUUGAUGACUCUUGUUCAAGGUUGGGUUUUGCCUCUUUGAUGUUCCAUGAGAGAGUAUAAUCCUCAUCAUGCCACUUGAAAUUUUUUUUGGAGUGAUUAACAUGAUUUUGUAAAUUACUUUACUGUCUAUUUUUUUUUUAUCUCUCCUUCAUUGCUAAUGGACUAGCAAUAUGUCAGUUGAGGGGAGUGAUUACUACUCAAAAAGUACUCUUUUAUAGCUUGAAACUAACUGUUUUGAACACUUUUGAGUAGUAGUUAAUACCUUUUAACUCAAUUGGCACAUUAAAGAACCUAGCAAGGGUUACUAAUUAGUUUUUGGCAAGUUUUGGUGUUUUUGGUAGCUAUUUGAUCAUUGAAACAAGCCAAGAAUGAGGGAGAAUUUUGUGAAGUCCAUGGCAAUGCAAGUUAAAGCUCAAAUACAUGAAGAAUCCAAGCUUUGGAGCACUUCAUAGCCCUUUCCAAAGCCAAUCAGAGAUGCAAGGAAGAAAACCAGAGGAAGAAAUCCAACAAUUAGCAUUUUCGCAUGGCUGUGCGAAAUUUCGCACACCAUGCGAAACCACAAGAGGCAGCCAAAGAAUUUUGCACACUAUGCGAAAUUUCGCAUGGUAUGCAAAAUCUUCUUGUGCACCAACUCCGUUAUAUUUUUAUCUCAAAUAUUUUGUGUAAUUUCCUAGUUUCUCCUUGUAACCAACCUAGAUAUUUUCUUUUAUAUAUUUUUUAGGUAACAUCAUCUAUAGGGGGAGAGACAUAAGGAGGAUAUGGAUGUUUUUCAUAGAACACUUGUAAAUUUCCGGUAGUAAGAAAUAUACAGAGCUUUUUGCUCUACCUUACCUUCUCAUUUUGUUUUCACUUGUCUUUCUAGCCAAACAACCUCUGAGGAUGAUUUCUUAGGGAAUGAGUGGCUAGGUUUUACGUUUCUUGGAGUGAGGGAAGCUAGGUGAAAGACCCGAAUGCUAAGGUGGGAGUUGUCCUUGCUUUAAAUGAAAGUAGUUGUUAAACAUUAAUGGUUUUUAUUUUAAGGUUUAGCUUUAAAUCCCUUAAAAACAUCUUGAAUGGUCAAUACUUGGUAGGCUUUUUGGAUUCUAUGGAUGCUUAUUGCUAGAUCCCUGGAUGUCUAUUAGUUAUCAUUUAUGAGCCAUUGGAAGGUGGUUCAAGAUGAGGGUCUUUAAUGUUUGAAGCCAUUAAUAGGAAACAAUUACCAUUCUUUCAUGAAUCCUUUGGAUCAAAUCUUAAUUGCUAAAUAUAAAACUAGUUCGGGAGAUAACCAUCCUUUAUGUUAUUAUGCCCAACGCGAGGAGAAGAUUCGGAAUCUUCCCCUUUGUCUAAGGAACCCGAUCCUAGUGACCUAAAGCUCUAAGAGACCUUUUCUUUAUAGUUAACUUCACUUAUUGUUUUUUCUUAACUUAAAAUCAAUCUUUGCAACCACAAUUCCAUUUUCUUUGAAAGCUAAUUUUCAUAAGGAAAAUCACCAUUUUAUUUUCUUCCCUAAGUCAACUGUACGAUGAAAACCCAUUCCCAUGGACGAUCCUAGAGCCACUAUACUAUGUUAGCUAUGCUACCCUAAUGUGAGGUGAUUUAGGUUUUAUAAAUUUUGUUGAUAACACCUGUUUGAGCCAGAAUCAAAUGGCGCAACUGAACCAGGGACGAAUCAACAACUUAUAUGGGAGGGACACAAGUUUAAUUGAUUUGCAUUUCAACGUUAUAUAUAGGUAUGUUUUGGAAGAUUUGUUCUGGAAAUACUGCACCAAGUACGAUUCUUUUUGUCUUGAGUGGGUCUACUUGCAUGCCAAUUAACGAGUGGAAAAGUAGGAGCACCUACCUCAUGCUCGCGGAACCGAAGGUCAGUGAAGUGGGGCUCCUUUUGGCCUCUUGUGUUUCUAUUCCAACCAAGGCGGCGUAAGGAAAAACAACAAUAUGUUUGUGCUAAAUAUCAACGCAUGAUAGAUGUUUUUGUUUUUUGGUAUGUCAAGGCUAAUGAAUGAAAUGCUUUAGCUUGUUUUGUGACUGGAACUGCAAAUGUCCAAAUUGGAGUAUCUCCAUUUCUCACUUCGGAUGGUUAACUUAUAAACAAGAUAUAGGAAACAUGUGAACAUCUUGAGGAACAAUUUGAAUUAUUCAUUAGAAGUCCUGGGUUGAGUUCCAAGAUUUAAAUUAGACCCCUCUAGCAGCUUCAGGGGUACCUAGCAACCUAUAGCAUAUUAAUGAAGAUUUAGGAUUUAGACUCUAGAAUACAAAUUAAUAUGUAUCUCAUGCUUUGACUAGCUUCCCUACAUAUGCACAAAAUGGAGAUGACCUAAAAAAAUAGCAGAAUCUAGCUUCCCUACAUAUGCACAAAAUGGAGAUGACCCAAAAAAUAGCAGAAUUUCCUUAGUUUCUGUGGUUAAGGUGAUUCUCCGCUUAAUAUCACAUUGACUCAUUAUGCAAAAUCAACUGAGCUAAUUUUGUUUAUUUAUUUAAUGUCAAAUAGGAACUCCUAAUUAACCUAACCCUUGGCCUGUGUAAAUUGAUUUCACAUGCCCAAUGUUGAAGUAGAAGUCCAUAUUUUGAAUUUUAUUUUUGUAAAGGUAAGGAAAAUGAAGCAUUGUGUAAUUAUAAAAAUAACUUCAUUGGAAUUCACAAGGUUCACCCAAAAUGGAGCUACAUCCGUAUUCUAUCCUGCAGUAGACUAUAUAGAUUGUACAAUAGUAAAUUGCAAAUACAAUUAAUAAGUCUUGUGCUUCCUUACUAAUAAUCCUUUGACAUGAACAUUGCAGCACUAAGGUCCUCUUGGGAAGACACCUUGCACCCAUGAGAGCACGAAGAGGAAGCAAGGCAGAGUCAUGGGUGCAAUGUCAUGACUUGUUGUUGCACCAAGAGAGGCUUGGUGAUGGCAUGGUGUUGCAGUAGCAAGAAUGUUGCCUUGGUAGGGACAUAAUCUAGGGAUAGAUGCCAAGAAAGGCUUAGCACUCACAUGAGUUGCACAAAGAUGAAUGUAAUAGAGCAUCAGAGAGACGUCUUGGCAAGUAAAUGAAUGGAUCCAAGAGGCAACAACAUGAGGAGUUUCAAAUGGAUAAGGAAUGAGUCAAAGACAUUUGAAAGCUACAAGUUGGAUUCUAAUUACGAUUGCAAUUUGAGUUUGAGUAGGAGUUUAGAUUCUGAUUGUAAUUGUAGUAUGAGUUGGACUAGGAUUGCUUAUCCCUAGUCAAAAUAGGAGUGGUUCGUGUCACACCCUAUGAAAAGAGUUUGAGUAGGGACUAGGAUUGCUUACUCCUAGUCAAAUAUGGAGUAGGUGGUGCCACACCUAUAAAAAAAAAGGGACAACAUGAGAGAGAGAGAGAGAGAGAGAGAGAGAGAGAGAGAGAGAGAGAGAGAGAGAAAGAGAUAAUGAAUUCACUAAAGAUAUUGUGGGAGUUUUUCUUUGUUACGUCUUGUAUUAUUACUUAGAAUAGGAAUAAAAUACAAGUUUGGGCUAGAGCCCCAUAAUUAAUCUCGUGUGCCUUUGUGGUUAUUCUUUAUUUGUCAUCUCGUGUGGAUUGGAUUACAUUGACUUAGAGGGCUUCUAAGCACCACCUUUGUGGGUUAUUAUUUAUUUUCCAUUUCUUGUGGAUUAGAUUAGGUUGACUUUGAGGGCUUUUAAGCACCACCUUUGUGGGUUAUUCUUUAUUUUCCAUAUCGUGGGGAUUGGAUUAGGUUGACGAUGAGAAAAAUUAUGUGGGAAAUUUGUGUUGGGACACUUAUCAUAACCAGGUAAAAUCUGCCAAGUCCUUUGUAAUAUCUUCAACAAAUAUUUCAGACUAGUUCUUCACCAUAAACAUCAUAUUGUGUUUUGUUUUUCUCCUGGAUUCUGAGUUGAAUUGUUUCAAGUCAAUUGAAUGCAUCUGAAUAUUAUUAGCUUGUUUGAAGGCCUGGUGAUUUUCCAUUUAACUUUACUUUCUUUAGGUUAUGCUCACUAUAAGAAAAAUGAGAAAUAAUGACGCUUUUUACGCGUUAAGAAAGGCAACAGAUGAUGCUUCUCUAAAGCGUCCUCUUCGGCUCUGUCAUUAUAUGUGUUAGCCAAUAAUGACGCUUCUAGGAAGUGCCAUCUUUGAAUAAUGUUAAUAACGACACUCGUAAAAAGUGUCAUCUUUAAACAUAUUCUGGUCAAAUAAUUUUUACAAAAUUAGUAAUCUUCAAGCCGUUUCUGAAUCAUAUCUGAGCCUAUUUCUGGGGACCAGAAAACCAUCUUUUUUCCAUUCGCCUGAGAGGUCUGAUUAGCAUUUCUGGAAUCAAUCUCUAAACCCAAGCUUCCCUCAUCUACCCAUUUAACCCUCAUGCCCUCCUGUUUGAACAACUUUCCCACUAUAUACACAAAUUUUUUACCUUCUGUUGUUGGUAUUCGACCUCUUCCCAUUCCCAGCACAGAAUCCACCAUUAGUGCCACUUUGUGAAUAAAAUCAUCGAACCAGAUCUUUCGGGCGGAAGAUGAGCUCCAGAGAAAUAAAAUUUUUGGGGUCUUCCCAGCAUGAAAGUCAUAGGUAGCAUUAAUGACAUCAAGAAAUGGGGCACUGUUGAGAAAAAACAUGUUCCCAUCAACCACCCAAGAAUUGUACCAGACUCCAAACACUUCUGGAUUACAUAUGCCUUUACUAAGAUAUAUUUCUUGAUCUCCAUAUCAGAAUCUUGGAGACUCUUCAUUUUAUGAGCUCUGACACUACUGUGAAAUUGGUCCACAUCAAUCACAGGAUGACCCCUUCUAGCAAGAUCAAGCAGGAAGUCUGAAUUCGGGCCCAUAAAAAUGUAGUUCUGAAUAUUGAAACUCUCAAAGUGGCACAACAAAUUCCUUAUGACUCUUUCAGAUGCUCCAAACAGGCUCACAAGUAUAAUGGUAUCCUGUUUUUGCACAGAGUAAAGAAAAUAUCCGAGUUCUUCAAAACUCCUUACAACUAUUCCAGGAUGUACUUCUUUGAAACAGAAAUCGUACCACUUUAGCUUAGUCAGAGGUUGAAUCUAAAAUAACAAAACCCAAACUGAAAUCAAAAUCGAAAUCAACCCUAAUAGAUUUCAGAAACAACAAAUUAAAAGAGUAAAGCACAAAAGGGGGAAAACACAUAUGAAGCAAUCUCCAUACAAGCCCUAACCUUAGAUAAACCCAAAAAAAAAAAUCAAAGCAGAGAGUUACCAUAGAGCAUCUCUGUUUCAAGCUUAGAAAAUGUUUAAUGCCAUUGAUAACUAGUUGGCUAGUGGUGGACUUCAAGCUUCUCUAUUUCGGUGUUAGUAGCUCUCAAUGGCUAUGGUGAGAACAAAGAAAUGAGAGGCUUAGGGUUUGGGAUGUGAGGUUAUUGAUGAUGAUGAGGAUAAAGUUAUGGGCUCUUGGAGGGGUUAGGGAAAUUGAAGAUGGCUGAGAGUAAAGGCUAGGGUUUUUGAGAUAGUUAAUAGCUUUUUAGGGUGUGACUGUCCAUAGAUAGAAGAUAAAUGAGGGUGUGAGAAUUUAUAGAUCUCUAGGUGAUAUGGCGGGUGUGAGAAUGAAAUUUUAGAGGGAAUUGUGUGUUUGGUAGAAAUUUCACACAUGCAUAUAUAAUGUUUCAGAACAUGGCACUUUAAAAAUACGACAAGGAAGAAAUUAUUUAUUGACGCUUAAAUAAAGCGCCAAGGUCUCCAACAUUUUUGCAAUCAAUGACGUUUGUAAAAGGUGCCAUUGAAUAGGAGUGCCAUUGCUUUCCCACAAAGCAUCAUUGUUAAUCAAGCCUUUAAAAAACGCCAAGAUAUGUUGCCACUUAGGUUAAAUAUUGACGCUUUUAAAAAACGCCAAGGAAAAAAACGUCAUUAUUCAUGUUUUUUGUAGUAGUGGCUUGAUUCCUAAAAAGUAAAGGAAAGCAAAAAGUAAAAAAAUAAAAAUGUGGAGAGUUAGGACAUGCGUUAUCUAAUUGUCCUAGUCCCAAAUAUAUUAAGAAAGUCAUGUAGGUUACUUGGAGUAACGAGUCAAGUAAAGCAAGCCUUCUAGUGUUUAAGACAUUAGAUAUUACCGAACUGAUUAUGUCAUUAAUGUAUUGCAUUUGUUGUUUCUAAUAUAUAGAAGAAGAUGAAAUUAUUGGAAUAAGUGGGAAAUAGGAAUAAAUCCAAGGUACCAAAAAGUCACUUUAUCUUAGAUGUUGUUGGAAACAUAAGUGAUUUCACAAUAACGACUAUGAGACAAUCAAGGAUUAAUAAGAUAGACUUUAUAUGAUAUACCUCCCAAUUAGAGCCUAAAAAUAUGGAUGAAGCACUUAGAGAUGAAUCUUCAAUUUUUGUACUAUAGGAAGAAUUAAAUCAAUUUGUUAGCUAUUCUUUGGAUAUUUGAUUCAUCACAAGCUACAAAUCACUUUUGAUGACCAAACACGAAACUAAGAGGAUUGGGCCCAAUUCGAUGCCUAUCAACAAUGAUUUGUAUUCCACCUCAUUAAUUAUUCAAAGUUGGGAAGCUAGGUCUAACCACUUUCUCUACCUGUUCACCCUUAGAGGAGCAGAAGAAAAUUCUAACUUUGGUGCCUAAUGCCUUUGACAAUCUUUCGACAAAGAGAGUUCACUAAUUACUUUGAUUAUUUCUCUGUUGGUCACUGGGGGACAAGACUUUUGUAAUGAAGUCAACUAGAACUUGCCCUUUGAGGGCCAUUCAUGGACGAUAUUACACCAUGAAUUCCCUUAGGUCAUGUUUGGUAUGUGAGAAUGAGGAGUGGAAUGGACAUCUUAUUCAUUUUUUCAUCUAUUCAAAUGUUGGGAUAACUCAAGUGACCAUGAGAAUGAAAUCAAGAAUGAUUCAAGGGAAAUGAAAUCUUACUUAUAAGUGUGAUUUCAAUUAAUCUCUAAUAGAAAUUAUUUUGAAUCAAUAGUGCAAGUUAUUUUUAAAAACAUUUUUCCAAAAUUAAAAAAAUCAAUUUUUUUUUUUUCGAUAAGUUGUUUUUAAAAGGAUUUUUUUUAUUUUGUAAAAAGAAAAUUGUAAUUCAAUUUAUAUAAUAUAAACUAAAUUUUAUUUUAUUCAAAAAGAAAUAAUUUUUUAAUUAUAAAUAAAUUAAAAAUAAAUACUUUUAAUAAAAUAUAAAUAGUAUUAUUAUAAUAAAAUCAUAAAUAAAUUUAAUUUUUUUUAUAAAUAUUAUAAAAAUAUGGAUAUUAACAUUGGAUAAUUGAUUUAUUUUGUUAAAAUAAAAAAUAAUAAUUUUUAAUAUUAUUUUAUGUUAAAUGAAUUUUAAAAUAAAGAAAGUUUAAUUAUUUUAAGGUAUAGAAGAGCCAAAUUUUGCAUUACAUACAUAACAAACAAUAUUUAUUAGAAACAUUUCUCAAGGAGAAUCUUAUUCCAUCUCACAAAGAUACUCGUUUAUUCGAUGUUUGACCAUCCGUAACAAUCAUGUCAAUUCUACUGAUUUAAUAAUUCCUUUACAUUUAUUACUCACUUAUGAACAUGGUAUUGUGAUUUAUUUAUUUAUUUGAUGUAUAAUUAAUUAAUCAAUUUUUUAAAUUUCAAAUUAUUUUUAAAAACUAUUCAUUAAGGAAUUUAAAGCAUUAAUUAUGUCUAUUAUUUUUUAUAGUCAUUAUAUAUAUAUUGAGUUUUAAUUUAUUUUUAAAAAUUAUUAAACUUAUUAAUAAAUUCAAUAUAAAGUCUCGUUUCAUUUGAAAUUCAUUUCUUUAGUGAAAAUUUUGAAAAAAAAAUUGUUAUUUAUUUUACUUUGUUUUAAAAAAAUUGUUUCUAGAGAACAAUAAUCAAAUAAUGGUAUGAAUUUUUAAAAACAAUUUUGUUUUUAAAUCAUAUGCCCAAAUAAUUUUUUUUUAUUUAGCAAAAAACUUUGUUGUAGUAUGUGGCUCAUAUUGAGGGAAAGACAUAUAUGGAGAAAAAUGUGCAAAUGUUGGAGUGGAGCGGAGUGGAAUGACGACAUUUGUCAUUCAAACUUGUAUUUUUAUUGUUAAGGGUGACCGAUAGGUUGGUACGGUUUAGGGGUAUUUUUGGAAUUUCAUUACCUGAGGGUUAGUAUAAAUACCAUUUUAUGUAACCCUAAUUUUACAUAUAAUGUAAGUUUUCUUCCUUGUUCUUGUGGACAUAGGCAAUCCGUCGAACCACGUUAAAUCUGUGUGUUUUUUUUUCUUUUUUCUUUUUCUCUAAUUUCUUCACCAGGAAUCGUUACACUAAGAUCAACAAACUCUCAAAGAUGAUUUUUAAAAUGAAAAAAAUAAUGUAUAGUGUGAGAAUUUUUUAUUUUUUAUUUUUUUAAAAUGAAAAUAAAAAAUUGCUUUAAGGUAAAAGUGUGGAUAUUAUUGUUAAUUUAUUUCAUUUUUCAUUUUCAUUUCCAUUGUUACCUACAAUUGAAAUGGAAACAACUAAUCAUUACAACCUUACAUUCUUAUAUGCAUCCAAAUACAAAAAUUGAAAUCACCAAAUUCAUAUUCAAGGCAAAAUAGGAAUGAAAACAAAUAUUCAUUCUCAUUCUUUAUUCCCACGUGUCAAACAUGACCUCAAAGUUAUAAACAUGAACAAGAAGUCCUUGAAACACCAAUGAUCUCUUCUGGUAUAUAUAUGAGCUUGAUUGACAACUGUUUUAAAUACAGUUUUUUUUUUUUUUGUUUUCAAAAUCAAAACAAAUUUAUUUUUAUUUUUUAUAAAUAGUAGUUUUUUAAUAUUUUUUUUAAACCUUAUUAUGAAAAUAGGAUGUUUUCUAAUAUCAUAUUUUAAUUAUUUUCAAUUAUUUUCCCUUCUUUUAAGGAGGGCUAUUUUAAAAAUAUGAAAAAUGAUACAAAAUAAAGCAUUACAAAUAAAAAUCAUUUUUAAGAAAUAUAUGAAAAUAAUUUGAGAACAUUUGAAGUUCCUUAAUUAAACUUUUGUUCUAGAAAAUGCAAGAAAACUGUUUUUGAAAAUUGUUUUCAUAAUGAUAUGCAUUGAUCGUUUAAAAUUUAAUUACAUGAUAAAAAGACCUAUGUAAAAACCAGAGUUAUAUAAUCAGUCAUAGAUCAAAUCUACUAAAUAUGAAAAGUAAGUACAUAGUUGUAUAUGACUUAGAUGGAGCCUUCUCCGAAUGACAUUCUUUAGUCGGUACUCAUAUUUUUUUGUUUCGUGUCUUCAACAUAACACCUCAUGAUCCUUAAUAAAUCACCUGAAAACUAUAUUAGCACCUUAUUGUUUAAUAUUUCUCUAAAUUUUUUUAUUAAGCAAAUAAAUUCCAAAUUUAAAAUGACAAAUAAAAUUUAUUAAUUUUUAAAAAUAAUUUAAAACUCAAAAACCAAUUUAAUUGAUAUUAAAAGUCAUGAAACUUAAUAAUAUUAGAAAGUCAUGUAUCCAAAUUUAUUUUAAAUGACUUGUUUAAUUUCUUGUUUAUAUAUAUUAUAUUUUUAUAAUUUUUUUUACUAUACAAAUAAAUUUUAAAUUAAACAAAACUUAAUGCGUUGAAUUCAUUAACGAGUCUAAUAAUUUUUAAAAGUUACUUAAAAUUUAAAUACUAAAUCAAUUAGUACCACAAAUUCAUGGAAAAAAAUUGAUUUAUUACUACUAUAUUGUUUCUCUAUUGCAUAGAACCAUUAUUUUUCAAUUUUUUCAUUUGGCAAAUGAACAUCAAAUUAAACAAGACUAAGUGUAUUAAAUUCAUUAAUGGGUCUAGUAAUUUUUUAAAAUAAUUUAAAAUUCAAAUAUUGAUACUCCAAAUUAAACAAGACUUAGGUGGUGUUUGUUUUUUGGUUGAAUAGAAAAAGGUAAAAUAUUUGACUUUUUCUAUUUAGUUAAAAGUAACUUGUUGACAUCGUCCAAUAUAAUUAAAGUAAACCUAUUGAGGGCAAGUUCACUUUAAUUAUGUUGGACGAUGUCAACAGGUUACUUUUAACUCAAUAGAAAAAAUCAAAUAUUUUGACUUUUUUUUUAACUCAAAUAAUAAAUCCAUUAAUACAAAAAAAUUAUGGAUAAUUUGAAACUUUCUUUCUUUUUUUUUUUUUUUUUGCUACACAUAGCUAUAUUUUUAUAAAUUUUAUCAUUAGAGAAAUGGAUUUCAAAUCAAGUGAAACUUUGUAUUGAAUUAAUGGAUUUAACAUUUUUUAAAAAUAAUUUGGAACUAAAAAAAAAAGAUUUAAUUACUAAGAAAAUCAUAGAUCAAAACUAAUAUAUUCUGAUCCAUGAUUUUAUUAUUUUUCCUAUACAUACAAUUAUAUUUUUAUAAUUUUCUCACUAGGUAAAGAUAUUAUAAAUUAAGUGACACAUAAUUAAUAAUUUAAAUUUUUGAAUGAAUCUUUUAAUUUUAGGAAUAAUUUGAAAUUUAAAAAGUUGAUCCAAUUAAUUGUAAAUUAACUUAAAAUAUUAUAAAAUAUUAUGUUCAUAAUUAAGUACUAAAUGUAUAUAUGUAAUGAAAACUUAACUAGUUACAUGUUACAAAAGCCAAAAUUUAUUCAUUCUUUAUUUUAAAUAAAAUAUUAUUAAUAAUUAUUUUUUUUAAAAUAAUAUUUAGUAAUUAUUGUUUUUAAAUUAUUAUUAUUAAUUUUUAAUAAAAAAAUUGCAAAGUUAUUAAUAUCAUUAUAUUUCUAACAUAAAUUUAAAUAGUAUAUUUUUUAAUAUAUAUAUAUAUAUAUAUAUAUAUAUAUAUAUAUAUAUAUAUAUAUAUAUAUAAUUUAUGAUUUCAUUAUAAUAUUUUUAUUCAUGAUUGACGAAAAAUUAUUUAUUGUUUAAUUUAUUUGAAUUGCAAAACUAUUUUUCAAAAUUCAAGCGAGAAAAUAGGCCUGGAUUUGAAUUUCCUGUAGAAGAGAAGGAUGUGGAGAAUAUGUUGGGAGUAUUUGUGGAUAAAGAAAAGGCCAGGGUACUGAGAAAGGAGAGAGAACUUGCUCUUGCCAAAAGAGCCCUGCACAGGUAUUCUACUGAUUCUAAUUAUCGGUUCUUACAUGAUCAGAUUUCAGAUUUAUUUGCUGAGCUUCUGAAAUCUGAUACAGUAUUUAAACUCCGGUGAGCUUUACAAGAUUAGUCUCGCAUCCAAUUCCAAAUGGUGUCCCACAAUUGAUUCUUCUUAUGAUAAAUCCACCUUGAUAUGUGAAAAUAUUGCUCGAAAGGUUUAUCCUCGCGAGGAAUAUCCAGAAUACUAAGGAAUUGAGGAGGCUCACUAUGUUUAUAGAGUCAGGGAUAGGUUGAGAAAACAAGUAGUUGUUCCAUUACAUAAGGCCCUGGAGUUGCCAGAGGUUUUCAUGUGUUCGAACAAGUGGGGAUCACUUCCCUACAACCCUGUGGCUUCAGUGGCCAUGAAAUCAUACAAGAGCCUCUUCUCAAACCAUGAUACAGAGCGGUUUGGUGAGUAUCUUGAGAAAGUGCAAACUGGGAAGGCUAAGAUUGCAGCUGGUGCAUUACUUCCCCAUGAGAUUAUAGCUUCAUUGAAUGAGGAGGAUGCCGAGAGAGUUGCCGAGCUUCAGUGGGCAAGAAUGCUGGAAGAUUGAUCAAAGAAAGGGAGGCUCACAAAUUGCAUUGCAGUAUGUGACGUAUCAGGAAGUAUGAGUGGAACUCCAAUUGAGGUGUGUGUGGCUCUGGGGCAGUUAGUUUCAGAGCUCAGUGAAGAUCCAUGGAAAUUAAGGUAAUGUAAUUACUUUCAGUGCAAAUCCUGAGCUUCACAAGAUCCAAGGAGACAGCCUUGUAUCCAAGACUGAAUUUGUGAGGAUGAUGGAAUGGGGUGCCAACACUGACUUUCAGAAAGUUUUGACAGAAUCUUACAAGUAGCAGUGGAGGGAAAUAUGAGUGAAGAUCAAAUGAUAAAGAGGGUUUUCGUUUUCAGUGAUAUGGAGUUCGAUGAAGCUUGUGGGAGGUAUAACUAUUGUGACUAUGACUAUGAUAUGGAGGAAAUUGACGAGAGUCAGAAGGCAUCUCAGAAGUGGGAGACAGAUUAUGAAGUGAUACAGAGGAAAUUCCAGGAGAAAGGAUACAGAAAAGUUCCAGAGAUAGUGUUUUGGAACCUUAGAAACUCAUCAGCGACUCCAGUGACGGCCACAGAGAACGGGGUGGCCUUAGUAAGCGGGUUUUCAAAGAAUCUGUUGACCUUGUUUUUGGAAGGAGGUGGAAUUCUGAUCCCUCAGGAUGUGAUGGAAUUCGCCAUCUCUGAUGAAGAUUACAAGAAACUUGUUCUAUUUGAUUAAGAUAUCAAGAGAUUUAUCAAUAAUAAUAUAUUUUUUUUCUAUGUGAAAUACAUAUAAUAUUAACUGUGGAGUUAUCAAAGUUCUGGAGGUUUAAUUAUUUCUUCUUUUCAAGUUUUGUUUAUUUAAGGUUUUCUUUGUCUUUGUUAGGAAUUCCCCUUGGGUGGACCCAGCUGGGGAGUUGGAUUGAGGAAGUAAGCAGGCGAACUUGUGUUCUUCUAUGGACAGAGAAAAAAAAUAAAAUAAAAAAAUAAAAAAGGAGGUUAUUUGCAUUUGGAUGUCGUGGUUUGAGGGUACAACUACAAGCUCGAAAUUGUACAUAAUGUGAAAACUCCUGUGUCCAUUGCUGAGAACAGCAUAAAUGAUGGUGAUUUUCAAGUUGUGCCUGGUAUUCUACAGGAUGAAACAAGAAAGGAUCCAGGUGGUAUAUUGAACAAUAUCCCAAUCAUGUUGGUGGCAUCUUUAUUUAGUUAAUGGUAUUCAUUUGGUGGAAGCUGGUUGUUUAUGAUGUUUUUAAUUUUUUUUAACAUGAAGUUCGAUCAAAUACGUAUCUUAGUAUGUUUUGUUUGAGCUAAUUGGCAAAUGCGCUUUAAACAUGGUCACAUGGAUGCAGUUUUAUUUGUGAAAUGAUAAUAGUCGAUUACUUGGUCAGUAAGGUUUAUAUCUCUAACUUCAACAUCUUAUUGUAGUCUUUUAAAAUGUCAAAAGUUUAAUGCUUGAGAAAUUUUGGAAUGGAGACAUUCUAAACAAAGUUAAUAAUCCACAAGACUUGGUAAAACCGAUCAGAUGAUGCUUACGUACAUCAAUGCCUUCUUUAAGCCAUAUCCUAUUUUCAUUGAACGGGAUGUGCCAUCUAGUUUGGUUCUUUAAGCCUCCAAAUCCUAAACCUAGUCUCAAUUUAGAGCAAAUUUAGGGUGCAGGGCCUGCAUGCCUCCCCCUCCCCCUUCCACAAAUAGUAGUGACCUUGCUAUGCCUAUGCAUUGUCAAUGCCUCAUUUUCUAUGGUCUCCAAUGUAAUAUCUUAGUUUCAAUGUCUCUUUCCUUACUAUCUCCAAUGCAAUAGAUUGAUUUCAAUACCUCUUUACAACUAAGACCUCCAAAUUUUCUUGGUUCAAACCUACCAGAAUUUUUCUUCUCCUUUGCUUUCUAUCAAUAUUAGUUCCCCUAAUUUAAUAUAUACUUCUUUAUUACCUUCAACUCUACCUCUCUUUCUUUCUCUAAAAGCUUCCUCAAAGAUUUAAUUGCUUUCUUGCAUGUUUUAAGAAAACAAACAUGCUCAUAUUACAUUACCUCUACUUGAGAUCUACCUUAUACUCUACCUUCUUUCUUUACCUCCUAUAUCAUCUACUACAUUAGCUUCAAAAAUAUUAUUUAGUUUGAUACUAAAUAAGGCUCCUAAUCCUACUCUUCCUUCAACAAACUUUCUUUUUACAAGUUCCUUAAACUUUAUUUUUUAUUUUUUAUUUUUUGGAAAUUCGGGUUAGAAAGAUUCCAUUACUCUUACCUAAUAUUUCAACCAUCAAGUUGAAUCCACUUAUUGCCUAAAUCCAAGGAGUCUGCCCUCCACAAAAACAAGGAAAUUGAUCCCACAAUAACAAGGAGAUUGCCUUCCACAGAAACAAAGAGAUCUCCCUUCACAGAAGCCGAAUACAUUGCAAUCUAUUUUCUUUCUUGUAAGAUCAAAUCUUCAAUCGAGCUCCAUCUUAUGGGGGCAUAUUAGAGAAAUUUAAUAUUAUCCUUAAUUUACAUAUUAAUAUUUAUCUAUUUAUUAUAUAUUGAAUUAAAAUAGAAUAUAGAAUUUGAAUCAUAGUAGAAGUUUACUAUAAGAUUGAAUUACAAUAGUUAAUAGAGUUUAAAUUAUAAUAACUCAAAUACAUUUAUAUAUAUUUGACCUUACGAGAUUUUCUAUUUAUGUAUUUGAACUACAAUCCUUAUGAUCCUUAGGUCUCUAUACCUUCGUGAUGGGCUCCUUGACAUUUCAUAGGUUGUGCUACACAUGCAUUUGAAAUUUAGAGUGCAUUUGACAGUGAUUCUGGGAAGUGUUUUUGGCAUUUCUAACACUUAAAAUUUUUUAUUUUUCAAGUAUUAGAAAUGCUACAAACACUUUUGAAAAUUACUGUCAAACACACUCUUAGGAGCGCAUAUAGUAGAAAACUAGAAAUUGUGGUUUUUUUAGGAUUUACUGUAAUGUCAUUAGGAGGGUAGUAAGUUGAAACUGAGUAUGAAUAAAUAUUUCUUUCUUUGGGAUGUUCUUCUGGUAGGUGCUGAUGAAACUGUUCUUUUUACUGCCAAUGUCACAUAUCAGCCAGAAAUUGAAAAUUUCAGUCAAGGUGUCCUCGGUUUUAGUGGUGAGGAAAGCUAGAAAUUUUAAGGUGAAGUUCUGUUAAAAACCUUAAGUAGCUGGGAUAUCAGGCCUGUUUUGCUUGAAAAAAAAAGUUGCAAGAUAACUCAUAUGCCAAACAGGUUCUGAUAUUGUGAAUCUAUCGGCAGACAUCAGUAAUCUCAUCUUCUGAGAUGGAUGUUGGGGGUGCAUGUGGUGGUGGAGGGGCAAGGUUUCAUUUGGUUUAUUUUGUUGAUGGAUAUUGUCUAGCCCCCUGCGCCAAGUUUGAGGGGUGGUGGGUUGUGAUGGCCCUACAAUUACUAUUAAUUUCUUCCUCUUUUACCGAUUAAAGUGUCCGAACAGUCGAAGUUACCCUUAUGCAUGUCAACUUGAUCACUUACCUCUUCAAUGGAGUUUAUGCUGGUUCAUUUAGGAACUGAUUUUUAUUGUUAUGCAUUCUAUGCUGAUGUUUAGGCCUCUCCAUCAUCACUAUAUACAAAAAUUCUAGGUUGAUACUAUAGGUUGAGAUUUAUUUUUUAAAUAAAAAAUAAUAAAAAUAAAAAUUAUGGUGAUGUUUAGUUGUUUUAUGGAAAAUUUUAACAAGUUAUUUUUGGGCAAGUUUUCAAACAAAAAGAAAAGUAAAAGUUGUUUUGACAAAAACAUAUAGAAAAAAAAAAUCAUAGAAAAGAAAUAAUUUCCCCAUAUUCUAACUUUUUUUAAUUUUUCUCAAUGGGCAAAGGAAUAUCAAAUCAAGUUUGAGUAGGAUUUCUUAAUUUUUAAAAUAACUUACAAUUAAAAAAUUUUGGUGUUUUCAUUUUUGGACAAUUUUUUAUUAAGCAAAUGGACUCUGAGUCAUGCAAGAGAUAUGGUUGAUUAAUGGGUCAAACAAUUUUUUUAAAAUAAUUUAAAACUCAAAUACAUAAUCAAUGUCACAAAAUUUAUAAACAAAAAUAGGUUUAGAGAAGAUCUACACAUAAUUUUACUUUUCUAAUUUUAUUUUAUUUUAUUUUUUUGUUGGAAAAUAGUCUUCAAAUCAUGUAAGAUUUAAUAGGUUAAAUUUGUUAACAAUAAAUUUUAAAUUAUAAAAUAUAAUCUGGAACUUAAAAAUCAAUUCAAGUAAUGCUAAAAAAAAUCAAAUUUGGUAUAGAAUGACUACGUAAAAUUUUUUACAAAACAAAUGAAUUUUAAAUCAAGUGAGAUUUAAUGCAUUAGAUUUUUAUCAAAUAUAGUAAUUUUAAAAUUUAAUUUGGAACUCAACAAUAGACACAAUAAAUACCAAAAAAUAAUGAACCAAAAUUGGUUUGGAAUAACUCCACAACCUCUUUUUUUUUUUUUUGGUGCACACGAAUUUUCUUACUAGGUAUAUUGCUUUCAAAUUGAGAAAGAUUUACUAUUUAGAUUUUUUUUUUUAAUGAGUUUAAUGGUAUUUUAAAAUAAUUCAAAAUUUCAAAAAUUGACUAAUUACUAUUAUAAAUUCAUAAACCAAGACUAAUUCAAAAUGCAUUGGGGGCUAAGGGGGUUGAAAAUAGGGACAAUGGGAUGGGUUUGGGACAUGACACUCAUAUCUCAUUUCCAUUCCAAUUACAUAGUUAUCUCCCAUCCUUAUCCCAAACUUGUGUUGGAGCAAGUUGAUUUGUUCCCAUCUUUGUUGAUGAAAUGACUAAUAACCUCAUCCCCUCCUUAUCUUAGAUGUACAUUUUGUCAAAUUUGAUCAGGUAUGAUUGAUCCAAGCCCUAACCCUAAUUGGUAAUGACUGGAUACUACACCUAAUUGCAUUCUUCUUUCGUCGCAAAAUAAUGAGAUUAUAAUAAUCUAGCAAAUAAGAAAAAAUAGUAUGGAAGUUCAAUUUAACACCAUAACUAUCAAUAAUUUUAAGCUUAUAGAUGACUUAAAUGAUUAAAAACUAAUGCAAAAUACCAAAAAAAAAAGUUCAUAUAAAGAAUUCACAAGAGAACAAAAUGAACAAAAACCAAAUAUGAACAUGGGUCAACAUUAGUUAUGGAUUUGGAUUCCUUUCAAGGCCAAUCUUUGAACCAAGACUUCAUCAAAUCUACUACUUCAAAGGCUUUUGUGUUCUUCUUGGGUUGUGCUCUCAAACAAAGACUUCAAGGUGAUGCUCUAGAUGAUUGCAUUACACAUAUUUAGGGUGGAGAGAUUGGAGAAGCUUGAAGAUGCCAACGAUGGGUACAAUUGAGUGGUCAAUAAGAACAAUGUAGCCUAUGACUAGUUUGAUGUCGUGGUACAAGAGUUUUAGGCAUUGAGGUUAAAGCAAGAGCAACAUGGAAUUGAUUUUGGAGUCUUUCAAUUAGUGUAAAGGAGGAAGAAGUGGUAUUGAUUCUAGAAAUAGGGUUUUAGGUGGUGCGUUAGAGGAUGAAGAAGAAGAAAAAGAAGGAUCUGUUGGAAUUAGUGUGAGUGUGAAGAGAGAAGUAUAUAAAUAAGGGGAAGUAAAAGCAAAGUUCUAAAAGCUAUAUUUUUUUUUAUUGUUGGUGUAUGGUUGCAUGAUUAUCCCUAUAAAUAAUAGGAGUUUUUUUGGUAUUCUACUAGUAGUUGAAGGAUAAUUUCAUAAAUUUAUAUUUAGAGUGGGGUGGGGUGAGUUGUGACAAAAUUCAUACCCGUCCUAAACCUUGGUUCAGAUUUUUAAAAUAUCCUCAAACUUAUCAUAUACCCAACUUUUAUAUUUCAUACUUGUCUUGAUAGAGGCAGGUUAGGCCGGGUUACUUGAGUAACCUACAUAAUUGUCAUCCCUAGUUGAAAUACACUUUUUUGGCAGUGGCCACCAACUGAGCUAGAAGCUUGAUCGAUUGACCUACAAGAUUAGUUCUCAUCAUUUUAAAAAAAGUUUUGGCCUUGGUUGUGAGUGCAAUUGAAUCUAAACUGGCAUUUCCUUAAUGCAUCUACUUCAAUCCUAAAUUUCUUACUUCCUAAGCCUCAAUUGUUGUUAGGAUUUUGGAAAGCCCAUUUCCUUAAAUUGUAAAUUUAAGAAAAAAUAAAAUAAAAGUGAGACAUUUCUUGAUUGAAUAUUGUUAAAGGUCCCUUGGCAUUAAGACUUGGUUGAAGCCUUGGAAGAUUAGUGGAACUCUCAACUUGUGUUUGAAUCUUGAGGAGAGUGGACGUAAGCCAAAAUUUUGUCAAACCAUUAAACAAAUUGAGUUUGAAUCCUCAUUUCUUGAUUUCUUAUUUAUUUGCUUUUUCUUAUUAUUACUUGAAUUGUCAUUUGCAUUCAUUAAUGUUAAAAUUGGUUAUAAUUAACCAACACUAAUUCUCUUUCCCCUUCCCUUUCUUGGGUGUAAACCUAGGUUGGAUUAACUAGAUUAAUUUAUAAAAUCUAUUAAGAUGGUAAAAGAAUAAUUAUUCUUAACACACAUAAGAUCAUCUUCAAUCAAAUGACUCAUUGGCUAAUAUGUUGAAUUUGCUUAUUACUUGCAACUCAAAAUUGUGUUCUAGUUGAUAUGUCAAGUCCCCAGUGUAUGGACAUUAAAUUUGUAGUACGUGAUGGUAAUUAGAUGGUCCAACUCCAAGAAAGUGAUUGAAAACUAGUUCAAGAAAGGUGCAAAAGGGAAUUGUUUUGGUAUUUUCGUUUUUAUUCUUGAAGGUGGCAGAGCUAAAAUUUGUGAAAUCAAGCAAAACAUACUGAAAUUACAUUGAAAGAAAGAAAAUGGGAGUUAAUGUCUUGCAGUAGAUGAUAAGGACUUCAUGCAUGUAGUAUGACCCAUGUCUUGGACUGAUGCCAACUCACGGUUACACUUAUACCCUUGGUUCUCUCUUUACUACCUUGGCUAACCUAGAUCAGGCUAUGAGAUAGGCUCCUCACCACACCAUUACUUGCCCAUUAAUUAGAGACAUUUUCAAGCACUGAGGUAACAUGGUGACACCAAGAGGGUUUAUUCCUCGCCCUCCUCGCCCUCAACAAGUCUAGACUUGGUCUCAAAAAAAUGGAGAAAAAUGAGGUGUCGUUAUGUAGAAAUACAACAACCAUGCCUUCCUCAUUACUUUGAUUCAGAAUGUGAAGGUGAAAUUGAGAAACAGAAACUCUUGAAACCAAAAUGAAAAUUGAUACUUUUACGAAGAAUUACAACAACAUUGGAGGAAGACUACAUUCUUCCUCUUUAUUCCUACAUUUCUACACUACUUCUACUCCACUCCAUAUUUCUACAUACAUCUUUAAUCAGUCUUCCCUCCUUUAUAUAGAGCCAUCUUCACACAAAUUCCGCAAGGUAGAAAAGAGGAAUGAAACUUGGAGCAAGGUUCGACUACUGGCUGUAGCUUGUCAAGGCUGGAAGUGAACCUUUUUUCUUGGCUUUUCUGGGCAUGGGUAGUAACUUGUGGGUUCCUUUUUGGGAUACAAAUGGCUAGAACAUGUGGCACUAUCUUGUUGGAUGAUGUGUCAAGCAUGUGGCAGCCAUCUAGUGGCGAUUAUGUCAAUUUUGGGAUGGAGAGUUGGCAUCCAAUUGCAAAGAAAUAUGACGUCUACCAACAGGCAAUGUAAACCUAUGUAGAUCAUAUGAAGAUAGAGAGGAAAAAUAUAGAAAUGGAUAUAUACCUAGAACUAGCUUUUUAUUAAAUGAAACGGAGAGCCAACAAUGAAGGAAAAUAAAUUUUUUUGGCUUAUAUCAAAGAGUUCACAUUGUGCUACCCUAGGUUUUCUUAAAACUUACUUUUAUGAUAACAAAAAAAAAAAAAAACAUUAUUGUUUAAUCCUUUGUUUUAAACGCAUGUUUAGCAAGUUAUAAAAUGUAAAAAUCUUUCUAAGUUCAAAUAUGAAGAUAUGACAUCAUUUCAAGCAAGAUAGUCUCUAGGAAUUAAUGUAAAGCUAAAUUAAGGUGAAAUUAAAUUAGUUCAAUGCAUUAAUUUAAGAAACUUGACCUAUCAAAAGUACAAAAUUAGAUGAAAUCCAUUUCAAUGGUUAAAAUGAUCAAAAUCAAACUUUUUCUAAGUAUUUUUUAAAAGUAUCAAUAUUGAAAGACAAUUUUAUAUUUAGUCAGAGUUUGGACAAAACCAAAAAGCACACAAAAUCCAAGCGACCAUCUCUAGCUUGGAUGGUCGCUUGAUCUCUAGCUUGUGUACUUGGAAAGCAACAUCGAGAUGAUAUAUAUAUAUAUAUAUAUUUUAUAUAAUAUUGUUUGUCCAAAUUCCCUAAAAAUUAGGCCACCACAUGUUCAUAAUUCUCCCUUCUUGAAUUUGAAAACUCGGACAAUUGGACAAUGCGACACCUAAGUCCGGUUUCUAAAUGCUAAAGUGAAAGGGUAGGUAUGGACCAUUGAAAUGUGAUCACAACUUUUCUCUGUAGCCAUGUUGUCUCUUUUUUCUUUUGCAUGAUUUUCUCACCUUAACAGAAUCAUAGACUUGUUUAAUCUCUAAAUGGGAUUAAUUUCAUCCAGCUUUAAGCUACUAUAUUAUAUCUAGGUGGAGGACUUUUAAGAGUGCAACCGACAUAGAGCACAUGCAAGUGGGUAUAUGGGACAUGAAAUUUCUUCUUAUAAAGAUUGCAUGAUUUUUAUAUUAGAGUUGUUGGGGCGCAAUGUAUGUAGCUUGUUUUGCAGUUAAAUUAAUUGGAUAAGUAGACAUUGGCGUUUCUAAAUCUACUGUGAAGUGCUUCAUGUACGUGUGAAGUAUUAGAAAUUUCUUUCUUGGCAACUUGUUUUUUCUUUGCGGUCUACUGAUAGGUUUGACUAAAAUUAUAUUCCCUGUCAUGCUAAUUAAUUUUCACGUGCAUGCUCAAAAGAAGAGUAUGACCUUAGUGCACCAAAAUCACUUUGAUUAAUUUGUGAUAGGUUUUUGUGCAUCAUGACAUUAGCCUUAUUCAUUUAGAUAAUGUUUAGUUUUUAGAAAGUAUUAAGAAAAGGAAAAUAAAUAUUAAGAAAAAUAUUCUUAUAUUUGAUUGUAUUAUGAAAAAUGUCAUAAAAAAAUCAAAUAUAAUUUAAAUUAAUUAAUAAUUUAUACAUUUUCAAAUUAUUUAAUCUUUAUAUUGAAGAUAUAAUAUAAAUGAAAUGAGUUUUAAGUAUUAUAUAAAAGUGAUUUAUUGAUCUUGCAUAUAUGUAUUUCUUUUUUUUUUCUUCUAUUUUUUUUCUUUAUUUUAUUUUCCUUAUGUUUUCCUCAACAUUUUCCGGAACCAAACAUAGCCUUAGGAAAUCCACAAUUACCUUCAACUGAGUAUAUUCGGUUGUUUUAGCAAUGUUAGGCUGCUAACUUGUGUUGGUACGAACCUGUUAAGCCUAAAGAUGUAAUUAGUUAGGAUAUUCUUUUCCCUCUAGUCUUGUAGCUCCACGUGUAUAGUUGGUUAGGACCUCAUUGUAUAUAAUGCCUGCCCUGUUAUUGUUGAAGACAACAGAGAUAAAUAAUAUUAACAUUUUUCCUCUCAUCUCUCUUUGUUUCCCUCUGUUUUCAUCUCCUCUCUCAUCUUGGUAUCAGAGCCUCCAUGGAUUCUUUCAAAGAAACCUCCGAAUCACCUUCUGCUAGCAUUGUUAAUGUGCAAAACCCAUUAUCUCAGUCAAACAACCUUCCUUCACCAGCAGCCACACCCUCUUUUUCUUUCUUGUCUAUGAAUCAACCUCUCACAGUGAAGCUGGAUAAUGGAAACUACCUCAUCUGGAAGAAUUAGCUUCUGAAUGUCAUCAUUGCGAACAGACUCGAUGAUUUCAUUUAUGGAACUCGACCCUGCCCUCCUUGAUUUCUCAAUCUGCAACAACAAACCCUCACUCCAGAGUACUCGGUCUAGCAGAGAUACAAUCGACUUCUAAUGAGUUGGCUGUACGCAUCCUUGUCCGAAGAUAUAAUGACUCAGAUUGUUGGGUAUUCAACAACUGUGGAGAUUUGGAACGUCCUUAAUCAGAUUUACUCUGCCUCUUCAAUGGCGUGGGUUACCGAGCUUCACACCAAGCUUCAAACGCUCAAGAAAGAUGGACUCUCAGUUGGUGAAUAUAUUCAAAGGCUCAAAUCCAUUUGCAAUAGUCUUGCAGCAAUAGGAGAACUAGUUUCUGAGAAAGACCAGCUUAUCUAUUUGUUCAAUGGAUUAUAUUGUGAGUAUAAUUCUUUUGUUACCUCCAUUCAAAAUCGAUCUGACCAACCAACUAUUGAGCAAAUCCAUAGCCUAUUGCUUAGCUAUGACUUUCGGCUUGAACAACAAAACUCUGUUUCUCUCCAUUAUGCCCAAGUCCGUAUGGCUCAUCUGAACAAGAAACCUUAUAAAUCAACUCCUCAACCUACAUUCAAUCAUAUUCACAUUCAACCUAGAUACUCUUCUCCACCUUUUAAGCCAACCACUAGUCAAUAUCAACCCAGGAUUUUGGGCAAACCACAACCACAACCAUGACAGCCUCAACCUCAAUGGAAACCACAUUUUUCAAUCCAGAAUCAAAAGCCUCAGUGCCAAAUUUGUGGUAAAUUUGGACACACUGCUCUUAUUUGCUUCCAUUGCACAAAUUUGAACUAUUCACCCCAACCUUCUCCUAAAUCUUUCAAUACUGUUCUCACCACAAAUUCCCAGCUCCCUAAUCCUCCAAAAUUUUCUUACCCUACAAUGGCUCAUCCUGCUGCUACGCAUAACACGAUUCCUGAUACAAAUUGGUACAUGGACUCAGGUGCUACACAUCACUUUACUCCGGACAUCAACAUGCUUGACACUGUGACACCAUUUAGUGGUUUAGAACAGGUGACAGUUGGGAAUGGUAAGCAACUCUGUAUCUCACAUCUUGGUACUGCAAAACUACCAUCCUCGUAUUCUCCUCUUGUUCUACAUCAGGUAUAUCACACUCCAAAAAUUUCAAAUAAUCUUAUUAGUGUUAGAAAAUUGUGUUCUGAUAAUAAAGUUUUUGUUGAAUUUUAUGCCACUCAUUUUCUUAUCAAAGAUCAAGUUUCGAAGAGAGUUCUCUUUCAAGGUCAACUUGAUAAUGGCUUAUACAAAGUUCAGUCGUCAUGCUCUCCUUCUACUAUUUCCUUUCAUCCUCAAGUUUUCAUAGCCAACAUCAAGGAUCAAAAUUUGUGGCACAAGAGACUAGGCCACCCAGCUUUAUCUGUUAUUAAUCAAAUCUUGGAUUCUUGUAACAUUGCUCGAACACAGAAAAUUGGUUUUAAUUUUUGUAGUUCUUGUCAAUUAGCAAAAAGCCACAGGCUUCCUUUUUCUCUGUCUCCAUCCAUUGCAGAAAAACCUUUUGAGUUAAUUCAUACAGACCUAUGGGGUCUUUCUCCUGUUCGCUCUAUUUCUGGUGCUCGUUAUUUUUUACUUUUCAUUGAUGAUCAUACUCGUUUUACUUGGUUUUAUUUGCUCAAAACAAAAGAUGAAGCAUAUCCUACUUUUCUCAAGUUUCAAGCUCUCAUUGAAAAUCAAUUUAAUACCAAGAUUAAGGUUGUCCAAUCUGAUUGGGGAGGUGAGUUUCGAUCUCUCUCCAUACUGUUUUCAAAUAUGGGCAUUGUCUAUCGUUUAUCAUGUCCAUACACCUCACAACAGAAUGAGUGGGUUGAGCGAAAAAAUCACCAUGCGGUUGAAAUGGGAUUGUCCUUUCUUGCUCGCUCGGGUAUGCCCUUAUCUUAUUGGCCUUAUGCCUUUCAAACUGCCACUUACCUUAUUAAUCGUCUCUCUACCCCUGUGCUGCACCAUCAAUCCCCUUACUUCGCACUCUAUCACAAAUUCCCAGCUUAUACUCAUCUUAAGGUCUUUGUUCCUCUUGUUUUCCAUAUUUACGCCCUUAUAAUACCCAUAAACUCCAAUACAGGUCACUGGAGUGUGCUUUUCUUGGUUGCAGUUCACACCACAAAGGUUAUCUAUGUCUUGACAUUCAUUCUAGCAGGGUGUAUAUUUCUCGCCAUGUGAUUUUUAAUGAAGAUUCUUUUACAUUCAAGAAUUUGAAAUCUUCUCUCUCUUAGUCUAUUUCUUCUUCCUCUUCUUUAUUAGUUCCUCUGUUCAUUUCCUUGCCUCCCCUCUCCCCAUAUCCUCCUAUUUCUCCAUCUAUAUCUCAUUCUUUUCUCUCUUCUUCUUCUACCUCUAGUACUUGUUCCCCUCUCGUUGCUCCUACCUCUCUUCCUCCCUCUUCACACUUUGUGUCCCAUCUAUUCCACCUCCUUCUCCACCUUCUUCGAGUGUGGACCUGCUUGUACCUUGUGUGAAUACAAAUUUACUUACUUUUUCUCGCACUCACAAUAUUCAUCCUAUGGUGACCAGAUCUAAGGGUUUGUAUCUAUAAACCUAAGUUGCUAUUGAGUGUCUCCAUAGGUUCUCUCACUAAGCCUACUUCCUUUCUUCAAGCUAUUAAAGAUCCUUCAUGGAAGCAAGCCAUGGAAUUGGAGUUUGCUGCCCUUCAACACAACAAGACCUGGCAUCUAGUUCAUUCACCUUCCUCAGGCAAAGUAAUUGGUUGUAAAUGGGUCUAUAAGAUAAAGCUUUAGCCUGAUGGCUAAUUGAGAGAUACAAGGCCCGCUUAGUAGCUUAGGGUUAUCAUCAAACUGAAGGUAUUGACUACUUCGAAACAUUCAGCCUGGUUGUCAAGCCUUCUACUACCGUAUUGUGCUCAGUCUUACUUUUUCCCAGAAUUGGUGUAUUAGACAGCUGGAUGUUCAUAAUGCCUUCUUACAUGGUGACUUAGCUGAAGACGUUUUCAUGGAACAACCACCUGGAUUUGUUGAUCCUCUCUAUCCUACUCAUGUCUGCAAGUUGGAUAAGUCUCUCUACGGUCUUAAUAGUCACCUCGGGCUUGGUAUACUAAGCUGAGUACUUCUCUACUACACUUGGGAUUUGUUACUUCUAAGAAUGACUCUUCCUUAUUUAUUUGUCAUUCGUCUCAUGGGUUACUUCUUGUUCUUGUCUAUGUGGAUGAUAUAAUCGUCACUGGGAGCCACUCUCCUCAAGUUACUCACCUUAUCCAAUAGUUGCAUCAUCAGUUUUCUUUAAAGGAUCUUGGUCAUUUACACUAUUUUCUGGGCUUGGAGGUUCAUCACACCCCUACUGGUAUUCACCUCAGCCAAGCAAAGUAUAUCACUGAUCUCCUUACCCGGGCGGCUAUGUUGGAUGCCAAGCCAUGUCCCACUCCUAUGUCCUCCAACACAUAUCUUUCUCUUCAUGAUGGAGUGGCUCUUGAAAAUGGUUCAGAUUAUUGAAGUUUUGUUGGUGCCCUUUAGUAUUGUACCAUGACACGCCCAGAUAUAGCUUUUGCAGUAAAUAAAGUGUGUCAAUUCAUGCACCAUCCCUCUGAUGUUCACUGGCAGGCUAUAAAACGUAUUCUCCAGUACUUAAAGGGCACAUCUCAUUUUGGUCUCUUCCUACAGCCUUCCUAUGACUUCAACAUCACUUGCUAUACAGAUGCCGACUGGGCUUCCUGCCUUGAUGACAAGUGUAGCACCAGUGGCUACUGCCUCUUUCUUGCCUCUAAUCUGGUUUCUUGGUCAUCUUCCAAACAAAAAGUGGUCUCCCGCUCCAGCGCCAAAUCAGAGUACCGAGGGGUAGCAAAUGGGGCUGCUGAAAUUGCUUGGACUGAAUCUCUUCUUUGUGAACUUUCCACCCACUCGACCUCCCCUCAUUGUCUGUGACAAUAUCAGUGCCACAUACUUAGCUGUCAAUCCUAUUUUGCAUGCCCGCACCAAAACAUGUGGAAAUCGACUAUCACUUUGUCUCGGAACGUGUUCUUCAACGCUCUCUCUCUCUCCAGUUUACACCUUCGGAUGAUCAACUUGCUGAUUGCAUGACCAAGCCUCUCUCCACCCAACGUUUCAUCACUCUACGCUCCAAGCUCACUGUUCUCACUAGACCAAUGAGCUUGAGGGGGGAUGUUAAGCCUAAAGAUGUAAUUAGUUAGGAUAUUCUUUUCCCUCUAGUCUUGUAGCUCCACGUGUACAGUUGGUUAGGACCUCAUUGUAUAUAAUGCCUGCCCUGUUAUUGUAGAAGACAACAGAGAUAAAUAAUAUUAACAUUUUUCCUCUCAUCUCUCUCUCUGUUUCCCUCUGUUUUCAUCUCCUCUCUCAUCUGAACCAAAUGAUCCAUGUUAACCUUGGCUUGGUUUGAUUUGGCUCUAUCUUAGAGAGCUCAAGGAUCACGUCAACUCUGGUUUCUACUAUUCAGGUCCAUUCCCAUAUGAACUGGUUCAAAUUUGAGAAAAUGGUAACAGACCUUUAGUGAUGUUGGUUUGGAGCCAGUUGCCAAACCCGCCCUGAGCUUUACCACUAAUGUCAAGGGAGAAAGCCUUUUGAACAAAAACAAUAGCUUCAAGAGACUGAAUCGUGGAUGAAAUCUGAUCCACAUUUCUUCUCAUUUUGGAAACAAAUGAGAACUUAACUAAGAAGAUUCUACGGCCUCAUAGUGCUUUUCCUGAUCUAAGGUUGGUUCGUUUCCCAAAUUGUGAGAUGCACGGGCCAGACUUCAGAACUCUCACGCUCAGGAGUGUAUCCACGUGGUGGACAUAAGAUGGUGGCUUAAGAUCUGGUGUCGGUGGCUUUACUUUACUAGGAGAGUAGUGUGUCUUCAUCUCAUUCACUGCCGGAGGGUGGCGUAAGCAGUGACGCUAAGGUGGGGCAUAGUCAAUAUCAUUUGCAUUUGACCAUUAUAGUUUUCUCCCGGCUUGAAAGUAACCUUAUCGUGAUAAAGGAUUACUAGCACUAGUUCAGAUGACAGUCAUGUUAAAUUCGGACCAUGUUUGUGUCACAUUAUCAGCAACCAUGUGUUUAUGGUUCAUGCUUUCUGCAACUGAAAUUGAAAUUGAUAUAUAACCAGGUGAACUUCAAUCUAAAUUCUGGAAGUACUCAUGUGAGCGAUGGUGCCCAUCUGCAGAGUCCAUCAAUUGAAAAAUGGAGUGAGUGUAUCUAUAAGAGGGAAGGCUUGGCAAAUGUCCAGUUUUCUGGGAAUUCAACAAGGAUCUAAAAUAGAUUGUUUUCUUUGCUGAUUUCAAUGGUUGAAAUUUGAGAAGAUUGUGUCCCACAUAACACAACUAUUACUGGUCCUUCUGUUGCAAUUUAUCCUCUAAGGCUCUAGCAUGUCUUCCAAUUCCCACUUCCCUGUUACUCCAGGAAAGCUAUUUCUGUCAUUGUGAAGAAGAAAAGAGAAUGUAGAUAUCGAUGCUUUUAAGUGACUGGAGCAUUCAUAUCAGGUGGUCUGCAGCCAUAUAUGCCACUUUGUGAAGAUUGGAACAGUCAAUCACUAGGCUAUAUAUUAGUGUGGCCCAGCCACUUUAAUCAAGGACAAUUCUUCAUACUUAAAAGUCAAAUUCUGCCUUUAGUCUCAUUAUAAAUUGCUGUUUAAAUAUUAAGCAAACAUUUGUUUAAUGCGAUUAAGACAGUACUAACUCAAUACUUGUUCUAUUUUUGGAUGGAAAUGCUUGAUGGUUUCAUCAUUGGAUGGGAUAAAGGUGCAUUCAUGAUUAUGAAUACUUGUAGUUAUAUUUUCAUUCUCUUUUUUCUCAAUGAGACUUGUUGGCACAAUUUUUCUGUUCAGAAACCUACCUCUCCAUGGAAAAUAAGUUGUGAUUGAUAGUACUGGAUAUAUUCAAGAAAGCUAAAUAUAGAUAGCACAAAAUAUUAUCGACAUAAAUAGCAUUAACAGCGUACGUAUGUCUCAGUGCUCAUCAGCCAUAAGCAUGGGGCAAACACUUACGAUGAGCAACUUACGUCAAAAUUCCAGAAUAGGACAUAGAAGUGACAGAUCUAUAUAUAUAGAACACUGCAUAAGAGUCACAAGAAAGGAAAUUACGGGUGCAUAGCAGCUCUUAUUUCACAUACUACUCAUACUGAUCAAAGUCACUCAGUUGGGAUGGGUGGGAGUAGGAGGUUUGUGGGGUGGCUUGUGCGGAGGAGUUGGCAGCUUCUUUCCAGGACCUGGUGGCUUCUCUCCCUUAGGUGGUUUGCCAACUGGGGUUGGUGGCUUGUAUGAGUCUUCAGCAUUCUCUGCAGGAGGGUGACCAGGGUUGUGACCAUAAUGUGGUGGCUUCUCUCCCUUAGGUGGUUUGCCAACUGGGGUUGGUGGCUUGUGUUCUGGGAGUGGCUUCUCCCCCUUGGGAGGUUUUUCCAAUGGGGUUGGUUUGUGUUCAGGAGGUGGCUUCUCCACUGGAGGCUUGUGUUCAGGAGGUGGCUUCUCCACCGGAGGCUUGUGUUCAGGAGGUGGCUUCUCCACCGGAGGCUUAUGCUCUGGUGGUGGCUUCUCCACCGGAGGCUUAUGCUCUGGUGGUGGCUUCUCGAAUGGGGGAUGCUUAGGGUAAUCAGCAAGUGAGGGGGCGGUGAGAACCACCAGGCCAAGCAAGACCACUAGCAAGUAUGUAGGAGACAUCUUUGGGUUUAGACUCAGAUGGUGCAAAACUAGGAGAAUUGUCUUUUAUAGCGGAUCGCACCCAAUAAUGAAAUGACACGUGUCUUUAUGACCCAUGUGUAAUGGGGUCGAUUUGGGUCCUACAGUGUUGAAAACUUCGACAUCCACUUUUGGCCUUUUGCUUUCUCUACAGCCGCCUUGCUUUUUCCCUCUUUCCUUUUGUUUUCCUCCUGCCCCAUUCUAUCAACUAAACACAAUUAUGUAGUUGUUUAAUUCUUAAAUGAGAUAUUAUCCGUCAAUCGUAUCAUAUUUUAUCAACAGAGAACGGAGUGCAAUGUGGCAAUCCAAAGAAAGAAGAUCCAUAAUGCAGCUGUAAUUUUAUCGUUUACUUUUAUCUCUUGGACCACUGCAUUUUUGUUAAGAGGUGCAAUAAUACACGUCUUUAUCUGCCAUUCAAUGUUUACAGUAAAGAGAGGGCACAAAACUCUUCACUGCUCUGCAUGUGUCCCAAAAAUGCAAUUGGACAAAUUAUGAUUUGCAUGCUAAAAAGAGGCAAAUGAGGUUAAUUCGCACCAUAAUUAUUUUGUUUUCUGGACCCCGGGGCCCUUUGGUUGGUUUGGGGGUCAGAAAAUGAACAUCAUAGGGGGUUUUUCCCUUAUGUGCAUUUGUAUCUGAUGGCUUUAACUCGCCUUGUUACUACAAAGAAAUUGUCACAUAUAGGAACUUAUUCCAGGCUGAGUAUCUCCGCAUAGACCCUAUAAAAGAAGACAAGUCAUAAUGAACAUCUAACCUUUGUUCAAUUUGAUUCAAUGCCCCAUUGUGUCCACCUCACAAAUCUGAAUUAUUAUAUCCAUUGAAUACAUAAAUUAAUGAAGAAAAUAUGAAACCCAAGAUACAUCUCUGCACAACCUCAACCCUGGUUGCUAUGUUUCCCUUCUAUUCACAUGAGGAUAUUGAUUACGGAAUAGGGAAACCUAGCAAGGGUUUACUCGGCUCUGGUUUGAUGCUAAUUGCCAAACUUGCAACAAGCCCUGAGUUUGAAGCUCACAGAAGAUGUUAUACAGGCAGGGAAAAACCUUCAGAGUUCGCUGCCAAAGAUAAUUAUUAAGGAGAUAUCACCAAGAGAAUUCCAAGGAGUCUGAAUCAAAGACAAAUUGGUCGUUCGUGGAGGUUCUUACUUUCUUUUGGGUAUAACUCACUGAGGGCACUGUCUUUUUUAUUUUCAUUUCACAUUUAGAGUUCUGUUCUGGAAACAUAUAAAAGGAGCAUCAGUUUGUUCUUGGGUAACCCAUAGUCGUGAGUGGGUCCAUUUGCAUGCUACUUAGUUGAAAAGUUGGACCAUUUGCUCCGACGCCUACCUCCUGGAUUCCAUGCUCGGAUAAAACAAGAAUAAAAAAAUAUUUAUAAUUUACAAAUGGGGGAAAGAAAAAAAUGUCAACAACAAACUAGGAAAAAAGAGUAGUAAAAUUCAUGUCACAUGCUAGUGAGAGAAGGGGUUGUUACACUCACUCGAAGUUCUUUUCAAAAUAUCGCAUGGUAUUUUAUUUUAUGUGUGAGCGCAGUUGUGAAUGGAACGUGCAAAAGUCCAAAUUGGUGACCUUUAAUAAAUAUUUAAAACAAAAAACGAAAAAAAGGAGGGAAAAGGGAUCAGAAAAGAUAAAACAAUGUGUACAAAAGCUCAAUUAGUUUGCAAAUUACUGUUUGGAUUUUGAUAGUAUUUUAUUUGAUGUAAAAGAGAAUUUAAGAUAUUUCCGAAACAAAAGCAUUAGUUUGCUCCAUGUCAAUUUCGGCAUUUCUCAUAUGUUUCACACAUACACAGAAGAGCAUCGUUUUUUAAAGCAUGCAUUUAUGUUGGAUUAAUUUGGAUUUUGUGGGAACUGGGGCAAGGAUCACAUGGAAGAGAGGUUGACUUUUUUCAGUACUUCAAUGGUUGAGACAGGUGAAGGCCUGAUUGAUACUGAAGCCUGAAAUUGCGACUCCGUCAUUUGUCAAAACAUAUGACAGCUUCCAUGCUCUCGUUUGGUUGCAUUGUUCUGUGGUCAUGCAUACAUGCCACUUAGUGAUCAGUCUGUAACUGUCAAUCAUUGGGCUUUGACUGAACAACAUCAGCCAUGUAUAAAUACUUGCAAAUCAAACGGUCUUCUUCCUCCCAUAAGGAAUUUCGGUUUAAUUAUGAAGCAUGCAUUUGGCUGACCAUCAUAAACCACUUCUUUAAAUUGAUGAAUGAUAGUUUUUCAUUCAUUCUUUCAUUCGUUCAUAUACAGAGUAUAUAUAGAGGGUAAUCAUCAUUCUAAGAAUGGGAAAGAAUGAUACAAGGAAAUAAUGAUAUAAAGAAAUAACAACUAAUAUUCUAAUAUCUCAACUUUCCUAAUAUCUAAACAUUCCUAAUAUCUCAACACUAAAUGAUAUAAAGAAAGAAUGAUAUAAGGAAAGCAUUCCUAAUAUCUCAACACUCCUCCUCAAGUUGGUGCAUAGAUGUCAAACAUGUCCAACUUGUCUAAAAAUUUUGAGAACAGUUGACUUGAGACAUCUUUGGUGAGGAUAUCGGUCAAUUGAUCUUCUGAUCGAAUCUUAGGCAAUUCCACAAUCUUAUCAUCCAACUUUUCCUUAAUGAAAAAUCUAUCCAUCUCGACAUGCUUUGUACGAUCAUGUUGUACUAGAUUAUGAGCAAUGUCACAUGCUGCUUUAUUGUCACAAAACAAUCGGAUUGGUUGCCUAGAUAGGUAACCUAAAUCCUAUAAGAGGAGUCUUAGCCAUAAUGCCUCACAAAGUCCUAAAGUCAUACCUCUAAAUUCCGCUUCUGCACUUGAACGAGCGACGACAUUUUGCUUCUUACUUUUCCAUGUCACAAGAUUACCACCUACAAAGGUAAAGUAACCAGAUGUAGAUCGCCUAUCAUCCACUGCACCGACCCAAACAGCAUUAUACUUCUAUACUCUGAUGAUCAACAUUUUUAGCGAACAAAAUUCCCUUCCUAGGAGCAUUCUUCAAAUACCUCAAAAUACGCAUGACUACAUUCAUAUGUUGCUCUCCAGGAUUAUGCAUGUAUUGACUCACUACACUCAAUGUAUAAGCAAGAUCUAGUCUUGUAUGAGCUAAGUACAUUAAUCUCCCCACAAGUCUCUGGUAUCUUCCCUUAUCGAUUGAUACUUGAUUAGGCUCAACACACAAUUUCAGACCUUCUUCUAUUGGUGUAUUAAUAGGUUGACAUCCCGACAUUCCAGUUUCCUGUAGAAGAUCUAAGGCAUACUUUCUUUGAGACAGAAAAAUUCCUUCACUUGAUCGAGAAACUUCAAUCCCAAGAAAGUAUUUCAGACGACCAAGAUCUUUCAUUUCAAAUUCUCUAGAUAGAUACUUUUGCAAAGCUUUUCUUUCUUCAGGAUCAUUUCCUGUAACUACAUGUCAUCCACAUAUAUCAUAAGUGUCGUAAUCUUACCAUGUUGCUUUUUCAAGAACAAAGUGUGAUUUGAAUUACUUUGAUGAUAGCCAAAAGCUCUCAUUGAUUUUGUGAACCUUCCAAACCAUGCUCUCGGGGAUUGCUUCAACCCAUACAAUGACUUCUUCAAUUCGCACACCUUCUGACAUUGCUUUUCUGACACCAUGCAUCCUGGUGGAAGAUCCAUAUAUACUUCUUCAGAUAAAUCGCCAUGCAGAAAGACAUUUUUUACAUCGAACUAUUGUAAUGGCCAAUCUAGGUUUGCAGCUAAAGACAAUAAUACUCGAACUGUGUUGAUCUUAGCUACAGGUGCAAAUGUCUCUGUGUAGUCAAUUCCAUAAGUUUGAAUGUACCCACUAGUCUUGCUUUAAAUCGUUCAAUACUACCAUCUGCCUUGUACUUCACAGUAUAGAUCCAACGACACCCAACUAGCUUCUUUCCUGGUGGACAUUCUACGAGUUCCCAUGUUUCAUUUUUCUGCAAUGAUUUCAUCUCUUCAUUCAUGGUUGCUUUCCACUUUGGAUCAGCUAAAGCUUCCUGCACACUAUUAGGAAUAGCUACAGUAGAUAAUUGAUUUACAAAUGACUUAUUUGAUUCAGACAAACCAUGGUGUGGACCCGCAUUUUUCACGUGCGCCUCUACUCGAUCGGCGAGACUCGCUUUCUAUUUGUGAAAAAUUAAUUUUAGAAAAGUUGGAGUCGCCACCUAUUUUAUUUUUAUUUUGAAGGGAAAAUAAAACAAGAAAGAAAAACCCUAAAAAGUGACUCCAUAGUUUUGGAAAAAGCAUGUCUUUGGGAAACCUGAGUCUAGGUCCGGGGAUCAUGUUACUUAUUGGGAAGGUACCUCUAGGAGGUAGCACCCCUCUAAGCCUUAUGAAGGUCUCUACUAACUAAAUUAAGGGAAGUGUGGCAAUAAAUCGAUUGAUCAUAGAUACCUAAGUAGACUAGGUGAUUUUAAAGUGUGGCAUGUCAAACACAAUCAAAUUGCAAUAAAGGAGAGUUAGGGCGCGUACCUGAACCGCUUCUCAAGCGCUAUCAUAAAACAUCAAUGGUUAAUUUAAAUAAUAUAUCAUCCAGCAUGUAUUUUAUUAGAAAUAAUCAAACAAUGAAACAUGUAUAUCAGAACACUCAAGCAUUAUUAGACAUAAGCAUUAUUUCACUAUUCACAGAAUUCAGAAAGUAGGUGAUAGAGGACAUACCUGGAUAGCAUAGAUAAUUUGUAAUGUGCUUCCUCAAGUUGUAAGGGGUUAGAUAACAAAUAAUAAAAUAUAGAAAUCCUAGCAUGCUCGUUAUCUAAUUAGCAUAGCAAAAGUGAUCACAGUAUACAGAAUCAUCAAUUAUCACAUACAUCUUGUAUAUAAUUCCUAAAAAAAAUAGAUAGACAUGAUUUCAACAAGUGUCAAAUGUGGCAACAAAAAUAAAUUUUGAAAAGAUUUUCUUAUGUAGGGGUUUCACCAAUUCCCCAAAUUAAUAUACACGAAUUUAGCUUAGAAUUAUCCCAUUUAUUUGGGACUACAAGCUUUGAUUCGUGUUUUUGUUCAAAACCAAAAAUUUUUGUUGAAAAUCAAGAAGGAUGCGAACCGAACAAGAUAUGGUUGCAUAUUAUUUUUAAAUAAAUAAAUAAAUAAAUAAAGGAGAUUUUGAUCCUGAGGACUUUAAUGAGUUUUUUUUUUUAAAAUAGAUUUUUAAAAUGAUUUUUUUGAGAAAAGUAUUUUAUUUUAAAAUAAAAGGGAUUAAUUUGGGAAAAAAAUAAAAUAUAAGAAAUAAAAUACCAAACAAAACAAAAAUGAAACCUCAAAGUAAAAUUUUUUUAGUAAUUAACAAAAAUGAUAAUGGUGAUGGUAGAGGGCAAUCUUCAUGAUUUUCCAAUGGCCUCAGAAAGAAAAUCAAAUUAAAUGAAGGAUCACUAACAGGCAAGACAUUCUAAAUUAGACAAACUAACAAAGUAUCAAUUCAUGAACUAACCGCUAGGAUUUUGAAAGCAUAUAAGCUAAGAUAAGGGUGAUCAGGAACUAAUAUUAAUGAUUUUGAAAUAAAAACUAAAAAAAAGGAUCAAUUCGGGUAAGGAACUAAAAUUAUAAAAGUACCUAAACUAAUUAUGACGAGUUUGACUAAAUUAAACUAAAAACAUGAACUUUCAAACAUAGAAUUAAUUUUACUAAUGAACCAAAGCAAACUAAAAAUAUGUACUUUCAAGCAUAGAAUUAAUUUUAUUGAUGAACUAAACUAUAACAAAUAUCUAAACUAAAUAUAAUGAAUCAAAUUAAAUUAAAGCAACUUAAAAACGCAAACUUUCAAACAUAGAAUCAAUUUUAUCAAUGAAUUAAAACUAUAAAUGUAUUUGAACUAAAUAGAUGAAUCAAACUAAAUCAGAGCAAAAUUAAAAAAAAAAAAGAACUUUCUAACAUGAAAUCAAUUUUAUCAACAAAUAAAUGAAUGAAUAACAAGUAAUUAAAAGAAUAGCUACUACAUGAAUAACUGAAUGAAUAAAAUUCAAAUGUUUUCAAUCUGAAGCAAUCAAUCAAAAUUAAAUAGGGAUCAAAUCAAAAUAAUCGAAAUCGGAAAAACAAUAUGCAAUCUUUCUAAAGGUUUAACCAGACAAUUGAAUUAAAAUUAUGAAUAGAAUAAAUUAAUAAACCAAAUCGAAACCUAAAUUGUACCUAAAAAGAUUAAUUAAUUAAACUAAGAAAUCAAAAUCAAUAACAAAACUAAACUAAGGAGUAAAUUAAGACAAGACUAAUUAAAUUAAACUCACAAACACGUUUUAACUAUCAUAUGGAUUAAAACAAAAUUAGCAUGGACUUAUGAAUUACGAACAAAAAUAAUCAAAACUAUUUUAAAAAACUCACCUCUAUUAUAAGAAAAAAUCUGCCUUUGAUGCGUUGAGGUGGCUCCCCUCUCUGUGUGGAUCUCUCUGCUCCCCAGAAAAAAAAUGUCUCUUCCUCCGUUCUCUUUUGUUUCAGCAAAAUAAUAUAUCCCCUGCUGUGGAUCUCUCUACUCCCAGAAAAUAAUAUAUUCUCUCCGUGUCCUAAAGUGGACCUAGGGUGCCUAAGUGGACCUAGGGUGCCUAAAUGGGCCUAGGGUGCCUAAAUGGGCCAAGUGUAUCUAAAUAGGCUUAGGGUGCCUAAGUGGGCCUAAGUCUAAGUGAGCCUAAGUCUAAAUCAAGACUACCAAGGAUCAUAAUAAGGGGUUAGGCAAUCCCUUAACCAAAGUCUCCAAGGUGGCUAAAAAAAAGUAAGUAGUAUGAGUAGCUAUGGGUCACCAAGGAACUACUGUGGAGCAUUGAAAACGAAUUUAAAGACAUGUGCCAAAGGGACAAAAUUGAGGGUCUACAGAUGGUUAGACACAUAGUUGCUCAUGGGAUAUUUGACUUUGGUAAACAAUUCAGAUUCAUAUGUGGGUUUAGGAAUACCUUUAUUAUGACGGUGUGGUAAUCGUUUCAUGAAUGGAUCAGGUUGCAAAUUAAGAACACCCUCAGCAAACAACGAUUGGUUUGGUAUUUCAGUGAAGACAUCUUCGAACCCAAAUUGUUGACCACUCAUAUCCAACUCACCCGCUUCCUGGUUCACUAGUUCAGAUUGUCCAAAUUCAUCAUUCUCAUAGAUAUGAUAAUCAUAAUCGAGAGUCUGAAUUUCCUUAUGGUACUCCCCCUGAAGUUCAGACUUAGAUGAAAAAUACAUCGAAUAUUCAUGAAACAGCNNNNNNNNNNNNNNNNNNNNNNNNNNNNNNNNNNNNNNNNNNNNNNNNNNNNNNNNNNNNNNNNNNNNNNNNNNNNNNNNNNNNNNNNNNNNNNNNNNNNNNNNNNNNNNNNNNNNNNNNNNNNNNNNNNNNNNNNNNNNNNNNNNNNNNNNNNNNNNNNNNNNNNNNNNNNNNNNNNNNNNNNNNNNNNNNNNNNNNNNNNNNNNNNNNNNNNNNNNNNNNNNNNNNNNNNNNNNNNNNNNNNNNNNNNNNNNNNNNNNNNNNNNNNNNNNNNNNNNNNNNNNNNNNNNNNNNNNNNNNNNNNNNNNNNNNNNNNNNNNNNNNNNNNNNNNNNNNNNNNNNNNNNNNNNNNNNNNNNNNNNNNNNNNNNNNNNNNNNNNNNNNNNNNNNNNNNNNNNNNNNNNNNNNNNNNNNNNNNNNNNNNNNNNNNNNNNNNNNNNNNNNNNNNNNNNNNNNNNNNNNNNNNNNNNNNNNNNNNNNNNNNNNNNNNNNNNNNNNNNNNNNNNNNNNNNNNNNNNNNNNNNNNNNNNNNNNNNNNNNNNNNNNNNNNNNNNNNNNNNNNNNNNNNNNNNNNNNNNNNNNNNNNNNNNNNNNNNNNNNNNNNNNNNNNNNNNNNNNNNNNNNNNNNNNNNNNNNNNNNNNNNNNNNNNNNNNNNNNNNNNNNNNNNNNNNNNNNNNNNNNNNNNNNNNNNNNNNNNNNNNNNNNNNNNNNNNNNNNNNNNNNNNNNNNNNNNNNNNNNNNNNNNNNNNNNNNNNNNNNNNNNNNNNNNNNNNNNNNNNNNNNNNNNNNNNNNNNNNNNNNNNNNNNNNNNNNNNNNNNNNNNNNNNNNNNNNNNNNNNNNNNNNNNNNNNNNNNNNNNNNNNNNNNNNNNNNNNNNNNNNNNNNNNNNNNNNNNNNNNNNNNNNNNNNNNNNNNNNNNNNNNNNNNNNNNNNNNNNNNNNNNNNNNNNNNNNNNNNNNNNNNNNNNNNNNNNNNNNNNNNNNNNNNNNNNNNNNNNNNNNNNNNNNNNNNNNNNNNNNNNNNNNNNNNNNNNNNNNNNNNNNNNNNNNNNNNNNNNNNNNNNNNNNNNNNNNNNNNNNNNNNNNNNNNNNNNNNNNNNNNNNNNNNNNNNNNNNNNNNNNNNNNNNNNNNNNNNNNNNNNNNNNNNNNNNNNNNNNNNNNNNNNNNNNNNNNNNNNNNNNNNNNNNNNNNNNNNNNNNNNNNNNNNNNNNNNNNNNNNNNNNNNNNNNNNNNNNNNNNNNNNNNNNNNNNNNNNNNNNNNNNNNNNNNNNNNNNNNNNNNNNNNNNNNNNNNNNNNNNNNNNNNNNNNNNNNNNNNNNNNNNNNNNNNNNNNNNNNNNNNNNNNNNNNNNNNNNNNNNNNNNNNNNNNNNNNNNNNNNNNNNNNNNNNNNNNNNNNNNNNNNNNNNNNNNNNNNNNNNNNNNNNNNNNNNNNNNNNNNNNNNNNNNNNNNNNNNNNNNNNNNNNNNNNNNNNNNNNNNNNNNNNNNNNNNNNNNNNNNNNNNNNNNNNNNNNNNNAACCAAAGGAAGCAUGUUCCAGACGUCGAUGCCACAACCAAAUUUCAGACUUUUUCUUCUCCUCCUUAGAUCCAUCUGCCAUCAAGGCUUGUUGCAACUUAUUUGAAUCCUUUGAUUGCAAGUCCAAGUAUAGAGUUUCCCCCGCUUAAUACGACAACCAAUCGUCUGUCUUGUUUGAAUGUCCUUAAUCACACAAAAUUCAGGCCAAAAAAUGACAAUACAAGAUAAGGCUGCAGUGAUUUGAGAAACUAACAAAAGAUUGUAAUCUAAAGAUGGAACAACUAAAACAGAAUCCAAAUUCAAAGUAUCAGUAAGAGUUAAGGAUCCUUCCCCAAUGACUGGGGUUGUGUUACCAUUGGCUGUGGAAACAAUUUUUUGUGAGGAAGGUCUAAGGGGUGAAACCUGUCUAGAAUCAAAAGUCAUAUGAUCUGUAGCACCAGAAUCAAUUAUCCAUGCACUAUUAAUAACAGGUGUAAAAGUAUUUAAAAACUUACCACAAUGAUCUGUAGCGGCUACUAAUGCAGAGACUUUCUCAACAACAUUAGUCUUUGUUUUUAUUUCGGUAACAGUUGCAAUCAAGGUUUUCUUGGAAUUCUUCUUCCGUUGAUCACGAUUAUUAUCAUUAAUAACAAAGUGUUGAUAGCCUAAACAUGAUCUAAAGGUCCAUGGUGCAAACCCUCGGUUCCUCAUUGUUUUCCUGGUCAUACCAAGAGUUGUUGCUUUGAAAUUGUGGGAUAUCCAGACUGGUGGGAUCAGUUUUAUUGCAGUGAGUGCAUUUGAAUGUUGACUUAUCAAUAUUAGGGCUUGUCUUCGGAUGGUUGAUUGCUGUUGGACUACCAUAGCGACAAAAUAUCCAGGAUUUCAAUUCCAGGGCUCUGAUACCAUCUUCAAAUUGAUGAAUGAUAGUUUUUCAUUCAUUCUUUCAUGUACAGAGUAUAUAUAGAGGGUAAUCACCAUUCUAAGAAUGGGAAAGAAUGAUACGAGGAAAUAAUGAUAUAAGGAAAUAAUAACUAAUAUCCUAAUAUCUCAACUUUCCUAAUAUCUCAAUAUUCCUAAUAUCUCAACUUUCCUAAUAUCUAAACAUUCAUAAUAUCUCAACACUAAAUGAUACAAGGAAAGAAUGAUAUAAGGAAAACAUUCCUAAUAUCUCAACACCACUUCAUGAUAUAUAUAGUUUCUUACCCUUAAUCAAUGGUUUCUAAGUGAAUUUAUAUAGAAAGAAAUCCAAACUGUAGACAGCAGUAUUGGUAACACUCAAUAUUCUGUAUAUAAUAGAAUAAAUAGCGUCACAGUGAUCGUCGCCUACAAGCAAGGUACAAAUACCACAAAGAGUGACCCACAUAGACAUUCCCCAACAAGAUGUAGUAGUGACUGACACAUAGCCACAAUUAACACGUAGAAAAGGAUAAGACCGGUGCACAGUAGCUCUUAUUUUACAUACUACUUAUGCCAACCAAAGUCACUCAGUUGGGAUGGGAGGGAGAUGGAGGUUUGUGCGGUGGCUUGUGGGGCGGAGUUGAUGGCUUCUUUCCAGGAGCUUCUGGCUUUUUCAUCGGAGCUGAAGGAGGCUCAAUCUUAUGAGGCGGCUUGUACGAGUCUUCUUUGCUCUCGAAAGGAGGGUGGCCAGGGUUGUGACCAUAAUGUGGUGGUUUCUCUCCCUUGGGAGGUUUACCAAUUGGGGUUGGUGGCUUGUGUUCUGGGAGUGGUUUCUCUCCCUUGGGAGGUUUAGUGGGUGACUUGUGUUCUGGAGGUGGCUUCUCCACCGAAGGCUUGUGCUCCGGUGGUGGCUUUUUGGUUGGAGGGGGCUUGGGGUAAUCAGCAAGAGAUGGGGUGGUGAGAACCACCAGUCCAAGGAACAACACUAGCAAGUAUGUGGGAGACAUUUUUGAGUUUGGGCUGAUCAGAUGAUGCAAAACUAAAGCAUUACGUGACCUUUUAUAGCAAGUAGCUCCCAAUACCUACUUGACACGUGUUACUGUGACCCAUAAAUAUUAUGGGGUCUAUUUGUGCCCUACCGGGUUGAAAACUUGGACAAUUGGGCAAGGACCCGCCUGACUAUGGAGGACUACUGAGGUGUGAUCACAGCUUUAGGAUUUUUCUUCCUCUGCAGCCGUCUUGCCGUUGGCAUGAUUUUCUUAAUCUCAAAUAAAGGCAUAGUUAUAGAGUUGUUUAAUCUCUAAAUGGGAUUUUAUAUAUCUUCAGAUAGCCAUUAAUACAUUUGAUGAAGAAAGAAAGACAAGUGCAUACAACAUGUAUACGACUAGCUUUCAUGGAGUUCAUUUAUGAUCAGUUUUCCUGUACAUGUAAACCAAGAUCAUAUAUGUUUUUGUUCCACAACAAUUUUGGAAUCUUGUUUAUCCGUUUUUAUCAUUAUAAUGUCACAUAGGCUGCCAACUUGGGCGCUAAAUUAAAGAUCCAGUUGGGCAAGUUCGUUUCAGAAUUUCAAUGGUGGAUUCAGGAAUUGUUUUAUAAGAUAUGCAAAAUAGUAGAGGGAUGAAUAGUGUUUCAUUAAGAAAAGAGCCCUGUAAAAAUAUUGUUUAAAGGUGCCAUAGAAACUAUAAUCAAUAAAUAACUUUUUUUCCCCAUGGGUGGUGUUUCUUGUGGGGAUCAGUGACUGGUUUGAGUCAACGCCGUGUCUCUUUAGUCCAGAAAUCAACUAUUUUAUGCAUUGAAUACAUCAACAAAGAAAAUAUGAAAGCCAAAUGACACCUCCCCCGCAAAAACUAAACCCUGGUUGCUAACUUUCUAUGUUUCAGUUCCAUUCACACAAGAAUAUUAGUUCAAGUUUGAGAAAAAUGGCGACUUACCUAGUGAUAACUCGGUCUUGGUUUGCGAUUUGACUUUAACGUCAUGGGUUGAAGCCUCCUACAAUCAUCGUGUAUGCUAGUUCAAAGCUCGUGGAAGAAGUUAUACAGGGAGGGAGAAACCUCCACAGCAAGCUCCAAAAGAGAAUUAUCACAUUGAAAGCUCCAGUUGAACACUGGGUGAAAGCCAUAACAAGAUUGGUUUUCUAUCGCUCUUUUAAGUAAUGGAAGAUUAUUAUCUCUGCUUGUCACUACAACCGUGCAUGCUGCUAGAUCUUUCUAGACACUUCAAACAGUGAAACCAAGUAUGAUUCUUUUUCUCUUGAGUGGGUCCACUUGCAUGCCAAUGAACGAGUUGAAAAGUUGGACAAUUGGCCACAGCGCGCACUUACCUUCUGGAACCGAAGGUCAGUGAAGUGGGGUUCCUUUUGGCCCCUUGUGUUUCUGUUCCAACCUACUCCAGGAACCGAAGUUCAGUGAAGUGGGGCUACUUUUGGCCUCUUGUGUUUCUGUUCCAACCAAACAAAAAUGGGAGGGAAAAAUAGCAUUAUGCUUGUGCUAAAGAUCAACGCAUGAUAGCUGAAUAAGGGAGAAAAAGGCAUUGCUAUCUCAAUUUCAUAAACUUGAUAAGUAGUGACAUUAAUAGUCUUCCUCAUAGAUGGAUACAUGGUUUUAUUUUAUUUAUUUAUUUUUAUUUUUUUGUUUUAUGUCAAUGCUAAUGAAUGAAGUGCAUUAGCUUGUUUUGUGACUAGAACUACAAAUGUCCAAAUUGGAGCUUCUCCAAUAUAUUUCUCAGUGAGUUAUUGAUUAGAACUCUUGGAUUGAGUUCCAAGAUUUGAAUCAGACCCCUCUAGCAGCUUCAGGGGUACGUAGCAACCUAUAGCAUAUUAAUGAAGACUUAGGAUUUAGACUUAGGAAUACAAAUUAAUAUGUACCUCAUGCUCUGACUAGCUUCCCUGCGUAUGCACAAAAUGGAGAUGACUCCCAAAAAAAUAGCAGAAUCGCCUUAGUAUGUUUUUGUGGUUAAGAUGAUUCUCCACUUUAUAUAUCCACAUUGGUUCAUUAUGCAAAUUAAUCAACUAAGCUAUUUUUAUUUUUUCUUAAAUGUGAAAUAGGAGCUCCAAAUUAACCUAACCAUUGGCCUGAUUGAAUUGAUUUCACUUGCAUAAUGUUAUAGUAGAAGUCCGUAAUUUGAAUUUUAUUUUUGCAAAAGGUAACGUAAAUGAAGCAUUGUAAUUAAAUUUAUUUGUAAUUACAAACUAAUUUUAUUUUAUUAAGAAUUAAUUUAAUUACUCAUUUAAAAUAAAAAUCAGUUAUACUUUUACCAAGAUGAUAAUAUUCAUAUUUUUCUAGUUAACAUAUAUAAAAUAGUACACUUUUUCAUAUAAAAAAAUAAUUUAUGAUUUAUUAUAAUGUUACUAUUCACAUUUUACUAAAUUGAUGGUACAUGAUAGUGAGAGAAGGGGGUGUCACACUCAGCUAAAGUUCUUUUCAAAAUAUUGCAUGGUGUUUAAUUUUAUGUGUCGGCGCGCGUGUGAAUGGAACCUGCAAAAGUCCAAAUUGGCGUUUCUCCAUUUUCCACAUAGGAUGGUGACGUUAAUAGACAAAGAUACAAUAUCUGUAGACAUUGCUUAAAAAUCGAUGUGAAGUAUUAGAAAUUACAGGGCACUGUACUGGGGGAGCGGCUGCCCCGCCAAAGGAGGAAGAAUGUAGCAAUUUCUUCUGUUAGCCAGGCCUUAGGAUUUAUGCAUGGGAUGCCUAAUAACAAACAGAGAAAAUAUACUUUUGGGGAAGGUAUCCAACAACAGACACCAUCAUUCAGAUGGUGGGAAGGUAUCCAACAGAUGCCAUCAUUCAGAUGGUAACAUAUAUAUACAUUUAUUAGUGAGUUUUUUUAAUACCUAUAAAAAAAAAUAUACACUUUGAUAUUGUGGCUGAAUCCAUUACAUACUCAACUAACCUUGCUCAUUAGGGAUUUGACUUAACAAGGGCAACGUUGCAGUACAAGCUCAAAACUUUAUGCAGGUGACAUUACAUUUGGUAAAGAAGAGGAAAAUAACGAAAGCCAUCCAUAAAAGCAAAAUUCCACAUGGGAUGAAAUUCACAAGCUUCAUUUACGAUAGAGUCGCAUCCAGGCAAUUAAUUCCACAUUAGACCGCCUGUUGACAUGUGUACCAAUCUUUUUUCAAAAAAUAUUUAUAAAUAAUUGAUACUCACAAAAAUAAUUUAAUAUUUAUAAAGGAUAAAAAAAUAUUUUCAAAUCUAUAACAAUUUAUAAAAUAUUAAUAAAAAAUUAUCUCUUAAACUUAGUAUAGUUUUAUCAGAUUAAACUUUUAUUUUGAACAAAUAAUUUUAAUCUAAGUUUUAAAUUCUAAAAUUAUUUCCUUAAAAUAAAAUUUUAAAAUUCAACACUUCAAUUGAAAUUGUCUUUUUAAAAAAUAUCUUCUUAUUUUAAUCCUUAUAAACUAUAGUUGAUUGAAAAUACUAUUGAAGUUCUCUCUUAAAAAAAAGUCUUAUUUUAAUCUUCAUAAAUUGCCCUUGAUUUGAAAAUAAAUUUUCAGUUAUCAUAUUUUAAAUAAUAUCUAUAUUUAAAAUACUCUAUUUAAAAAAAAAUGAACUAAUUUUAAUUAUAUUAUAUUUUAUUUUUUUAUAUAUUUUUAAUGAUAAACCAAACAUAGAAAAUCAUUUUUCUAAAUAUUUUAAAAUUUCUAAGCAACCAAACAUAAUCUUCAAAAUAAAAGGAAAAUAAGGAGGGACAUUUGAGAAAUGGCGAUUAAAAAAAAGUGUACAAAAGCUCAAUUAAUUUUCUUCUAGUCUUUUAUAUAAAAAAGUAAAGGAAUUGAAAAGUAUUGAUAUGUAAAUUAAUAUUUGGAUUUUAAUAGUAUUUUAUUUGUCUUUCUCUAUCUCAUGUAAAAGAGAAUUUAAGAUAUUUCCUAAAGCAAAGCAUUAGUUAUCUGCAAUCAGUGGUGAUCAUGCCCCAUGUCAAUUUCGGACCCAUAUCUUAAAACUGUAUAAUUUGCAUUCAAACAUUACUGAUUUCUCAGAUGUUUCAUACUCCACAGAAGAGCAUUGUUUGUGAAAGCAUGCAUUUAUGUUGGAUUUUGGAUGAUGUGGGAACUGGGGCAAGGAUCAUAUGGAAGAGUGGUCGAUUUUGUUCUGUACUUUAACAUUUGAAAUAGGAGAAGCUCGGGCAUUUGUGGGGCUUAAUUGAUUUUGAAGCCUGAAAUUGCGUUUCUGUCAUUUUGUAAAAAAUAUGGCAGAUUCCAUGCUCUCAUAUGUUUGGUCUGUGGCCAUGUAUAGAUGCCCCUUAGUGACCAGUUUGUAACUGUCAAUCAUAGUGUUUUGACUCUGGCUCAACAACAUCAGCCAUUGACGGAUUUUCAUACUUGCAAAUCAAAUAGUCUUCUUCCUCCCUUAGGAAUUUCGGUUUAAAUGUUAUUAAGCAUACAUUUGGCUGACAAUUAUUAACCACUUCAUGAUAUGGUUUCUUACCCUUAAUCAAUGGUUUCUAAGUGAAUAUAUGCAGAAGGAAAUCUGAACUGUAGACAGCAGUAUUGAUAACUCUCAAUAUUCUUUAUAUAAGAGAAUAAACAACGUCAUAGUGAUCGUCGCCUACAAGAAAGGUACAUUUCCCAACAAGAUGUAGUUGUGACUGGUACAUGGACGCAAUUAACUCGUACAAAAGAAUAAGACCAGUGCACGGCAGCUCUUAUUUUACAUGCUAAUUAUGCUAACCAAAGUCACUCAGUUGGGAUGGGAGGGAGAUGGAGGUUUGUGCGGUGGCUUGUGGGGCGGAGUUGGUGGCUUCUUUUCAGGAGCUUGUGGCUUUUUCGGAGCUGAAGGAGGCUCAAUCUUAUGAGGCGGCUUGUACGAGUCUUCUUUACUCUCGACAGGAGGGUGGCCAGGGUUGUGACCAUAAUGUGGUGGCUUCUCUCCCUUAGGUGGCUUGCCAACUGGGGUUGGUGGCUUGUGUUCAGGAAGUGGUUUCUCUCCCUUGGGAGGUUUACCAAUUGGGGUUGGUGGCUUGUGUUCUGGGAGUGGUUUCUCUCCCUUGGGAGGUUUAGUGGGUGACUUGUGUUCUGGAGGUGGCUUCUCCACCGGAGGCUUGUGCUCCGGUGGUGGCUUCUCCACCGGAGGCUUGUGCUCCGGUGGUGGCUUCUUGAUUGGAGGGGGCUUGGGGUAAUCAGCAAGAGAUGGGAUGGUGAGAACCACCACUCCAAGGAACAACACUAGCAAGUAUGUGGGAGACAUUUCUGAGUUUGAGCUGAUCAGAUGAUGCAAAACUAGAAGAAUUACGGGACCUUUUAUAGCAAGUAUCUCCCAAUACCCACAUGACACGUGUUACUAUGACCAUAAAUAUUAUAGGGUCCAUUUGUGCCCUACCGGGUUGAAAACUUGGACGCUUGGCCGAGGACACACCUGACUAUGGAGGACUAUUGACGUGUGAUCACAGCUUUUGGAUUUUUCUUCCUGUGCAGCUGUCUAGCGGUUGGCAUUAUUUUCUUAAUCUUAAAUAAAGGCAUAGUUAUAGAGUUGUUUAAUCUCUAAAUGGGAUUUUAUAUAUCUUCAGAUAGCCAUUAAUAUAUUUGAUGAAGAAAGACAAGUGCAUACAACAUGUAUACGGCUUGCUUCAAUCGAGUACAUUUAUGAUCAGUUUUCCUGUGCAAGUAAACCAGUUUUUUGUUCCACAACUAUUUUGGAAUCUUGUUUAUCAGUUUCUAUCAUUAUAAUGUCACAUAGGCUGCAAACUUGGGCACCCAAAGAUCUAGGUGGGCAAAUUUGUUUCAGACUUUCAAUGGUGGAUUCAGUAAUUGUUAAAAGGUGUUUCUUCAUUAAGGAAAGAGUCCGGUAAAAAUAUUGUUAAAAGGUGUCAUAGAAACUAUAAUAAAUAAAUAACUUCUUUUCCCCAUGGGUGGUGUUUCUUCUGGGGAUCAGUGACUGGUUAGGGUCACCCAAAAUGAGUCCAGAUUAAAAUUGGUUCGAGUCAAAGCAGUCUCUUUUGUCCAGAAAUCAACUAUUUUGCGCAUUGAAUGAAUCGAUAAAGAAAAAAUGAAAGCCAAAUCACACCUCCCCUGCAAAACCUAAACCCCGGUUGCUAACUUUCUAUGUUUCAGUCCUAUUCAUAUAGGAAUAUUGGUUCAAGUUUGAGAAAAAUGGCAACUUACCUAGGGUUUACUUGGUUUUGGUUUGCGACUAUUUACGCAACCAACCAUGAGUUUGACUUUAACGUCAUGGGUUGAAGCCUCCUACAAUCAUGUAUGAUAGUUCAAAGCUCGUGGAAGAAAUUAUACAGGAAGGAAGAAACCUCCAAAGCUAGCUCCAAAAGAGAAUUAUCACAUCGAUAGCUCCAGAGAUUCCCAAGGGAACUGAAUCAAAGACAAGUUCCUCACUUUUUCUUCUUUUGAGGCCAAAUAUGAACCAAGGAUCACACGACCUCAUUCAACUUCAUAAGUUUGAUUUCAUGCAGUUGAACACUGGGUGAAGGCCAUGACAAGAAUUGAUUAAAAAAUUCUACCACUCUUUUAAGUAAUGGAAGAUUAUUAUCUCUGAUUGGCACCACAACAGCACAUGCUGCUAGAUCUUUCUAGACACUCCAUGCAAUGAAAGCACAAUGGAUCUUGUAAUGAUAGAAACUAAGCCAUGCUACAGUACUAGAUGAGGGGGUAAAACUAGUAGACAUCUUUCUAGACACUCCAUGCAAUGAAAGCACAAUGGAUCUUGUAAUGAUAGAAACUAAGCCAUGCUACAGUACUAGAUGAGGUGGUAAAACUAGUAGACAUGGCUGGCAGUUGAUUACUACUCAAAAAGUACUCUUUUAUAGCUUGAAACUAACUGUUUUAAACACUUUUGAGUAGUAGUUAAUACCUUUUAACUUAAUUGGCACAUUAAGGAACCUAGCAAGGGUUACUAAUCAACAUUUGGCAAGUUUUGAUGUUUUUGGUAGCUAUUUGAUCAUUGAAACAAGCCAAGAAUGAGGGGGAAUUUUGUGAAGUCCAUGGCAAUGCAAGUUAAAGCUCAAAUACAUGAAGAAUCCAAGCUUUGGAGCACUUCAUAGCCCUUUGCCAAGCCAAUCAAAGAUGCAAGGAAGAAAACCAAAGGAAGAAAUCCAACAAUCAGCAUUUUGGCAUGGCUAUGUGAAAUUUCGCACACCAUGCGAAACCACAAGAGGCAGCCAAAGAAUUUCGCAUGGUAUGCGAAAUCUUCUUGUGCACUGACUCUGUUAGAUUUUUAUCUUCAGAUAUUUUGUGUAAUUUCCUAGUUUCUCCUUGUAACCAACUUAGAUAUUUUCUUUUAUAUCUUUUUUUAUAUUUUUUAGGUAACAUCAUAUAUAAGAGGAGAGACAUAAGGAGGAUAUGGAUGUUUUUCAUAGAACACUUGUAAAUUUUUGGUAGUAAGAAAUAUACAAAGCUUUUUGCUCUGCCUUACCUUCUCAAGGGAUGAGUGGCUAGGUUUUCUUGGAGUGAGGGAAGCUAGGUGAAGGACCUGAAUGCAAAGGUGGGAGUUUUCCUUACUUUAAAUGAAAGUAGUUGUUAAACAUUAAUGGUUUUUAUUUUAAGGUUUAGCUUUAAAUCCCUGAAAAACACCUUGAAUGGCCAAUACUUGGUAAGCUUUUUAGAUUCUAUGGAUGCUUAUUGCUAGAUCCAUGGAUGUCUAUUAGUUAUCAUUUACGAGCCAUUGGAAGGUGAUUCAAGGUGAGGGUCUUUAGUGUUUGAAGCCAUUAAUGGGAAGCAAUUACCAUUUUUUCAUGAAUCCUUUGGAUCAAAUCUUAAUUGCUAAAUAUAAAACCGGUUUCGAGAGAUAACCACCAUCCUUUAUGUUAUUAUCCCCAACGCGAGGAGAAGAUCCGAAAUCUUCCUUUUUAUCUAAGGAACCCGAUCCUAGUGACCUAAAGCUCCAAGAUACCUUUUCUUUGUAGUUAACUUCAUUUAUUGUUUUUGCUUAACUUAAAAUCAAUCUUUGCAACCACAAUUCCAUUUUCUUUAAAAGCUAAUUUUUAUAAGGAAAAACACCAUUUUAUUUCCUUCACUAAGUCAACUGUACGAUGAAAACCCAUCCCUGUGGACGAUCCUAGAGCCACUAUACUAUGUUAGCUAUGCUACCCUAGUGUGAGGUGAUUUAGGUUUUAUAAAUUUUUUUGAUAACACCCAUCUGAGCCAGAAUCAAAUGGCACGACUGAACCAGGGACGAAUCAAAUGACGCCGCUACCAAGGAUGGUGCCAAAGUACAUUGACAUGACUUUUGGUGAACACUUGUGAUCUUCACCACAAGUUUGGUGAUUUUUCUUUUACUAAUUUUUUUUAUUUUAGCUUAUCUUUUAUUUAGUUUUUAGUUAACCUUAAAUUUUUCCUAGAAUUGUAUUUCUUUUGUUUUCUUUGUUUUUGUUUCAGUGAUCUUUAGUUGUGCAUGCCCUAUUGGAUAAGAGAUAUUGAGGGAAUACUUGUGAAGAUUGAAACUCCUCGAGAAACUGAGUUAGAAGUGUGCUUGAACAUCAUGGAUGUUCCACCUGAAGACCAGAAUAGCCAACAUGGUUAAGAGGAUAAUUUCAACACAUACCGAUCCAUGAGGAACCGCAUACAUCCACCUUGUAUGAGUGCACCGUCAGGCAUAAUGCCUCCCACUGAGCAGCUAGUAAUCUGACCUCACAUUGUGCCACUCCUACCUACUUUCCAUGGGAUGGAGAGUGAGAAUCCCUACUCGCAUAUUAAGGAAUUCGAGGAGGUUUGUAAUACAUUCCAAGAAGGAGGAGCUUCAAUUGACUUGAUGAGGCUCAAGCUAUUUCCUUUCACUUUGAAGGAUAAGGCCAAGAUUUGGCUUAAUUCUUUAAGGCCAAGAAGUAUCCAAACUUGGAUUGAUUUGUAAGCCGAGUUUCUUAAGAAGUUCUUCCCUACCCAUAGGACCAAUGGUUUGAAAAGGCAAAAUUUGAACUUCUCAGUUAAAGAGAAUGAGAAAUUCUAUGAGUGUUGGGAGAGCUACAUGGAAGCUAUUAACGUUUGUCCUCACCAUGGCUUUGACACAUGGCUCUUAGUGAGCUAUUUUUACAAUGGUAUGUCUUCUUCAAUGAAGCAACUCCUAGAAACUAUGUGUGGAGGAGACUUCAUGAGUAAGAAUCCGGAGGAAGCCAUGGACUUUUUGAGUUAUGUGGCUGAAGUUUCAAGAGGAUGGGAUGAACCAAAUGCUAGAGAGGUGGGAAGAAUGAAGUCUCAACCUAAUGCUAAGGGUGAGAUGUAUGUUUUGAAUGAAGACAUUGACAUGAAAGCAAAGGUUGCAGCUAUGGCAAGGAGAUUGGAAGAGCUAGAAAUGAAGAACAUACAAAAAGUGCAAGCCAUUUCUGAGACAUCAAUGAAAGCUAUGCCUUGUUCCAUUUGUCAAUCUUAUAAGCACCUAGUGGAGGAGUGUCCUACAAUUCCAGCAGUGAGAGAGAUGUUUGGUGAUCAAGCAAAUGUUAUUGAUCAAUUCAAGCCUAAUAACAAUGCUUCAUAUGGCAACACCUACAAUUCAAAUUGGAGGAACCAUUCAAAUUUCUCUUGGAAACGAAAGCCACCUCAAUACACACAACCUACUCAAGCACCUUAGCAAUCCUCGAAUCUUGAACAAGCUAUUGUGAACCUUAGCAAGGUUGUGGGAGACUUUGUGGGAGAUCAGAAGUCCAUCAAUGCUCAACUGAAUCGGAGAAUUGACAGUGUGGAGAGUACAUUGAACAAAAGGAUGGAUGAGAUGUAAAAUGAUCUGUCUCAAAAGAUAGACAAUGUCCAAUACGUAAUCUCAAGGCUUACCAACCUCAACACAGUGUAAGAGAAAGGAAAGUUUCCUUCUCAACCUCAUCAAAAUCCUAAGGGUAUCCAUGAAGUAGAGGCUCAAGAGGGAGAAUCUUCAAAGGUGAGGGAAGUCAAAGUAGUUAUCACCUUGAAGAGUGGUAAAGAGGUUGAUCAACCCACAUCCAAGCCAAAGCAUAAUGAAGAGAGUGUAGCAGAAAAAGAAAAGAGAGGAAAAUAAAGGAAUUAGAAUAGAGAAAAAUACAAAGAAAGAUGACCAUGAGUCUAGUGUGGAUGAAGAGCCCGAGAGGAUGGUGAUCAAGGAAGAUAUGAUGAAGAAACACAUGCCUCCACCUUUCCCCUAAGCUUUGCAUGACAAAAAAAGAACCAAUAAUACAUCAGAAAAUUUUGAAGUAUUGAGGCAAGUGAAGGUCAAUAUCCCUUUGCUAGACAUGAUCAAACAAGUGUCGACAUAUGAAAAAUUCUUGAAGGACUUGUGCACUGUAAAGAGAGGGUUGAAUGUGAACAAGAAAGCUUUAUUGACCGAGCAAGUGAGUUCCAUCAUACAGUGCAAGUCCUAGUGAAGUACAAAGAUCCGGGUUGCCGUACCAUCUCAGUGAGUAUUGGAAGGACUUGUGUGGAGAAAGCUUUGUUGGACUUGGGAGCAAGUGUGAAUUUGCUAUCCUACUCUGUCUAUAAGCAGUUGGGAUUUGGAGAGUUGAAGCCAAUAUCCAUCACUCUAUCUCUAGCGGAUAGAUCAAUGAAGAUUCCAAGAGGGAUGAUCGAAGAUGUCCUGGUUCAAGUUAACAAAUUCUACUAUCCAGUAGAUUUUGUUGUUCUUGAUAUGGAUCCGGUUGUCAAAUGAACUAAUUAUGUUCCUAUCAUACUUGGAAGACCCUUCCUAGCUACAUCAAAUGCAAUCAUCAAUUGUAGGAAUGGAGUCAUGCAACUCACAUUUGUCAACAUGACAUUAGAGCUCAACAUCUUCCAUUUGUACAAGAAGCAUAUCCAUCAGGAGGAAAAAGAAGGUCUAGAGGAAGUGUGAAUGAUUGACACUUUAGUGGAAGAGCAUUGUGAUCGAGAAUGCAAAAAGAUUUAGUUGAGAAUUUUGGGGAUCUUGAUGAAAGGUUACUUGAACCCUCAGAUUUGCUUGCUACCCUACUCCAUUGGAAGAGAAGAGAAGAAAUUCUACCCUUAUUCAAUGAGGAGGAGACGCAAAGAGCUGCAAAGGAGAAACCCCCAAAACUUAUUCUUAAGCCACUACCCACAGAGUUGAAGUAUGUAUACUUGGAAGAAGACAAGAAGUGCCCUAUUGUUAUAUCUUCAACUCUUACCAUUCAUCAGGAGGAUUGUCUACUUGAAGUCCUUAGAAGAUGUAAGAAGACAAUAAGGUGGCUAAUUUCUUAUUUGAAAGGGAUCAGCCCUUUAGUCUGCACCCAUCAUAUUUACAUGGAGGAUGAAGCUAAGCUAAUUCAUCAACCUCAGAGAAGGUUGAACCCUCACAUGCAAGAGGUGGUUCGAGCUGAAGUUCUGAAGCUACUUCAGACCAGUAUUAUUUACCCCAUAUCAAAUAGCCCAUGGGUGAGUCCUACUCAAGUUGCGCCAAAGAAGUCUGGGAUCAUGGUGGUGCAAAAUGAUAAGGGAGAAGAUGUCUCUACACGCCUCACUACAGGUUGGAGGGUGUGUAUCAAUUACAGGAGGUUGAAUGCAGUGAUAAGAAAGGACCAUUUCUCAUUGCCCUUUAUUGAUCAGGUGCUUGAGAGGGUCUCUGGGCUUUUUUUUUUAUUGUUUCUUGGAUGGCUACUCCGGGUACUUUCAGAUAGAAAUUGAUGUUGAAAACCAAGAUAAGACCAUUUUCACAUGCCCAUUUGGAACCUAUGCAUAAAGGAGAAUGCCUUUCGGCUUAUGCAAUGCACCCGCAACUUUCCAAAGAUGCAUGUUAAGCAUUUUCAGUGAUAUGGUGGAGCGUAUUAUGGAAGUCUUUAUGGAUGAUAUCACCAUUUAUGGAAGUGCAUUUGAUGAAUGCUUGGUCAACUUAGAAGCUGUUCUGAACCGAUACAUUGAGAAAGACUUAGUGCUUAACUGGGAGAAGUGCCAUUUCAUGGUACACCAAGGGAUUGUCCUUGGGCACAUUAUCUCCAAGCAAGGCAUUGAAGUUGACAAAGCAAAGGUUGAACUCAUUGUUAAGUUGCCAUCCUCAACAAAUGUCAAAGGAGUAAGGCAAUUCUUUGGCCAUGUCGGGUUCUAUAGGAGGUUUAUCAAGGAUUUCUCUAAGCUUGCAAGGCCUCUUUGUGAAAUAUUGGUGAAUGAUGUUAAAUUCAUAUGGGAUGAUGGAUUUGAAAGGAGUUUUGAAGAAUUGAAGCUAUUUUUGACAACCGUACCAAUAGUGAGGGCUCCCAACUGGCAACUGCCCUUUGAAGUAAUGUGUGAUGUCAAUGAUUUUGCUAUAGGAUUUUUUCUUGGGCAAAGAGAAAAUGGAAAACCUUAUGUGAUCUACUAUGCGAGGAAGGCAUUGAAUGAGGCACAAAGAAACUACACAACCACCGAGAAAGAAUUGUUAGCUGUAGUUUUUGCCUUGGAUAAGUUUCGCGCUUACUUGGUGGGGUCCUUCAUCAUGGUUUUUACUGAUCACUUUGCUUUGAAGUAUCUGUUGACUAAGCAAGAUGCUAAAGCAAGGCUGAUUAGAUGGAUUCUCUUACUUCAAGAGUUCAAUCUCCAUAUCAAAGAUAAGAAAGGAGUGGAGAAUGUGGUAGCAGACCACAUUUCAAGGCUAGCUAUCGCACAUAAUUCCCAUGCUUUGCCCAUUAAUGACGAUUUUCUAGAGGGGUCUCUCAUGUUGGUGGAAGUUGUCCCUUGGUACGCUCACAUUGCUAACUACCUGGUCACGGGAAAAGUUCCAAGUGAGUGGAAAGCACAAGAUAAGAAGCACUUCUUUGCAAAAAUUCAUGCCUACUAUUGGGAAGAGCCAUUUCUAUUCAAGUAUUGUAUGGAUCAGAUAAUAAGGAAGUGCGUUCCUGAAGAAGAGCAACAGGGGAUCCUUAGUCAUUACCAUGAAAAUGCAUGUGGAGGCCACUUUGCUUAUCAAAAGACAGCCAUGAGGGUGUUGCAAUCGGGUUUCUGUUGGCCAUCACUUUUCAAAGAUGCCCACACCAUGUGCAAGAGUUGUGAUCGAUGCCAGAGGCUUGGGAAGUUGACACGCAGGAACAUGAUGCCUUUGAACCCCACUUUAAUAGUUGAUAUUUUUUAUGUUUGGGGCACUAACUUCAUGGGACCUUUCCCUAUGUCUUUUGGCUACUCUUACAUCUUGGUAGGAGUAGAUUAUGUUUCUAAGUGGGUUGAGGCAGUCCCAUGCAAACACAAUGACCAUAGAGUGGUUCUCAAGUUUCUUAAAGAGAAUAUCUUCUCAAGAUUUGGGGUGCCCAAAGCCAUAAUUAGUGAUGGGGGUACUCAUUUUUGCAACAAGCCUUUUGAAACUCUCCUAGCCAAGUAUGGGGUGAAGCAUAAGGUAGCUACACCUUACCACCCUCAAACUCAUGGACAAGUUGAGUUAGCAAACAGGGAGAUUAAAAACAUAUUGAUGAAGGUGGUGAACACAAACAGAAAAGAUUGGUCAGUCAAGCUUCUUAAUUCACUAUGGGCAUAUAGAACAACUUACAAGACCAUUCUCGGGAUGUCUCCUUAUCGCCUAGUUUAUGGCAAAGCAUGCCAUCUCCCUGUGGAAUUGGAAUACAAAGCUUGGUGGGCAAUCAAGAAGCUCAACAUGGAUUUGAGCAGAGCUGGGUUGAAGAGGUUCUUAGACCUUAAUGAGAUGGAGAAAUUGAGAAAUGAUGCCUACAUCAAUUCAAAAAUUGCAAAAGAAAAAUUGAAGAGGUGGCAUGAUCAGUUGAUUUCCCGCAAGGAUUUUCAAAAUGGACAAAGAGUCUUACUUUAUGACUCUAAACUCCACAUCUUUCCGGGCAAGCUGAAAUCAAGGUGGAUAGGUCAUUUUACCAUUCACCAAGUGCAUUCAAAUGGAGUAGUGGAACUACUCAACUCCAACAAUAUCGAGAACUUCAAAGUGAAUGGCCACCGUCUCAAGCCCUUUGUGGAGUCUUUUUCUCACAACAAGGAGAAAUUCAUCCUCCUUGAUCCACAUCAAGCUUAACAAGACCAAUUUUCUUGAUGGACUUAGUCUUUCUAAAGACUAUCGAGUCCAUAACUUUUUGUUUUAUUUUUUAUUUGAGAUUUUUUCGGUAUUGUUACUUGUUUUGUUUUUUAUUUUUCGUUUUAAUUUUAUUUGGUUUGAUUUAACUUAGGUUUUUGAUGAUCAAUUACAGGGGGGAUUUCAAAUAGAGGAAAAACCAAGAUAAUUCGCACACCCUACGAAAAUUUCGCAAGGCAUGCGAAAUUUAUGGCUUAUUUUGCAUGGGGUGAAAAUUUUCGUACAUCUUACGAACCAAUUUCGAACACUUUGCGAAAAUAAACCAACCCUGCGAAAUCAUUUCGAUUACUCUACGAAAUUUUCGUAGAGCAUGCGAAAAAUUUAGCACACCAAACACCAUUUCGCAUACUAUGCAAAAACCUAAGGGGUCUGCGAAACCAUUUCGCACCUCCAAAUCCAUUUCGCACAUUGUGCGAAAACCAAGAGGCGCUGUGCGAAAAUGAAAAGUCGCCCUGUCAUCCCUUUUUAAACCCCUCGAGCCCUAAAAUCUCCAUUUCGCAAGCACCCCUGUCCUUGCGAAUCCCUCAUUUUCCUCUACUACCUUGCAACCUCGUCCCUUUCCAUUUGAUAUUGUGCCCCGCGCACAUCUCAUUUCAGAGACUCGCACUCCGCGCCCCCUCAAAGCAUGGACUCGAGACCCACCUUCCAUUUCCGACGUGGCACGGACCCAAGGAGCCCUUUCUGCCCCUUCACUAAGACACACACCAAGGCAGAAAGCCUCCUUUGCUCAAGUGCCUAGUGAUUCUCCAUCUUAGGCCUCAGAGGCCUCGGAGGCCCCGUGGAUUCCACCUUCCGAGGGUAGAGCAGCCAUUGGUCCUUCCUCUUCUACUCCUUAGCGUAGAUACGAGACGAGGAGACCACCUACUACACAAGGGGCGACUACUUCGAGCCUUGAGAAUUCAGUACGAUGCCUUCCUGCCAAGAGGGUCAAGACUUCAGGUCCAAGUGAGUCAUCCAGAGCUUCAUAGCCUAAGCCUCCUGUAGAUUCCAAGGUUCCUACUGACAUAUCACCGGAGUCUAUUAUCAGAAGCCCGAUGCUCAUAGCACCGCCCAUUGAGGGCAACUCAGAUUAUAGAGCGAGAUCUUUCCACUUGGAGCUAUAUUUUGAUCAGGAGGCCAUACGACAGCAGCCUGAGCUCCGAGACUCUUAUGGCUUACUGCAGAGGUACCAUCUUGAGGAACUUAUGACUCCUCGUGAGUUUUUUUAUCCCAGAGUAGCACUAAACUUUUACCAGUCCAUGACUACUCGUGGCGUCCCGAGUCCUACCACGAUUCACUUCACCAUUGAUAGACGUCAUGGUAUCCUCAAGGCCAGACAUAUUACAGAGGCUCUACAAAUUCCUUUCGAGCUAGAGGAUCCAUCUGUUUUUCGCUAAUGGUCCCCAGUAUCUCAGAGGGACAUGGUCCGUAUUUUAUCUAGGGGAACAUCUACAGAUUCGAUCUUUCUACGGAAGGAGCUUCGACCUGGGAUGCUCCUCUUAGAUGUGGUGCUAUGCUCCAACCUCUUUCCCUUACAACAUUCGGUACAUAGGUGAUGAGCUAUUUUGGACGCUUUAUUCCGUAUAUCAGAGGGCUUCUACUUUGGCCCGCACCACUUGAUCAUGGUCUCCCUCAUCCACUUUGAGGAGAAGGUUCAUAGGAAGAAGCUUCAGAGGGUGGACACCAUUCCAUUACUAUUCCUGAGGUUACUUUGCCAGGUCUUGGAGUACAUGGGCUUUCCUACUGAGCCUCGGCUCGAGCUUUGCCGCCUUUGUCGAGAGUGAUCCACUCUCGACAAAUGGAAUUAGUUGGCGGGCUAUUCUGCACCUCCAGGAGCCCCUCCCAUGGUAGCACCUCCAAUGUCCCCACAGGCAAAGUAGGGCGAGCUCCCGGCAAAGACUGUACCACCAAUGCCCACACUUGAGGCUAUUUCUGCUGCUCUGCCUAUGACUCCUACUGUUCCACCAGUUGGUCCUUUUACAUCCGAGCCUUCCAUCACCAUCUCGGCUUCGGAGUUUCGCGCCCUUGUGCAUACCUUUCAGACACUCACCACCACACAUACUCCUCUCUUCUAGCAAAUGGUUGAGAUGUGUGCCCAUCAGGACCGGAAGACUACUAUACUCUGCCAAAUUCAGCAGCACCUAAGACUUUUGCCUCAACCUCAACCUAACCAUCCCAUAUCAUCAGAGCCUCUAGCUCCAACUGAGGAUACUAUUCCACCUGAGAACACUACCACAGUAGAGGUCCGGUUUCCACCACCUUAAGAGGCCACCACAGCUACAUCAGAGGAUGUGUCAUCUCCACUUGAGGCUCCCACUACUUGAUCAUAGGACAUAUCUUUAUCUUAUUGUAUUUACAUAUUAUAUUACUAGAGAUUUGUCCUUGUUUUGAUACUUUAUAUUCUGGGAUUGGAUGUAUUGCCUGAUGAUAUCUCAAUUGUACUUUCUCAUAUUAAUAUAUAGACAUCAAUUUUUUUUAGUAUACUUAGCAUUUUUCUAUUUCCUCUACUCAUUACUCUUUUGUUUUUUUUUACUCAUGUGGUUUCUCUUAUACAACUCAGACUCCAUUUCACUCAGGAGGUACCACUUCCUCCCUUUAUUUUCAAUUGCUCUUGAAAUAUUGAGUGCAAUGUUGAUCUUGGUUGGGGGGAGAGUUGAGGAAGGAAGUUUUGUUAAUAAUGCUAGGUUAAUUUGUUAAUUUAGUUACUUUCUGCUUAAUUUUAAAAGUUUUCACUCUACUUUCCAUGGUUAUUAAGGAAAAAUUCUCAAAAUGAAAUGGGAGAAAUCGAAUUCUUGCAUUUUUACUUGAAUCUUAGAAUUUGUAUCAUGCUUAUUAAAGUUGAUGAAUUAUUGAAACUCCUAUUGAAUUCAACCUUAUUUUUUCCACUUUAAUCUUACCACACACGGUGCACAUUAGGUUCCAGUUAUAAGAUAAAAAACUAUCUCACCCCCUAAACUUAGAAAAAUUUACACUUGGUACCUUUGACAUCGUUUUAAUAGUGUUGGGACACCUUAUAAAAGGCCAAUGAGCCUUUAAAAAAAAAAAAAAAAAAAAAAAGAGAAAGAACAAAGUAUUGCACUUGCCUUGAAACCUGAGCAAGAUCCGAGGGGUAUACAGUGAAAGUCUUUAAAACCUGGUGCCCUAAGCCUUGAUUGGUUGGGAGUCACCGACCUCAAUGCUCGUUAUAAGGGUGAAUAGGUGGAGUUUAACAUAUUGUAGGUGCUUGGGUAUUGAAUUUCAAUCUCAAAAGUCCGGGAAAAAAUCUAAGGAGUUAGUGGUCAAAAGAUCCUUAAAGCUUGAUGCCCUAAACCUUGAUUGGUUGAGAGUCAUUGAUGGAUCCCCGCUACAUGGACAUUUUAGAAAACAAUACCUUUAGCAUUGCACGCCUACAAUGAAAAAAAAAUGUGAAAUAAAAGAGGUGCGUUCUUAGCCUAUUGGAGGUUGGUCAGUUUGCUAAAGUUUGAGAAAUCUAGGUUGGGGGGAGAGAAUAGUCCGACAUACUAUAAUAAAAAACUAAUAACCUUAACACUUAGAUUUUUGUGGAAGAGUAAGGAUUGGACCUUUAGGGGUGGAAAUUCUUUUGAUGCUUAAAUUUGCAUAAUGCCUACUCUUUAUAAAUUAUGAUUAGGCAAGAGAUUUGAUGACUCUUGUUCAAAGUUGGGUUUUUCCUCUUUGAUGUUCCAUGAGAGAGUAUAAUCCUCAUCAUGCCACUUGAAAUCUUUUUGGAGUGAUUAACAUGAUUUUGUAAAUUAUUUUACUGUCUAUUUUUCUUUAUCUCUCUUUUAUUGCUAAUGGACUAGCAAUAUGUCAGUUGGGGGGAGUGAUUACUACUCAAAAAGUACUCUUUUAUAGCUUGAAACUAACUGUUUUAAACACUUUUGAGUAGGUGUUAAUACAUUUUAACUCAAUUGGCACAUUAAGGAACCUAACAAGGGUUACUAAUAAGUUUUUGGCAAGUUUUGGUGUUUUUGGUAGCUAUUUGAUCAUUGAAACAAGCCAAGAAUGAGGGAGAAUUUUGUGAAGUCCAUAGCAAUGCAAGUUAAAGCUCAAAUACAUGAAGAAUCCAAGCUUUGAAGCACUUCAUAGCCCUUUGCGAAGCCAAUCAGAGAUGCAAGGAAGAAAACCAGAGGAAAAAAUCCAACAACCAGCAUUUUCGCAUGGCUGUGCGAAAUUUUGCACACCAUGCGAAACCACAAGAAGUAGCCAAAGAAUUUUGCACACCAUGCGAAAUUUCGCAUGGUAUACGAAAUCUUCCUAUGCACCAACUCCGUUAUAUUUUUAUCUUCAGAUAUUUUGUGUAAUUUCCUAGUUUCUCCUUGUAACCAACCUAGAUAUUUUCUUUUAUAUCUUUUUUUUAUAUUUUUUAGGUAACAUCAUAUAUAGGGGGAGAGACAUAAGGAGGAUAUGGAUGUUUUUCAUAAAACACUUUUAAUUUUCUGGUAGUAAGAAAUAUACAAAGUUUUUUGCUCUGCCUUACCUUCUCAUUUUGUUUUCACCUAUCUUUCUAGCCAAACAACCUCUGAGAAUGAUUUCUCAGGGGAUGAGUAGUUAGGUUUUACGUUUCUUGGAGUGAGAGAAGCUAGGUGAAAGACCCAAAUGCUAAGGUGGGAGUUGUCCUUGCUUUAAAUGAAAGUAGUUGUUAAAUAUUAAUGGUUUUUAUUUUAAGGUUUAGCUUUAAAUCCCUUAAAAACACCUUGAAUGGCCAAUACUUGGUAAGCUUUUCGGAUUCUAUGGAUGCUUAUUGCUAGAUCCAUGGAUGUCAUUAGUUAUCAUUUAUGAGCCAUUGGAAGGUGGUUCAAGAUGAGAGUCUUUAGUGUUUGAAGCCAUUAAUGGGAAACAAUUACCAUUUUUUCAUGAAUCCUUUGGAUAAAAUCUUAAUUGCUAAAUAUAAAACUGGUUCGGGAGAUAACCAUCCUUUAUGUUAUUAUGCCCAAUGCAAGGAGAAGAUUUCGAAUCUUCUCAUUUGUCUAAGGAACCCGAUCCUAGUGACCUAAAGCUCCUAGAGACCUUUUCUUUGUAGUUAACUUCAUUUAUUGUUUUUGCUUAACUUAAAAUCAAUCUUUGCAACCACAAUUCCAUUUUCUUUAAAAGCUAAUUUUUAUAAGGAAAAGCACCAUUUUAUUUCCUUCACUAAGUCAACUGUAUGAUGAAAACCCAUCCCUGUGGACGAUCUUAGAGCCACUAUACUAUGUUAUCUAUGCUAUCCUAGUGUGAGGUGAUUUAGGUUUUAUAAAUUUUGUUGAUAACACCCGUCUGAGCCAGAAUCAAAUGGAACCACUGAACCAGGGACAAAUCAACAGCCUAUAUGGGAGGGACACAAGUUUAAUUGAUUUGCAUUUCAGCGUUAUAGAUAAGUAUGUUUUGGAAGAUUUGUUCUGGAAAUACUGCACCAAGUACGAUUCUUUUUCUCUUGAGUGAGUCCAUUUGCAUGCCAAUUAACGAGUUGAAAAGUAGGAGCACCUACCUCGUGCUCAUGGAACCGAAUGUCAGUGAAGUGGGGCUCCUUUUAGCCUCUUGUGUUUCUGUUCCAACCAAGGCGGCGUAGGGAAAAACAACAAUAUGUCUGUGCUAAAUAUCAACGCAUGAUAGAUGUUUUUUUUUUUUUUUUUGGUAUGUCAAGGCUAACGAAUGAAAUGCAUUAGCUUGUUUUGUGACUAUAACUGCAAAUGUCCAAAUUGGAGUAUCUCCAUUUCUCACUUCGGAUGGUUAACUUUAUAAACAAGAUAUAGGAAACAUGUGAACAUCUUGAGGAACAAUUCAAAUUAUUCAUUAGAAGUCCUGGGUUAAGUUCCAAGAUUUAAAUCAGACCCUUCUAGCAGCUUCAAGGGUACUUAGCAACCUAUAACAUAUUAAUGAAGAUUUAGGAUUUAGACUCCGGAAUACAAAUAAAUAUGUAUCUCAUGCUUUGACUAGCUUCCCUACAUAUGCAUAAAAUGGAGAUGACCCAAAAAAAAUAGCAGAAUCUAGCUUCCCUACAUAUGCACAAAAUGGAGAUGACCCAAAAAAUAGCAUAAUCGCCUUAGUUUCUGUGGUUAAGGUGAUUCUCCGCUUAAUAUCCACAUUGACUCAUUAUGCAAAAUCAACUGAGCUAAUUUUAUUUAUUUAUUUAAUGUCAAAUAGGAACUCCUAAUUAACUGAUUACUGUCGAAAAGUGCUAUUUUGUAGACCUAAUUAUAAGGGUUUUAAGCACCUUUGAGUAGUAAUCAUAUUCAUUUAACCUAAUUAAUUCAUUAAGCUCCUUAGUAAUUAGUUCUAACCAUUUUUAGUGGCAAGUUUACAUGUUUUUCAUCAGCUUAUGAACCAAUUCAAGCAUGCCAAUUGAUGGAGGAGCUACUUGGGCGAGUUAAGCAAGGAUUUUGGACGUUUACAGGCUUGAAUUUCAAGUGGAAACACGAGCACAAGCAAUGGGAACACCAUUUCGCAAGGGGAGGCAAUUCACCUUGCCAAAUGACCAAUUUCGCAAGGGGAUUUUCCUCAUGGUGCAAAAUUUGGUCAUUUCGCACCAUGAAGAAACCACCUUGCAAAAUUUCGCAAGGUGGAUUUAGGCACCUUGCGAAAUGCCAAAUUUCACAAGGUGGCUUUUCACCUUGCGAAAUUUGGACCUUUCAUCUUCCCCCCUUGCGAAAUGCCUUUGAAAUCCCCUGUUUUGAGACGCUGUUGAUGAUAUUCCACUGCCGGUUCUCCAAGAUAUUUUGCUUGACUUUUAGCUUUAUAAAUACCUAUUUUACCCUUGUAAUCAACCAAUGAAAAGGUUGCUUUUGUAAUAGCUCUUGUAAUUUAGCUUUUUAUUGUCUUUAAAUAGAGGUGAAGAGCCUCAGACACGAUCAUCUUGUAACCUGUAACUUUAUAAGUUAUAAGAGCACUUUUGUUCAUACGCUUCUUUUCUCUUUUCUUUCUCAUUUUCUUAGUAGCCAAACAUCCUUGGAGGAUGAAAUCCCCAAGGAUGAGAGGCUAAAACCUUUUAGUUUCUUGAAGUAAUGGAUGCCAUGUGAAGCUCCCGUGUCAGGAUGGAGAUUUCCAAGCCAUAAAUGUAAGUAGCUGAGCGUCAUAAAUGUUUUCAUUCAAAGUAAAGCUUUUAAUCCCUCUGACUUGCUUUGAAUGGCCAAUACUUGAUAACCUUUUGGUCUCAAUGGAUUCUUAUUGUUAGAUCCACUGACGUUCAUUAGUUAUCUCCUACGAGCCAUUGUAUUGCAAGUCGAGGAGAUGACCUAUACCAAUAAAAGAGCAUUUAUGAGGUUCAACUACCCUUUUUGUAAGUUUUCAAGGACUAAAACUCAGUUGUUAAACUCAUACCGGUUCGAGAAGUAAGCAUCACCUUAGUUGCUUCCCCAACUCGAGGUGAAAAGUCCCAAAAUCUCCAUUUUUACACAGUGAGUUAAGCAUGGCUAUCCAAAGCUUUAAGAAACUUCUUUUUCCAUCUUUUAACCUAUUUUCAUGUUAGUUUAGUUUACAACACCUUCAUCUUUUUAUGUUUUCAUCUUAACCUAAUUUUUAUUAAGAAAAGUUCACUCCAUCCUCCGAACUUCACCAGUUAAAGUAAAAACCCUUCCCAGUGUUCGAUCCUAGAGCCACUAUGCUAUAGUAGCUUUGCUACUUUAGUGUAAGGACCUUAGGUAUAAAUUUUGUUGAUACCCUUACAUGCCAAGCUACCAAGAGUCGGGUUAUCAUUAACCUAACCAUUGGCCUGUGUAAAUUGAUUUCACAUGCACAAUGUUGUAGUAGAAGUCCAUAUUUUGAAUUUUAUUUUUGUAAAGGUAAGGAAAAUGAAGCAUUGUGUAAUUAUAAAAAUAACUUCAUUGGAAUUCACAAGGUUCACCCAAAAUGGAGCUACAUCUGUAUUCUAUCCUACAGUAGACUAUAUAGAUUGUACAAUAGUAAAUUGCAAAUACAAUUAAUAAGUCUUGUGCUUCCUUACUAAUAAUCCUUUGACAUGAACAUUGCAGCACUAAGGUCCUCUUGGGAAGACACCUUGCACCCAUGAGAGCACUAAGAGGAAGCAAGGCAGAGUCAUGGGUGCAAUGUCAUGACUUGUUGUUGCACCAAGAGAGGCUUGGUGAUGCCAUGGUGUUGCAGUAGCAAGAAUGUUGCCUUGGCAGGGACACGAUCUAGGGAUAGAUGCCAAGAAAGGCUUAGCACUCACAUGAGUUGCACAAAGAUGAAUGUAAUAGAGCAUCAGAGAGACGUCUUGGCAAGUAAAUGAAUGGAUCCAAGAGACAACAACAUGAGGAGUUUCAAAUGGAUAAGGAAUGACUCAAAGACAUUUGAAAGCUACAAGUUGGAUUCUAAUUACGAUUGCAAUUUGAGUUUGAGUAGGAGUUUAGAUUUUGAUUGUAAUUGUAGUAUGAGUUGGACUAGGAUUGCUUAUCCUUAGUCAAUAUAGGAGCGGUUCGUGUCACCCUAUGAAAAGAGUUUGAGUAGGGACUAGGAUUGCUUACUCCUAGUCAAAUAUGGAGUAGGUGGUGCCACACCUAUAAAAAAAAGGGACAACAUGAGAGAGAGAGAGAGAGAGAAAGAGAGAGUGAAUUCACUAAAGAUAUUGUGGGAGUUUUGCUUUGUUACGUCUUGUAUUAUUACUUAGAAUAGGAAUAAAAUACAAGUUGGGGCUAGAGCCCCAUAAUUAAUCUCGUGUGCCUUUGUGGUUAUUCUUUAUUUGUCAUCUCGUGUGGAUUGGAUUAGGUUGACUUAGAGGGCUUCUAAGCACCACCUUUGUGGGUUAUUAUUUAUUUUCCAUCUCUUGUGGAUUAGAUUAGGUUGACUUAGAGGGCUUCUGAGCACCACCUUUGUGGGUUAUUAUUUAUUUUCCAUCUAUUGUGGAUUAGAUUAGGUUGACUUAGAGGGCUUUUAAGCACCACAUUUGUGGGUUAUUCUUUAUUUUCCAUAUCGUGUGGGUUGGAUUAGGUUGACAAGGAGAAAAAUUAUGUGGGAAAUUUGUGUUGGGACACUUACCAUAACCAAGUAAAAUCUACCAAGUCCUUUGUAAUAUCUUCAACAAAUAUUUUAGACUAGUUCUUUCAGUUAGUGUAAAGGAGGAAGAAGUGGUAUUGAUUCUAGAAAUAGGGUGUGUGUAUUUGAACUACAAUCCUUAUGAUCCUUAGGUCUCUAAACCUUCGUGAUGGGCUCCCUGACAUUUCAUAGGUUGUGCUACACAUGCGUUUGAAAUUUAGAGUGCGUUUGACAGUGAUUCCGGGAAGUGUUUUUGGCCUUUCUUACACUUGAAAAUUUUUAUUUUUCAAGUAUUAGAAAUGCUACAAACACUUUUGAAAAUUACUGUCAAACACACUCUUAGGAGCGCACAUAUAUAGUAGAAAACUAGAAAUUGUGGUUUUUUUAGGAUUUACUGUAAUGUCAUUAGGAGGGUAGUAAGUUGAAAUUGAGUAUGAACAAAUAUUUCUUUCUUUGGGAUGUUCUUCUAGUAGGUGCUGAUGAAACUGUUCUUUCUACUGCCAAUGUCACAUAUCAGCCAGAAAUUGAAAAUUUCAGUCAAGGUGUCCUCUGUUUUAGUGGUGAGGAAAGCUAGAAAUUUUAAGGUGAAGUUUUGUUAAAAACCUUAAGUAGCUGGGAUAUCAGGCCUGUUUUGCUUGAAAAAAAAAGUUGCAAGAUAACUCAUAUGCCAAACAGGUUCUGAUAUUGUGAAUCUAUCGGCAGACAUCAGUAAUCUCAUCUUCUGAGAUGGAUGUUGGGGGUGCAUGUGGUGGUGGAGGGGCAAGGUUUCAUUUGGUUUAUUUUGUUGAUGGAUAUUGUCUAGCCACCUGCGCCAAGUUUGAGGGGUGGUGGGUUGUGAUGACCCUACAAUUACUAUUAAUUUCUUCAUCUUUUACCGAUUAAAGUGUCCGAACAGUCGAAGUUACCCUUAUGCAUGUCAACUUGAUCACUUACCUCUUCAAUGGAGUUUAUGCUGGUUCAUUUAGGAACUGAUUUUUAUUGUUAUGUAUUAUAUGCUGAUGUUUAGGUCUCUCCAUCAUCACUAUAUACAAAAAUUCUAGGUUGAUACUAUAGGUUGAGAUUUAUUUUUUAAAUAAAAAAUAAUAAAAAUAAAAAUUAUGGUGAUGUUUAGUUGUUUUAUGGAAAAUUUUAACAAGUAAAAGUUAUUUUUGGGCAAGUUUUCAAACAAAAAGAAAAGUAAAAGUUGUUUUGACAAAAACAUAUAGAAAAAAAAAUCAUAGAAAAUAAAUAAUUUCCCCAUAUUCUAACUUUUUUGAAUUUUUCUCAAUGGGCAAAGGAAUAUCAAAUCAAGUUUGAGUAGGAUUUCUUAAUUUUUAAAAUAACUUACAAUUAAAAAAUUUUGGUGUUUUCAUUUUUGGACAAUUUUUUAUUAAGCAAAUGGACUCUGAGUCAUGCAAGAGAUAUGGUUCAUUAACCGGUCGAACAAUUUUUUUAAAUUAAUUUAAAAGUCAAAUACAUAAUCAAUUUCACAAAAUUUAUAAACAAAAAUAGGUUUAGAGAAGAUCUACACAUAAUUUUACUUUUCUAAUUUUAUUUUAUUUUAUUUUUUGUUGGAAAAUAGUCUUCAAAUCAUGUAAGAUUUAAUAGGUUAAAUUUGUUAACAAUAAAUUUUAAAUUAUAAAAUAUAAUCUGGAACUCAAAAAUCAAUUCAAGUAAUGCUAAAAAAAAAUCAAAUUUGGUAUAGAAUGACUUUGUAAAUUUUUUUACAAAACAAAUGAAUUUUAAAUCAAGUGAGAUUUAAUGCAUUAGAUUUUUAUCAAAUAUAGUAAUUUUAAAAAUAAAUUUGGAACUCAACAAUAGACACAAUAAAUACCAAAAAAUAAUGAACCAAAAUUGGUUUGGAAUAACUCCACAACCUUUUUUUUUUUUUUUUGGUGCACACGAAUUUUCUUACUAGGUAUAUUGCUUUCAAAUUGAGAAAGAUUUACCAUUUAGAUUUUUUUUUAAUGAGUUUAAUGGUAUUUUAAAAUAAUUCAAAAUUUAAAAAAUUGACUAAUUAAUAUUAUAAAUUGAUAAACCAAGACUAUUUCAAAAUGCAUUGGGGGCUAAGGGGGUUGAAAAUAGGGACAAUGGGAUGGGUUUGGGACAUGACACUCAUAUCUCAUUUCCAUUCCAAUUACACAGUUAUCUCCCAUCCUUAUCCCAAACUUGUGUUGGAGCAAGUUGAUUUGUUCCCAUCUUUGUUGACGAAAUGACUAAUAACCUCAUCCCCUCCUUAUCUUAGAUGUACAUUUUGUCAAAUUUGAUCAGGUAUGAUUGAUCCAAGCCCUAACCCUAAUUGGUAAUGAGUGAAUACUACACCUAAUUGCAUUCUUCUUUCAUUGCAAAAUAAUGAGAUUAUAAUAAUCUAGCAAAUAAGAAAAAAUAGUAUGGAAGUUCAAAUUAACACCAUAACUAUCAAUAAUUUUAAGCUUAUAGAUGACUUAAAUGAUUAAAAACUAAUGCAAAAUCCUAAAAAAAAUAAAAAUCAUAUAAAGAAUUCACAAGAGAACAGAAUGAACAAAAACCAAAUAUGAACAUGGGUCAACAUUAGUUAUGGAUUUGGAUUCCUUUCAAGGCCAAUCUUUGAACCAAGACUUCAUCAAAUCAACUACUUCAAAGGCUUUUGUGUUCUUCUUGGGUUGUGCUCUCAAACAAAGACUUCGAGGUGAUGUUCUAGAUGAUUGAAUUACACAUAUUUAGGGUGGAGAGAUUGGAGAAGCUUGAAGAUGCCAACGAUGGGUACAAUUGAGUGGUCAAUAAGAACAAUGUAGCCUAUGACUAGUUUGAUGUCAUGGUACAAGAGUUUUAGGCAUUGAGGUUAAAGCAAGAGCAACAUGGAAUUGAUUUCGGAGUCUUUCAGUUAGUGUAAAGGAGGAAGAAGUGGUGUUGAUUCUAGAAAUAGGGUUUUAAGUGGUGCGUGAUUACUACUCAAAAAGUGCUAUUUGAUAGCCUUUAAUUAAUCCUUUUUAACACUUUUGAGUAGUAGUUUAGGCCUUUUAACUCAAUUGGCAUGUUAAGGAUCCUUUAAAGCAAUUUUGAUCACUUUGUGCAAGUUUUGGUGUUUUUGUUAGUAUUUUGAUCACCAAAGCAAGUCAAGAAUGAGGAGAACUAUGAGGAAUCAUGGGCAAAGCUUAGAAUUCAAUUGCCAAGAGUGAAUCCGGAUUGCAAGGAGAAAAAGCAAAGAGAAUCUGUCAUGAAGCCUAUUCUUGAUGACAGUCGUAGCAGCCACUUUUGGAGCACUUUCUGAAGUCCAAAUGAUGCAAGCUAUAUACCAUUUCAAAGAUCAGGAAGUCAACAAUCCAAUGCUUCAAACGGUGCGCGAUUCGGAGUUGAAACGAAGAAGUUGCAGCCAUUACAAGCCAGUCACUCUAAAGUGUUGCGGAAUCAGCCUUUUGUUGCGAGAAUUUCGCAGCACUUUUGUACAGUAAGGUGUUUCUCCUUCUGACGAUGCACGAACCAUGCCGCGAGAGGGAAGCUAGGAACUUCAAGAUGGAAGCCAACUUUGCAGCCUGGUGAAGAUAGCUUGGUCUUGCGAAAUAAUUUCGCAGCCCUCUUGGGUGUCUGCGAAAUUUCGCAGGCACCACUUUUUUCCUGCGAAAUGGCUCCGGAAGCCUCCCGAAGCUUGCUACCGACAUUGGGAGAUAUUUUCCAUUAGAUUUUUGUUGUCUAAAUUCCAAAAUACUCCUUGUAAACCACCAAUUACAUGAUUCCUUAGUUUUUAAGUUAGUAAAAAGACCAAAUAUCUAUGUAAUAAUUAGUUUUAUAUUAGUUUGCUAUAAAUACCUCUCGGGAGCAUGUUCUCAGAGAGGAGUUCCUUCUGUAACCAUUUUGGUAAGCAAGUAAAGUCUUUUCUUUCUACUGCCUUACCUUCUCACUUUGUAUUUUCAUUUUAUUUCUAAGUUAUGAAUUCUCUGAGGAGCUUUCCCCAGAGAAUGAGUAACUAAACCUCCAAUUCCUUGGAGCUAAGGUUGCCGGGGAAGGUUCCAAGUGCAAGAAUGCAAAGCUCUGUGGUUUUAGCUAGUAAUGAAGAGGAAGUGAAAUCCUUUAGUGAUUUCAAUGUUUUUAGUUAACUUAAAACACCUUGGAGUCACCUGGGCCAACACUUGGUAAGGCAAGUGAUUUCCAACCGUGGAAAUGCACUAGUUUACCCCUUGCGAGCCUCUGGUAGGUGACUUCAAGGUAGGAUUUUCUGGAAUUACCAACACUUGGUAAGCUUUUGGACUCCUAGGAGACAUCCAUUAGUUAUCUCUUGCGAGUUUGUGAAGGGGAAUCCAAGGUUAAAGAUCACCUUGAAUGGUAAGUGCUCGUGAGAGGCAUGAACCAUUGCAAGUUGUAUCAGUGAGAGAAUUAAAGUGAAAUCUAAUUGAAGGAGUCUCUGUACAUCACCGGUUAGAGAAUUGACUAUAAGUUGAAUCUCUAAUGCGAGGAAAUGAACCAUCUGACCGGAGCUAUGUCUUUUGCAUGAGGAACCACCCCAGUGAACCUAAAUCUCCAAGGAAUGCUUUUCUUCCUAAAUUAUUCCAAACUUCUGUUAAGUUAGUUAGUUUAAGUCUAAACCUUUACCAAUCAAACUUUGUGUUUUAUUUCUUAAGCUAACCGUGAAAUGAAACAAAACCAAUUCACUUGGAAUUGGUAUCCUUGAUUGCUUGCAAAUCAUUCCCAGUGAACGAUCCUUAGAGCCACUAUACUAUAGUAGCUUUGUAUUUGCUACCCUAGUGUAUGGUGUUAUAGGUAUAAAUUUUGUUGAUCACUUCCUCAAUCAAGGAACACCAGCUGAACACAAAUCAGCUGAGACACCAAUUGGGCAUGAGUCAAAUGGCGCCGUUGCCGGGGAAUGAGUGUCAAGAUCAUUGUGAUACCAUUUUUGAGCACUUGUGAUUUUCAUCACAAGUUGGUAAAGUUUCUUUCACUUUACUAAUUUUCAUUCUCUCUUUGUUUAUUUACAAUCUAAGUUUAUCUUUUUAAAAUUUAGUCUAGUUUAAUUUUGCUAUUGUAGCCUUGUUUCUCUUGUUGUCCUCUGUUCUUGUUGUCCUCUGUUUUCAUUUUAGUUGCAGCUGAAUACUAGUUGUGUAUGCCAAAGUGGAUACGAGACAUUGGAGGUAGGCUUAUUAAGUGUGAUACACCUCAGAGAGGAGAAUUGGAAGUAAUCUUGAAUAUCAUGGAGGCUGCACCUGAAGAUCAGCAUAGUCACCAAGGUCGUCAAGACAAUCUCAAUGAAUUCAGAUCAAUGAGGGACCGUAUGCAUCCACCUCGUAUGAGUGCACCAUCAUGUAUAGUGCCCCCUACAGAGCAACUAGUGAUCAGACCAUAUCUUGUUCCACUUCUACCAACUUUCCAUGGGAUGGAAAGUGAGAAUCCGUAUGCACACAUCAAGGAAUUUGAAGAUGUUUGUAAUACAUUCCAAGAGGGAGGAGCUUCAAUUGAUUUGAUGAGGCUUAAGUUAUUUCCUUUUAAUUUAAAGGAUAAGGCCAAAAUUUGGCUUAAUUCUUUAAGGCCAAGGAGUAUCCGCUCUUGGACUGAUUUACAAGCUGAAUUCCUCAAGAAAUUUUUUCCUACUCAUAGAACAAAUGGCUUGAAAAGGCAAAUUUCAAACUUCUCAGCUAAAGAGAAUGAGAAAUUCUAUGAGUGUUGGGAAAGAUACAUGGAAGCUAUAAAUGCUUGUCCUCACCAUGGCUUUGAUACUUGGCUACUGGUGAGUUAUUUUUAUGAUGGUAUGUCCUCCUCAAUGAAGCAACUCCUCGAGAAAAUGUGUGGAGAAGAUUUCAUGAGCAAAAAUCCAGAGGAAGCUAUGGAUUUCUUGAGCUAUGUAGCUGAUGUUUCAAGGGGAUGGGAUGAACCAACUAAAGGAGAAGUGGGAAAGAUGAAGUCUCAGUUGAAUGCUUACAAUGCAAAGGCUGGGAUGUAUACUUUAAAAGAGGAUGAUGACAUGAAAGCAAAGUUGGCAGCUAUGACAAGAAGAUUGGAGGAGCUGGAGCUGAAAAGAAUGCAUGAAGUGCAAGCUGUUGCUGAAGCACCAGUGCAAGUGAAGUUGUGUCCCAAUUGUCAAUCGUUUGAACAUUUGGUAGAGGAAUGCCCUGCAAUUUCAGCUGAAAGGGAAAUGUAUAGAGAUCAAGCAAAUGUUGUUGGACAAUUCAGGCCCAAUAACAAUGCUCCUUAUGGAAAUACCUACAAUUCAAGUUGGAGGAAUCAUCCAAAUUUUUCAUGGAAGGCCAGAGCAACUCAAUACCAACAGCCGGAUCCACCAUCUCAACAAUCUUCAAGUAUUGAACAAAUAAUAGCUAAUCUCAGCAAGGUAGUGGGAGAUUUUGUGGGAAAGCAAGAAGCCACCAAUGCUCGAGUGGAUCAAAGAAUGGACAGAGUGGAUCAAAGAAUGGACAGAAUGGAGAGUAUGUUGAACAAAAGAAUGGAUGGAAUGCAAAAUGAUAUGAAUCAAAAAUUUGAUAACAUCCAAUAUUCAAUUUCAAGGCUUACAAAUUUGAAUACACUGCAAGAAAAGGGAAGAUUUCCUUCUCAACCUAACCAAAAUCCCAAAGGUGUCCAUGAAGUGGAAAGCCAUGAGGGAGAAUCAUCACAGGUGAAAGAUGUGAAAGCUUUGAUCACUCUAAGGAGUGGUAAGAAAAUUGAGCAGCCAACACCCAAGCCACAUGUUGAGAAAGAAGAAGAGAUGAAGAAAGGGAAGGAAAUGGAAGAUAAAGGCAGUGAGAUCAGUGAAGAAAAGAAGGACUCUGAUGCAACAAUGAAAGUAAUUCCAGAGAAGGAGCUUCUGAAGGAAGAAAUGCUGAAGAAAUCAACUUUUCCACCUUUUCCUCAAGCAUUACAGGGGAAAAAGGGGGUUAGAAAUGCAGCUGAAAUCCUAGAAGUAUUGAGGCAAGUGAAAGUUAAUAUUCCACUGCUGGAUAUGAUCAAACAAGUUCCAACGUAUGCAAAAUUCCUAAAGGACUUGUGUACUAUCAAAAGAGGGUUGACUGUAAACAAGAAAGCCUUCUUGACUGAGCAAGUAAGUGCAAUCUUACAGUGUAAGUCUCCUUUGAAGUACAAAGACCCUGGAAGUCCUACCAUUUCAGUCAUGAUUGGAGGAAAGGUAGUGGAGAAAGCCUUGCUAGACUUGGGAGCAAGUGUGAAUUUGCUUCCAUAUUCUGUCUACAAGCAACUGGGACUUGGAGAGUUGAAGCCAACAGCAAUCACUUUGUCUCUGGCAGAUAGAUCAGUGAAAAUUCCAAGAGGGGUAAUUGAGGAUGUAUUGGUUCAAGUAGAUAAUUUCUACUAUCCUGUAGAUUUUGUUGUUCUUGAUACAGAUCCUACUGUAAAGGAAGCUAAUUUAGUUCCUAUCAUCCUUGGAAGGCCAUUUCUUGCAACUUCAAAUGCAAUCAUCAACUGUAGAAAUGGGCUUAUGCAACUCACUUUUGGUAACAUGACACUGGAUCUAAAUAUUUUCUAUAUGUCUAAAAAGCAAAUCACUCCAGAAGAAGAAGAGGGUCCAGAAGAGCUAUGUAUUAUUGAUACUUUGGUGGAGGAGCACUGCAAUCAACAUAUGCAAGAUAAGUUGAAUGAAAGUUUUGUGGAUAUUGAGGAAGGUUUUUCUGAAUCUCCUAAUGGGCUUGCUACUCUACAAAGUUGGAGAAAGAUAGAAGGAAUUCUACCUUUGUUCAAUGAAGAAGAGGAGGCAGCUGUUGAAAAAGAAAUUCCAAAACUCAAUCUGAAGCCUUUACCUAUGGAGCUGAAAUAUACAUAUCUUGAAGAAAAUAAUCAAUGUCCUGUCGUAAUAUCUUCAUCUCAAACCAAGUCUCAAGUGAAGGAUGCAAGCUUCAAAUGGGAUCCGGGCAAACUGAAUCAGGAAGGGCAAAAAGUUUUGAUGUAUGACACAAGACUCCAUAUCUUUCCUGGGAAGCUCAAGUCAAGGUGGAUUGGUCCAUUUGUUAUUCACCGAGUAUAUUCCAAUGGAGUGGUGGACUUAUUGAAUUCCAAUGGCAAGGACAGCUUUAGAGUCAAUGGAUAUCGUCUUAAGCCGUUCAUGGAGUCAUUCAAAUCAGAAAAGGAGGCAAUCAACCUCCUUGAACCUCAAAAAGCCUAAGUGAAAUGGGUUUGCUGGACGUGGUUUUACCACAGUCCAAAAAUUUUUGUAAAUUUUGUAAAUUUUCAAGUUGUUUCCAUGCUUUUAAUCUUAGUUUUUGAUUUUAAAUCAUGUUUUUAGGUGUGUUUUAAUCGUUUUAUAUGAUCCCAGGCGGAAGAAAUUUCAAGGGGAUUGAAAAGAAAAAAAUCGGGUCGAAAUUGGAGCCGAAACAGAGCAAAAACAGGGGAAAAACAGAGCUCUGCGAAAUUUCGCAGGGUGAAGGAAACUUCUGCGAAAUUGGCAUUUUGCUGCCAAACCAUUCCGCAGCACUGUAGAAGCCUCUGCGAGUGUAUUUCGCAAUUGCGAAAGUGGAUUUGGCACACGAGUGCCACUUCGCAGCACAGUGACAUCAAUUUCGCAGCUGCGAAACUCACUGCGAAGUUGCUGCGAAAAUGGCAAGUUGCUGCGAAAUUGGCGUUUUGUUGCGAAACGUAAUCUGACCCCUGGGCUUCCGUUUUUCCUAUUUAUACCUGUCAAAAGUGCUGCGAAAAAGGUUUCAAAAAUUAGAGCACCAUUCUCGCAGCCCUUUCAUCUUCUUCGCCAAGCCACGCCGUCCGUUUCUCCGGUCGUCUUCUCCGUUUAGCAGCGCCGGCCAAAGAUCGAUAGCCCAAAAAUGGCACGAACGCGAGGGGCAAAGUCUUCAUCCCCUUCGAACCGCAAAAGGAGUCUGCGAAAGGAGCCAAGUUCAGGCUCUGUUCCAGAACCUGCUCCAAAGCCUUCGCCGUCGAGACCACAACCUUCUCCAGUGAAGCCGGCGCCACCAAAGCCGCCGGCAAGGCGAUAUUUAACCAGGUCAGGUGGUCAGCCAUUGAAGAAGAAAGCCAGAGUUGAGAGCUCUGAACCAAUCGAUUUGACUGAGCAAUCCCCUGAGAAAUCACCAAAUCCUUCACCGGUACAAAUUCCAGUGCCAUCACCGGUUCCCUCGCCAAUUCCCUCACCAGAAGCAACUCCAAUUCCAUCGCCGGUACCAUCUCCGGCACCCCAAGAAAAAGCUCAGGAGCCUCAAGCGCCAAUUCCAGAGCCCCAAAUUGCAGCUGAAGCACCUCUGGAAGAAGUGAUCCGAAGGCCAAUGCUGCCUCAGCCCCCAAUCGAAGGAAACCUGGAUUGCCGAACUCGGGCAUUCCAUUCUGAGCUUUGCUUCGAUUUAACAGCAUUCAGAGUGAGGCCAGAGCUUGCCCAAUCCUUCCAACUGCUGAGGAGAUAUCAUAUGGAGCAUCUGCUAGCUCCAAGGGAUUUUUUCUAUCCCCGGGUAGUCACGGAUUUCUACCAAACCAUGACAACCAAAGAAGUAAGAAAUCCAACUCUGAUUCAUUUCAUAAUUGAUGGAAGGCAUGGUAUUUUGGGAGCAAGACAUAUUGCUGAAGCCCUGCAAAUUCCUUUUGAGCCAACUCAAUUCGACAAUUUUAAAGCUUGGACAAAUCCUACUGAGUUAGAGAUGGUUAGCACACUAACCAGAGGAGCUGCAAAUCGAUCGCAUUUGUUGAGGGGGGAGCUACCUCCAGUUAUGUUUUUGAUUGAUGCCUUUUUGAGGCAUAAUAUCUAUCCCCUGCAGCAUUGGACCCAAAGAAGGGGAAUUCUCCUAGAAGCCUUGUACAAAAUGUCUGAAGGAUUCUUCUUUGGGCCUCAUCAUCUGAUCAUGGCAGCCCUUCUAUACUUUGAGGAGAAGGUUCACAAGAAGAAGCUUCAAAGAGCAGAUUGCAUUCCACUCCUCUUCCCAAGGCUGCUAUGCCAAGUUUUGGAGCAUCUCGGAUACCCCUCUGAGCCUCAGCAGGAAAGAAAGAGAAUAUGCCGUGAGCCUUUUACCCUUGAUAAAUGGAAUAAUAUGACGGCCUACAAAAUUGAUCAGCCUGGGCAGCCUCAGCCAGCAGCAAGGAGAGUCUCCCCAAGACAUAUACCUGAAGGUAUAACACUUGCUACUCCUGCCAUCCCUCGAGCUCCACCAGCUGCACCUGCUCCAUCACAGCCAUCCACAUCAGCUGAGCCGAGGAUGGCCAUCCCUAUAUCCGAAUAUCGAGAGCUGUGCCGUGCAUUGGAGACUCUUACAGCUUCUCAGAGCAAUCUUGCUCAGGAGUUGGCAGCCAUUAAAGCAUGCCAGGAGCAGAUGUUAGCCUCUCAGACUCAACAAGCUGCCAUCCUAAGGCAGCUUCAAGUCCAUUUCGAUCUGCCACAAGCUGUAGAGCCCUCUAUUCCUACUCCACCAGAGCCACACUCUCAGCCUUCAGAGUCUCAUCCUCCAGAACCCGAAGCACCAGCUGAUCCACCUACUGAGGAGGCAGAUCCUUCUGCCUAGCACCAUCACCCCCCUCAUCAGACAUUAUAUAUAUAUUUGCUGUUUAUGUUUUUAUGCAUGUUUGUUUUGUUUUAGUUGAAAAGAAAUCCCAGUAUUUUGGUACUAUAUAUGGGAUUCCUUGUGUUACUUGUCUUUAGUAUUGUAAUCACAUGAACUCAAAGUAAUACAAGUUGACUAUUUCUUGUUAAAAGUUAGCAUUAAAGUUUCCUUAUUUCCUUUUCUCACAUAUUCUAUUCUUUUUGAAACAUGUGGUUUUCCCCAAUCAAUAUUCGAAUUUGAUAUCAGCAUGGAGGUACCACUUCCUCCCUUUUAUUACAGUCACUCAAAUCACAUUGAGGACAAUGCUCAGUUCGGUUGGGGGGUAUGAGGAAGGAAGUAUUCUAAACCUUUUUGGUAUUGCAAUUAUAUUGGUUAAUUAGUUGUAGAUUUUACUUUUUACUAGUGUUACUCUAUUCUCCAUGAAUUUUGAGGAAAAAUUUUCAAAUUAAACCAAGAGAAAUUGAACUGUUGUUUUUCACUUGACUUAGAGUAUGGAUUAUGCUUACUAAAGUGGUUCAAUUGUUGAAACUUCUACUGAAAUUGAAUUGAGUUCUUCCACUUUAAGCUAUCCACACACUGUGCACAUUAGUUUCCGAUUAUAAGAUGAAAAGCUAUUUCCCUCUUGACUUAGUAUAUUUUUGGGACUUGGUAUAUUUGACCUCAUUUGAUAAAAAUUGAAACACCCUGCAAAAGGCCAAUGAGCCUUUGAAAUAAAGAAAGUUGUUUGCUUGCCUUGAAACCCGAGCAAGGUCUGAGGGGUAUAUGGUGAAAAUCUUUAAAGCCUGGUGCCCUAAGCCUUAAUUGGUUGGGAGUCACCGACCUCAAUGCUCGUUACAAGGGUGAAUAGGUAGAGUUAGCAUAUGGUAGAUGCUUGGGUAUUAGAAAUUCAUUCUUAAAAGUCCGGGGAAAAAUCCGAGGAGUUAGUGGUUGAAAGAUCCUUAAAACUUGGUGCCCUAAACCUUAAUUGGUUGGGAGUCAUCGAUGGACCCCCAUUACAUGGACAAGUCAGAAAGAGUACCCCAUAAAGCUACCUUAAAAAAAAAAAAAAAAAAAAAAAAAAAAAAAAAGAUGAAAGUGUGUUCUUUUCUUAUUGAUUUUGGUCAGUUUGCUAAAGUGUUGAAAAGAGAUAGGUUGGGGGGUGAGAUUAGUAGCAUAUUAUUCUCGGAACCUAAGGAACCAAUACACAUAGAUUUUUGUGGAAGAUUGAAGUUUAGUUCUUAGAAAAUGAAAUGAUUUUAAAACUUCAGUUUGCAUAAUGCACUCCCUUGAUUGACAGUGUUUAGCAUAGGUGUUAUGACUCUUGUUGAGAUUUGGGUUUGUAUUUCUUUAAUGAUUCAUGUGAGAAAUAGAUCAUCAUGCCACUUGAGAAUUAUUUUCCUUUUAGCAUGAUGUUGUAAAUUUUAGAUUAGUUUGCUAUUUAUUUUUUAUUUUCUCUCCUAUAUUGCUAAGGGACUAGCAAUAUGUCGGUUGGGGGGAGUGAUUACUACUCAAAAAGUGCUAUUUGAUAGCCUUUAAUUAAUCCUUUUUAACACUUUUGAGUAGUAGUUUAGGCCUUUUAACUCAAUUGGCAUGUUAAGGAUCCUUUAAAGCAAUUUUGAUCACUUUGUGCAAGUUUUGGUGUUUUUGUUAGUAUUUUGAUCACCAAAGCAAGUCAAGAAUGAGGAGAACUAUGAGGAAUCAUGGGCAAAGCUUAGAAUUCAAUUGCCAAGAGUGAAUCCGGAUUGCAAGGAGAAAAAGCAAAGAGAAUCUGUCAUGAAGCCUAUUCUUGAUGACAGUCGUAGCAGCCACUUUUGGAGCACUUUCUGAAGUCCAAAUGAUGCAAGCUAUAUACCAUUUCAAAGCUCAGGAAGUCAACAAUCCAAUGCUUCAAACGGUGCGCGAUUCGGAGUUGAAACGAAGAAGUUGCAGCCAUUACAAGCCAGUCACUCUAAAGUGUUGCGGAAUCAGCCUUUUGUUGCGAGAAUUUCGCAGCACUUUUGUACAGUAAGGUGUUUCUCCUUCUGACGAUGCACGAACCAUGCCGCGAGAGGGAAGCUAGGAACUUCAAGAUGGAAGCCAACUUUGCAGCCUGGUGAAGAUAGCUUGGUCUUGCGAAAUAAUUUCGCAGCCCUCUUGGGUGUCUGCGAAAUUUCGCAGGCACCACUUUUUUCCUGCGAAAUGGCUCCGGAAGCCUCCCGAAGCUUGCUACCGACAUUGGGAGAUAUUUUCCAUUAGAUUUUUGUUGUCUAAAUUCCAAAAUACUCCUUGUAAACCACCAAUUACAUGAUUCCUUAGUUUUUAAGUUAGUAAAAAGACCAAAUAUCUAUGUAAUAAUUAGUUUUAUAUUAGUUUGCUAUAAAUACCUCUCGGGAGCAUGUUCUCAGAGAGGAGUUCCUUCUGUAACCAUUUUGGUAAGCAAGUAAAGUCUUUUCUUUCUACUGCCUUACCUUCUCACUUUGUAUUUUCAUUUUAUUUCUAAGUUAUGAAUUCUCUGAGGAGCUUUCCCCAGAGAAUGAGUAACUAAACCUCCAAUUCCUUGGAGCUAAGGUUGCCGGGGAAGGUUCCAAGUGCAAGAAUGCAAAGCUCUGUGGUUUUAGCUAGUAAUGAAGAGGAAGUGAAAUCCUUUAGUGAUUUCAAUGUUUUUAGUUAACUUAAAACACCUUGGAGUCACCUGGGCCAACACUUGGUAAGGCAAGUGAUUUCCAACCGUGGAAAUGCACUAGUUUACCCCUUGCGAGCCUCUGGUAGGUGACUUCAAGGUAGGAUUUUCUGGAAUUACCAACACUUGGUAAGCUUUUGGACUCCUAGGAGACAUCCAUUAGUUAUCUCUUGCGAGUUUGUGAAGGGGAAUCCAAGGUUAAAGAUCACCUUGAAUGGUAAGUGCUCGUGAGAGGCAUGAACCAUUGCAAGUUGUAUCAGUGAGAGAAUUAAAGUGAAAUCUAAUUGAAGGAGUCUCUGUACAUCACCGGUUAGAGAAUUGACUAUAAGUUGAAUCUCUAAUGCGAGGAAAUGAACCAUCUGACCGGAGCUAUGUCUUUUGCAUGAGGAACCACCCCAGUGAACCUAAAUCUCCAAGGAAUGCUUUUCUUCCUAAAUUAUUCCAAACUUCUGUUAAGUUAGUUAGUUUAAGUCUAAACCUUUACCAAUCAAACUUUGUGUUUUAUUCCUUAAGCUAACCGUGAAAUGAAACAAAACCAAUUCACUUGGAAUUGGUAUCCUUGAUUGCUUGCAAAUCAUUCCCAGUGAACGAUCCUUAGAGCCACUAUACUAUAGUAGCUUUGUAUUUGCUACCCUAGUGUAUGGUGUUAUAGGUAUAAAUUUUGUUGAUCACUUCCUCAAUCAAGGAACACCAGCUGAACACAAAUCAGCUGAGACACCAAUUGGGCAUGAGUCAGUGCGUUAGAGGAUCAAGAAGAAGAAAAAGAAGGAACUGUUGGAAUUAGUAUGAGUGUGAAGAGAAAAGUAUAUAAAUAAGGGGAAGUAAAAGCAAAGUUCAAAAAGCUAUAUUUUUUUAUUGUUGGUGUAUGGUUGCAUGAUUAUCCCUAUAAAUAAUAGGAGUUUUUUGGUAUUCUACUAGUAGUUGAAGCAUAAUUUCAUAAAUUAAUAUUUAGAGCGGGGUGGGGUGAGUUGUGACAAAAUUCAUACCCGUCCCAAACCUUGGUUCAGAUUUUUAAAAUAUUCUCAAACUUAUCAUAUACCCAACUUUUAUAUUUCAUACUUGUCCUAAUAGAGGCACGUUAGGCCGGGUUACUUGAGUAACCUACAUAAUUGUCAUCCCUAGUUGAAAUACACUUUUUGGCAGUGGCCACCAACUGAGCUAGAAGCUUGAUUGAUUGACCUACAAGAUUAGUUCUCAUCAUUUUAAAAAAAGUUCUGGCUUUGGUUGUGAGUGCAAUUGAAUCUAAACUGGCAUUUGCUUAAUGCAUCUACUUCAAUCCUAAACUUCUUACUUCUUAAGCCUCAAUUGUUGUUAGGAUUUUGGAAAACCCAUUUCCUUAAAUUGUAAAUUUAAGAUAAAAUAAAAUAAAAGUGAGACAUUUCUUGAUUGAAUAUUGUUAAAGGUCCCUUGGCAUUAAGACUUGGUUGAAGCCUUGGAAGAUUAGUGGAACUCUCAACAUGUGUUUGAAUCUUGAGGAGAGUGGAUGUAAGCCAAAAUUUUGUCAAACCAUUAUACAAAUUGAGUUUGAAUCCUCAUUUCUUGAUUUCUUAUUUAUUUGCUUUUUCUUAUUAUUACUUGAAUUGUCAUUUGCAUUCAUUAAUGUUAAAAUUGGUUAUAAUUAACCAACACUAAUUCUCUUUCCCCUUCCCUUUCUUGGGUGUAAACCUAGGUUGGAUUAACUAGAUAAAUCUAUUAAGAUGGUAAAAGAAUAAUUAUUCUUAACAUACAUAAGAUCAUCUUCAAUCAAAUGACUCAUUGGCUAAUAUGUUGAAUUUGCUUAUUACUUGCAACUCAAAAUUGUGUUCUAGUUGUGUCAAGUCCCCAGUGUAUGGACAUUAAAUUUGUAGUACGUGAUGAGUAAUUAGAUGGUCCAACUCCAAGAAAGUGAUUGAAAAGUAGUUCAAGAAAGGUGCAAAAGGGAAUUGUUUUGGUAUUUUCGUUUUUAUUCUUGAAGGUGGCAGAGCUAAAAUUUGAGAAAUCAAGCAAAACAUACUGAAAUUACAUUGAAAGAAAGAAGAUGGGAGUUAAUGUCUUGCAGUACAUGAUAAGGACUUCAUGCAUGUAGUGUGACCCAUGUCUUGGACUGAUGCCAACUCACGGUUACACUUAUACCCUUGGUUCUCUCUUUACUACCUUGGCUAACCUAGAUCAGGCUAUGAGAUAGGCUCCUCACCACACCAUUACUUGCCCAUUAAUUAGAGACAUUUUCAAGCAAUGAGGUAACAUGGUGACACCAAGAGGGUCUAUUCCUCGCCCGGAACAAGUCUAGACUUGGUCUCAAAAAAAUGGAGAAAAAUGAGGUGUCGUUAUGUAGAAAUACAACAACCAUGCCUUCCUCAUUACUUAGAUUCAGAAUGUGAAGGUGAAAUUGAGAAACAGAAACUCUUGAAACCAAAAUGAAAAUUGAUACUUUUACGAAGAAUUACAACAACAUUAGAGGAAGACUACAUUCUUCCUCUUUAUUCCUACAUUUCUACACUACUUCUACUCCACUCCAUAUUUCUACAUACAUCUUUAAUCAGUCUUCCCUCCUUUAUAUAGAGCCAUCUUCACACAAAUUUCGCAAGGUAGAAAAGAGGAAUGAAACUUGGAGCAAGGUUCGACUACUGGUUGUAGCUUGUCAAGGCUGGAAGUGAACUUUUCUUGGCUUUCUGGGCAUGGGUAGUAACUUGUGGGUUCCUGUUUGGCAUAAAAAUGGCUAGAACAUGUGGCACUAUCUUGUUGGAUGAUGUGUCAAGCAUGUGGCAGCCAUCUAGUGGCGAUUAUGUCAAUUUUGGGAUGGAGAGUUGGCAUCCAAUUGCAAAGAAAUAUGACGUCUACCAACAUGCAAUGUAAACCUAUGUAGAUCAUAUGAAGAUAGAGAGGAAAAAUAUAGAAAUGGAUAUAUACCUAGAACUAGCUUUUUAUUAAAUGAAACGGAGAGACAACAAUGAAGGAAAAUAAAAUUUUUUGGCUUAUAUCAAAGAGUUCACAUUGUGUUACCCUAGGUUUUCUUAAAACUUACUUUUAUGAUAACAAAAAAGAAAAAACCAUUAUUGUUUAAUCCUUUGUUUUAAACGCAUGUAAGGUGUAAUUAAGUUAGUUCAAUGCAUUAAUUUAAGAAACUUGACCUAUCAAAAGUACAAAAUUAGAUGAAAUCCAUUUCAAUGGUUAAAAUGAUCAAAAUCAAACUUUUUCUAAGUAUUUUUUAAAAGCAUCAAUAGUGAAAGACAAUUUUAUAUUUAGUCGGAGUUUGGACAAAACUGAAAAACACACAAAAUCCAAGCGACCAUCUCUAGCUUGGAUGGUCGCUUGAUCCCACCUAGAGAUGUGCAUGAGUAAAAGGAUUUGAAAAUGGAAAUUGACUAUGUAGUCGAUCAAUUAACUUUGCAACAUCAUAUGCAAUCCUAAUUGCUAGUCAUCUAAUCAAUUAGGUAGUCAAUCAACAGGCCAAAAAUAUGUUUAUAAUGACUAUUUUGUACAAAAACCACCUGUAUAGUUAAAUAUAAUGCAUUUCAUUUAUAAAUCUUCUAAUUCUUGAAUAACGAUCCUAUCAUCCUUUGAAAGUUUUUAUUACACUUUUUUUACUUUUGUUCUAAAACUUACACAUCACCCUUAAUUGUACCAUGAGAACCUAGCUAUUUUUUAUUUUUUUUUUUGUAAUUCAUCAAAGUUAGCUUUUGUAUUCAUUGUUGUAUUAUUUUUAGUAUAACUUAGAAAGCUAGUGUUUUCAAGUGAGUAAAAUUAACUUGUAAAUAUUGUAAAGAUUCAUCGACAUGUAUCUUAAACUAAGUGUACAAGUUAAAACAUUUGCUAGUAGAUUUUCUCAAAAUUUAGAAUAGAGCUUGAGACUAUUGAAAUAGGUGGGGUUGCACCAAACCACAUCACAUCGUUGUUUGCACCUUUUUUCACUCUCUUUUACUUAGUUGCUCUAUAUUUGUUGUCUAGUAAUAUCCUAUAGGCUUGAUGGGUUAGGGAGCAUCCCUUUGUGAAAAAAUUUUAUUCAAUCCUUAGUUGUAUCACGCAUAUAUAAAAUGCCUCAUUGUUUUAAUGGUAUUCAGUCGUGGCAUCACAGAUAUGGGCAUCUAAAUUUUAAAAGUUUGAAACUUUUAUCUAAAGAAAAUAUGGUGCUUUGCCUUUUUGUAAAGCAUGUUGAUGAAAUCCAUGAGAAUUGUGUACUUGGGAAGCAACACCGAGAUGACUUUUUUUUUUUUUUUAUAAUAUUGUUUGUCCAAAUUCCCUACAAAUUAGGCCACCAGAUGUUCAUAAUUCUCCCUUCUUGAAUUUGAAAACUCGGACAAUUGGACAAUGCGACACCUAAGUCCGGUUUCUAAAUGCUAAAGUGAAAGGGUAGGUAUGGACCAUUGAAAUGUGAUCACAACUUUUCUCUGUAGCCAUGUUGUCUCUUUUUUCUUUUGCAUGAUUUUCUUACCUUAACAGAAUCAUAGACUUGUUUAGUCUCUAAAUGGGAUUAAUUUCAUCCAGCUUUAAGCUACUAUAUUAUAUCUAGGUGGAGGACUUUUAAGAGUGCAACCGACAUAGAGCACAUGGAAGUGGGUAUAUGGGACAUGAAAUUUCUUCUUAUAAAGAUUGCAUGAUUUUUAUAUUAGAGUUGUUGAGGCGCUAUGUAUUUAGCUUGUUUUGCAGUUAAAUUAAUUGGAUAAGUAGACAUUGGCGUUUCUAAAUCUACUGUGAAGUGCUUCAUGUACGUGUGAAGUAUUAGAAAUUUCUUUCUUGGCAACUUGUUUUUCUUUGCGGUCUACUGAUAGGUUUGACUAAAAUUAUAUUCCCUGUCAUGCUAAUUAAUUUUCACGUGCAUGCUCAAAAGAAAAGUAUGACCUUAGUGCACCAAAAUCACUUUGAUUAAUUUGUGAUAGGUUUUUGUGCAUCAUGACAUUAGCCUUAUUCAUUUAGAUAAUGUUUAGUUUUUAGAAAGUAUUAAGAAAAGGAAAAUAAAUAUUAAGAAAAAUAUUCUUAUAUUUGAUUGUAUUAUGAAAAAUAUCAUAAAAAAAUCAAAUAUAAUUUAAAUUAAUUAAUAAUUUAUACAUUUUCAAAUUAUUUAAUCUUUAUAUUGAAGAUAUAAUAUAAAUGAAAUGAGUUUUAAGUAUUAUAUAAAAGUGAUUUAUUGAUCUUACAUAUAUAUAUUUCUUUUUUUUUUCCUUCUAUUUUUUCUCUUUAUUUUAUUUUCCUUAUGUUUUCCUCAACAUUUUCCGGAACCAAACAUAGCCUUAGGAAAUCCACAAUUACCUUCAACUGAGUAGAUUCUGUUGUUUUAGCAAUGUUAGGCUGCUAACUUGUGUUGGUACGAACCUAUUAAGCCUAAAGAUGUAAUUAGUUAGGAUAUUCUUUUCCCUCUAGUCUUGUAGCUCCACGUGUACAGUUGGUUAGGACCUCAUUGUAUAUAAUGCUUGCCCUGUUAUUGUAGAAGACAACAAAGAUAAAUAAUAUUAACAUUUUUCCUCUCAUCUCUCUCUGUUUCCCUCUGUUUUCAUCUCCUCUCUCAUCUUGGUAUCAGAGCCUCCAUGGCUUCUUUCAAAGAAACCUCCGAAUCACCUUCUGCUAGCAUUGUUAAUGUGCAAAACCCAUUAUCUCAAUCAAACAACCUUCCUUCACCAGUAGCCACACCCUCUUUUUCUUUCUCGUCUAUGAAUCAACCUCUCACAGUGAAGCUGGAUAAUGGGAACUACCUCAUAUGGAAGAAUUAGCUUCUAAAUGUCAUCAUUGCUAACGGACUCGAUGAUUUCAUUGACGGAUCUCGACCCUGCCCUCCUCGAUUUCUCGAUCUGCAACAACAAACCCUCAAUCCAGAGUACUCAGCUUGGCAGAGAUACAAUCGACUUCUGAUGAGUUGGCUGUACGCAUCCUUGUCCAAAGAUAUAAUGGCUCAGAUUGUUGGGUAUUCAACAGCUAUGGAGAUUUGGAAUGCCCUUAAUCAGAUUUACUCUGCCUCUUCUAUGGCGCGGUUUACUGAGCUUCGCACCAAGCUUCAAACGCUCAAGAAAGAUGGACUCUCAGUUGGUGAAUAUAUUCAAAGGCUCAAAUCCAUUUGCAAUAGUCUUGCAGCAAUAGGAGAACCAGUUUCUGAGAAAGACCAUCUUAUCUAUUUGUUCAAUGGAUUAGAUUGUGAGUAUUAUUCUUUUGUUACCUCCAUUCAAAAUCGAUCUGACCAACCAACUAUUGACAAAAUCCAUAGCCUAUUGCUUAGCUAUGACUUCCGGCUUGAACAACAAAACUCUGUUUCUCUCCAUUCUGCCCAAGUCCAUAUGGCUCAUCUGAACAAGAAACCUUAUAAAUCAACUCCUCAACCUACAUUCAAUCAUAUUCACAUUCAACCUAGAUACUCUUCUCCACCUUUUAAGCCAACCACUAGUCAAUAUCAACCCAACAUUUUGGGCAAACCACAACCACAACCAUGACAGCCUCAACCUCAAUGGAAACCACAUUUUUCAAUCUAAAAUCAAAAGCCUCAGCGCCAAAUUUGUGGUAAAUUUGGACACACUGCUCUUAUUUGCUUCCAUCACACAAAUUUGAACUAUUCACCCCAACCUUCUCCUAAAUCUUUCAAUACUGUUCUCACCACAAAUUCCCAGCUCCCUAAUCCUCCAAAAUUUUCUUACCCUACAAUGGCUCAUCCUGCUGCUACGCAUAACACGGUUCCCGAUACAAAUUGGUACAUGGACUCAGGUGCUACACAUCACUUUACUCUGGACAUCAACGUGCUUGACACUGUGACACCAUUUAGUGGUUCAGAACAGGUGACAGUUGGGAAUGGUAAGCAACUCUGUAUCUCACAUCUUGGUACUGCAAAACUACCAUCUUCGUAUUCUCCUCCUGUUCUACAUCAGGUAUAUCACACUCCAAAAAUUUCAAAUAAUCUUAUUAGUGUUAAAAAAUUGUGUUCUGAUAAUAAAGUUUUUGUUGAAUUUUAUGCCACUCAUUUUCUUGUCAAGGAUCAGGUUUCGAAGAGAGUUCUCCUUUAGGGUCAACUUGAUAAUGGCUUAUACAAAGUUCAGUCGUCAUGCUCUCCUUCUGCUGUUUCCUUUCCUCCUCAAGUUUUCAUAGCCAACAUCAAGUAUCCAAAUCUGUGGCACAAGAGACUAGGCCACCCAGCUUUAUCUGUUGUUAAUCAAAUCUUGGAUUCUUGUAACAUUGCUCGAACACAGAAAAUUUGUUUUAAUUUUUUAAAUUCUUGUCAAUUAGCAAAGAGCCACAGGCUUCCUUUUUCUCUGUCUCCAUCCAUUGCAGAAAAACCUUUUGAGUUAAUUCAUACAGACCUAUGGGGUCUUUCGCUCGUUCGCUCUAUUUCUGGUGCUCUUUAUUUUUUACUUUUCAUUGAUGAUCAUACUCGUUUUACUUGGUUUUAUUUGCUCAAAACAAAAGAUGAAGCAUAUCCUACUUUUCUCAAGUUUCAAGCUCUCAUUGAAAAUCAAUUUAAUACCAAGAUUAAGGCUGUCCAAUCUGAUUGGGGAGGUGAGUUUCGAUCUCUCUCCAUACCGUUUUCAAAUAUGGGCAUUGUCUAUUGUUUAUCGUGUCCAUACACCUCACAACAGAAUGGGCGAGUUGAGCGAAAAAAUCGCCAUGCGAUUGUCCUUUCUUGCUUGCUCUAUGCCCUUAUCUUAUUGGCCUUAUGCCUUUCAAACUGCCACUUACCUUAUUAAUCGUCUCUCUACCCCUGUGCUGCAUCAUCAAUCCUCUUACUUCGCACUCUAUCACAAACUCCCAACUUAUACUCAUCUUAAGGUCUUUGGUUCCUCUUGUUUUCCGUAUUUGCACCCUUAUAAUACCCAUAAACUCCAAUACAGGUCACUAGAGUGUGCUUUUCUUGGUUACAGUUCACACCACAAAGGUUAUCUAUGUCUUGACAUUCAUUCUAGCAGGGUGUAUAUUUCUCGCCAUGUGAUUUUUAAUGAAGAUUCUUUUCCAUUCAAGAAUUUGAAAUCUUCUCUCUCUCAGUCUAUUUCUUCUUCCUCUUCUUUAUAAGUUCCUCUGUUCAUUCUCUUGCCUCCCCUUUCCCCAUCUCCUCUUAUUUCUUCAUCUAUACCUCAUUCUUUUCCCUCUUCUUCUUCUACCUCUAGUACUUGUUCCCCUCUCGUUGCUCCUACCUCUCUUCCUUCCUCUUCACACUCUGUGUCUCCAUCUAUUCCACCUCCUUCUCCACCUUCUCCGAGUGUGGACCUGCUUGCACCUUGUGUGAAUACAAAUUUACAUACUUCUUCUCGCACUCACAAUAUUCAUCCUAUGGUGACUAGAUCUAAGGUUUGUAUCUAUAAACCUAAGUUGUUGUUGAGUGUCUCCAUAGGUUCUCUCACUAAGCCUACUUCCUUUCUUCAAGCUAUUAAAGAUCCUUCAUGGAAGCAAUCCAUGGAAUUCGAGUUUGCUACCCUUCAACACAACAAGACCUGGCAUUUGGUUCCUUCACCUUCCUCAGGCGAAGUAAUCGGUUGUAAAUGGGUCUAUAAGCUAAAGCUUCAGCCUGAUGGCUAAAUUGAGAGAUACAGCCUGCUUAGUAGCUAAGGGUAUCAUCAAAUUGAAGUAUGGACUACUUCGAAACAUUCAGCCUGAUNNNNNNNNNNNNNNNNNNNNNNNNNNNNNNNNNNNNNNNNNNNNNNNNNNNNNNNNNNNNNNNNNNNNNNNNNNNNNNNNNNNNNNNNNNNNNNNNNNNNAGCUUCAGCCUGAUGGCUAAAUUGAGAGAUACAAGGCCUGCUUAGUAGCUAAGGGUUAUCAUCAAAUUGAAGGUAUUGACUACUUCGAAACAUUCAGCCUGAUUGUCAAGCUUUCUACUAUCUGUAUUGUGCUCAGUCUUACUUUUUCCCAGAAUUGGUGUAUUAGACAGCUGGAUGUUCAUAAUGCCUUCUUACAUGGUGACUUAGCUAAAGACGUUUUCAUGGAACAACUGCCUGGAUUUGUUGAUCCUCUCUAUCCUACUCAUGUCUGCAAGUUGGAUAAGUCUCUCUACUGUCUUAAAUAGUCACCUCGGGCUUGGUAUACUAAGCUGAGUACUUCUCGCUACACUUGGGAUUUGUUACUUCUAAGAAUGACUCUUCCUUAUUUAUUUGUCAUUCGUCUCAUGGGUUACUUCUUGUUCUUGUCUAUGUGGAUGAUAUAAUCGUCAUUGGGAGCCACUCUCCUCAGGUUACUCACCUUAUCCAACAGUUGCAUCAUUAGCUUUCUUUAAAGGAUCUUGGUCCUUUACAUUAUUUUCUGGGCUUGGAGGUUCAUCACACCCCUACUGGUAUUCACCUCAGCCAAGCAAAGUAUAUCACUGAUCUCCUUACCCGGGCGGCUAUGUUGGAUGCCAAGCCAUGUCCCACUCCUAUGUCCUCCAACACAUAUCUCUCUUUUCAUGAUGGAGUGGCUCUUGAAAAUGGUUCAGAUUAUCGAAGUUUUGUUGGUGCCCUUUAGUAUUGUACCAUGACACGCCCAGAUAUAGCUUUUGCAAUAAAUAAAGUGUGUCAAUUCAUGCACCAUCCCUCUAAUGUUCACUGGCAGGCUAUAAAACGUAUUCUCCGGUACUUAAAGGGCACAUCUCAUUUUGGUCUCUUCCUACAGCCUUCCUAUGACUUCAACAUCACUUGCUAUACAAAUGCCGACUGGGCUUCCUGUCCUGAUGACAAGUGUAGCACCAGUGGCUACUGCCUCUUUCUUGCCUCUAAUCUGGUUUCUUGGUCAUCUUCCAAACAAAAAGUGGUCUCCCGCUCCAGCGCCGAAUCAGAGUACCGAGGGGUAGCAAAUGGGGCUGCUGAAAUUGCUUGGACUGAAUCUCUUCUUUGUGAACUUUCCAUUACUCCCCCUCCCCUCAUUCUCUGUGACAAUAUCAGUGCCACGUACUUAGCUGCCAAUCCUAUUUUGCAUGCCCGCACCAAACAUGUGGAAAUCGACUAUCACUUUGUCACGGAACGUGUUCUUCAAUGCUCUCUUUUUGUCCAGUUUACACCUUCUGAUGAUCAACUUGCUGAUUGCAUGACCAAGCCUCUCUCCACCCAACGUUUCAUCACUCUACGCUCCAAGCUCACUGUUCUCACUAGACCAAUGAGCUUGAGGGGGGAUGUUAAGCCUAAAGAUGUAAUUAGUUAGGAUAUUCUUUUCCCUCUAGUCUUGUAGCUCCACGUGUACAGUUGGUUAGGACCUCAUUGUAUAUAAUGCCUGCCCUGUUAUUGUAGAAGACAACAGAGAUAAAUAAUAUUAACAUUUUUCCUCUCAUCUCUCUCUCUGUUUCCCUCUGUUUUCAUCUCCUCUCUCAUCUGAACCAAAUGAUCCAUGUUAACCUUGGCUUGGUUUGAUUUGGCUCUAUCUUAGAGAGCUCAAGGAUCACGUCAACUCUGGUUUCUACUAUUCAGGUCCAUUCCCAUAUGAACUGGUUCAAAUUUGAGAAAAUGGUAACAGACCUUUAGUGAUGUUGGUUUGGAGCCAGUUGCCAAACCCGCCCUGAGCUUUACCACUAAUGUCAAGGGAGAAAGCCAUUUGAACAAAAACAAUAGCUUCAAGGGACUGAAUCGUGGAUGAAAUCUGAUCCACAUUUCUUCUCAUUUUGGAAACAAAUGAGAACUUAACUAAGAAGAUUCUACGGCCUCAUAGUGCUUUUCCUGAUCUAAGGUUGGUUCGUUUCCCAAACUGUGAGAUGCACGUGCCAGACUUCAGAACUCUCACGCUCAGGAGUGUAUCCACGUGGUGGACAUAAGAUGGUGGCUUAAGAUCUGGUGUCGGUGGCUUUACUUUACUAGGAGAGUAGUGUGUCUUCAUCUCAUUCACUGCCGGAGGGUGGCGUAAGCAGUGACGCUAAGGUGGGGCACAGUCAAUAUCAUUUGCAUUUGACCAUUAUAGUUUUCUCCCGGCUUUAAAGUAACCUUAUCGUGAUAAAGGAUUACUAGCACUAGUUCAGAUGAUAGUCAUGUUAAAUUCGGACCAUGUUUGUGUCACAUUAUCAGCAACCAUGUGUUUAUGGUUCAUGCUUUCUGCAACUAAAAUUGAUAUAUAACCAGGUGAACUUCAAUCUAAAUUCUGAAAGUACUCAUGUGAUAGAUGGUGCCCGUCUGCAGAGUCCAUCAAUUGAAAAAUGGAGUGAGUGUAUCUAUAAGAGGGAAGGCUUGGAAAAUGUUCAGUUUUCUGGGAAUUCAACAAGGAUCUAAAAUAGAUUGUUUUCUUUGCUGAUUUCAAUGGUUGAAAUUUGAGAAGAUUGUGUCCACAUAACACAACUAUUACUGGUCCUUCUGUUGCAAUUUAUCCUCUAAAGCUCUAGCAUGUCUUCCAAUUCCCACUUCCCUGUUACUCCAGGAAAGCUAUUUCUGUCAUUGUGAAGAAGAAAAGAGAAUGUACAUAUCGAUGCUUUUAAGUGACUGGAGCAUUUAUAUCAGGUGGUCUGCAGCCAUAUAUGCCACUUUGUGAAGAUUGGAACAGUCAAUCACUAGGCUAUAUAUUAGUGUGGCCCAGCCACUUUAAUCAAGGACAAGUCUUCAUACUUAAAGUCAAAUUCUGCCUUUAGUCUCAUUAUAAAUUUCUGUUUAAAUAUUAAGCAAACAUUUGUUUAAUGCGAUUAAGACAGUACUAACUCAAUACCUGUUCUAUUUUUGGAUGCAAAUGCUUGAUGGUUUCAUCAUUGGAUGGGAUAAAGGUGCAUUCAUGAUUAGGAAUACUAGUAGUUAUAUUUUAAUUCUCUUUUUUCUCAAUGAGACUUGUUGGCACAAUUUUGCUGUUGAGAAACCUACCUCUCCAUGGAAAAUAAGUUGUGAUUGAUAGUACUGGAUAUAUUCAAGAAAUCUAAAUAUAGAUAGCACAAAAUAUUAUCGACAUAAAUAGCAUUAACAGCGUACGUAUGUCUCAGUGCUCAUCAGCUAUAAGCAUGGGGCAAACACUUACUAUGAGCAACUUACGUCAAAAUUCCAGAAUAGGACAUAGAAGUGACAGAUAUAGAACAUUGCAUAUGAGUCACAAGAAAGGAAAUUACGGGUGCAUAGCAGCUCUUAUUUUACAUACUACUACUCAUACUGAUCAAAGUCACUCAGUUGGGAUGGGUGGGAGUAGGAGGUUUGUGGGGUGGCUUGUGCGGAGGAGUUGGCAGCUUCUUUCCAGGACCUGGUUGCUUCUCUGCUGGAGUUGAAGGAGGCUUAAUCUUCCGAGGUGGCUUGUAUGAGUCUUCAGCAUUCUCAGCUGGAGGGUGACCAGGGUUGUGACCAUAAUGUGGUGGCUUCUCUCCCUUAGGUGGUUUGCCAACUGGGGUUGGUGGCUUGUAUGAGUCUUCAGCAUUCUCAGCAGGAGGGUGACCAGGGUUGUGACCAUAAUGUGGUGGCUUCUCUCCCUUAGGUGGUUUGCCAACUGGGGUUGGUGGCUUGUGUUCUGGGAGUGGCUUCUCCCCCUUGGGAGGUUUUUCCAAUGGGGUUGGUUUGUGUUCAGGAGGUGGCUUCUCCACUGGAGGCUUGUGUUCAGGAGGUGGCUUCUCCACCGGAGGCUUGUGUUCAGGUGGUGGCUUCUCCACCGGAGGCUUAUGCUCUGGUGGUGGCUUCUCGAAUGGGGGAUGCUUAGGAUAAUCAGCAAGUGAGGGGGCGGUGAGAACCACCAGGCCAAGCAACACCACUAGCAAAUAUGUAGGAGACAUCUUUGGGUUUGGGCUCAGAUGGUGCAAAACUAGGAGAAUUGGCUAGCCUUUUAUAGCGGAUCGUACCCAAUAAUGAAAUGACACGUGUCAUUAUGACCCAUGUGUAAUGGGGUCGAUUUGGGUCCUACAGUGUUGAAAACUUCGACAUCCACUUUUGGCCUUUUGCUUUCUCUACAGCCGCCUUGCUUUUUCCCUCUUUCCUUUUGUUUUCCUCCUGCCCCAUUCUAUCAACUAAACACAAUUAUGUAGUUGUUUAAUUCUUAAAUGAGAUAUUAUCCGUCAAUCGUAUUAUAUUUUAUCAAGAGAGAACGGAGUGCAAUGUGGCUGUAAUUUUAUCGUUUAGUUUUAUCUCUUGGACCACUGCAUUUUUGUUAAGAGGUGCAAUAAUACACGUCUUUAUCUGCCAUUCAAUAUUUACAGUAAAGAGAGGGCACAAAACUCUUCACUUCGCACCAUAAUUAUUUUGUUUUCUGGACACCCCGGGGCCCUUUGGUUGGUUUGGGGGUCAGAAAGUGAACAUCAUAGGGGGUUUUUCCCUUAUGUGCAUUUGUAUCUGAUGGCUUUAACUCGCCUUGUUACUACAAAGAAACUGUCACAGAUAGGAACUUAUUCCAGGCUGAGUAUCUCCUCAUAGACCCUAUAAAAGAAGACAAGUCAUAAUGAACAUCUAACCUUUGUUCAAUUUGAUUCAAUGCCCCCAUUGUGUCCAUCUCACAAAUCUGAAUUAUUAUAUCCAUUGAAUACAUAAAUUAAUGAAGAAAAUAUGAAACCCAAGAUACAUCUCUGCACAACCUCAACCCUGGUUGCUAUGUUUCCCUUCUAUUCACAUGAUUUGAUGCUAAUUGCCAAACUUGCAACAAGCCCUGAGUUUGACACCUAGUAUCGAUGGGCGAAUUUAAAGUCUCCUCCAAACAUAUAUUCCACAGCUUGAAGCUCACAGAAGAUGUUACAGGCAGGGAAAAACCUUCAGAGUUCGCUACCAAAGAUAAUUAUUAAGGAGAUAUCACAAAGAGAAUUCCAAGGGGUCUGAAUCAAAGACAAAUUGGUCGUUCGUGGGGGUUCUUACUUUCUUUUGGGUAUAACUCACUGAGGGCACUGUCUUUGUUAUUUGCAUUUCACAUUUAGAGUUCUGUUCUGGAAACAUAUAAAAGGAGCAUCAUUUUGUUCUUGGGUAACCCAUAGUCGUGAGUGGGUCCAUUUGCAUGCUACUUAGUUGAAAAGUUGGACCAUUUGCUCCGACGCCUACCUCCCGGAUUCCAUGCUCGGAUAAAACAAGAAUAAAAAAAAUAUUUAUAAUUUACAAAUGGGGGAAAGAAAAAAAUGUCAACAACAAACCAGGAAAAAAGAGUAGUAAAAUUCAUGUCACAUGCUAGUGAGAGAAGGGGUUGUUACACUCACUCGAAGUUCUUUCCAAAAUAUCGCAUGGUAUUUUAUUUUAUGUGUCAGCGCAGUUGUGAAUGGAACGUGCAAAAGUCCAAAUUGGCGUUUUUCCUUUUCCCGUGUAGGAUGGCGACCUUUAAUAAAUAUUUAAAACAAAAAACGAAAAAAAGGAGGGAAAAGGGAUCAGAAAAGAUAAAACAAUGUGUACAAGAGCUCAAUUAGUUUGCAAAUUACUGUUUGGAUUUUGAUAGUAUUUUAUUUGUCCAUCUAUAUUUGAUGGAAAAGAGAAUUUAAGAUAUUUCUGAAACAAAAGCAUUAGUGUAAAACUAAAUUAAGGUAUAAUUAAGUUAGUUCAAUGCAUUAAUUUAAGAAACUUGAUCUAUCCAAAGUACAAAAUUAGAUGAAAUCCAUUUCAAUGGUUAAAAUGAUCAAAAUCAAACUUUUUCUAAGUAUUUUUUAAAAGCAUCAAUAUUAAAAGACAAUUUUAUAUUUAGUCGGAGUUUGGACAAAACCAAAAAGCACACAAAAUCCAAGCGACCAUCUCUAGCUUGGAUAGUCACUUGAUCCCACCUAGAGAUGUGCAUGAGUAAAAGGAUUUGAAAAUGGAAAUUGACUAAAUAUUUAGUUGAUCAAUUAAAUUUGCAAUGUCAUAUGCAAUCCUAAUAGCUAGUCAUCUAAUCAAUUAGGUAGUCAAUCAAGUGUUUGUAAUGACUAUUUUGUACAAAAAACCACAUGUAUAGUUAAAUAUAAUGCAUUUCAUUUAUAAAUCUUCUAAUUCUUGAAUAACGAUCCUAUCAUCCUUUGAAAAUUUUUAUUACACCUUUUUUACUUUUGUUCUAAAACUUACAUAUCACCCUUAAUUGUACCAUGAGAACCUAGCUAUUUUUUUUUUUUUUGUAAUUCAUCAAAGUUAGCUUUUGUAUUCAUUGUUGUAUUAUUUUUAGUAUAACUUAGAAAGCUAGUGUUUUCAAGUGAGUAAAAUUAACUUGUAAAUAUUGUAAAGAUUCAUUGAUAUGUAUCUUAAACUAAGUGUACAAAUUAAAACAUUUGCUAGUAGAUUUUCUCAAAAUUUAGAAUAGAGCUUGAGGCUAUUGAAAUAGGUGGGGUUACACCAAACCACAUCACAUCGUUGUUUGCACCUUUUUUCACUCUCUUUUACUUAGUUUCUCUAUAUUUGUUGUCUAGUAAUAUCCUAUAGGCUUGAUGGGUUAGGGAGCAUCCCUUUGUGAAAAAAUUUCAUUCAAUUCUUAGUUGUAUUACGCAUAUAUAAAAUGCCUCAUUGUUUUAAUGGUAUUCAGUCGUGGCAUCACAGAUAUGGGCAUCUAAAUUUUAAAAGUUUGAAACUUUUGUAAAGCAUGUUGAUAAAAUCCAUGAGAGUUGUGUACUUGGGAAGCAACAUCGAGGUGACUUUAUUUUUUUUUCCUUUUAUAAUGCCACACCUAAGUCCGGUUUCUAAAUGCUAAAGUGAAAGGGUAGGUAUGGACCAUUGAAAUGUGAUCACAACUUUUGGCCUUUUCCUUUCUCUGCAGCCAUGUUGUCUCUUUUUUCUUUUGCAUGAUUUUCUUACCAAAACAGAAUCAUAGACUUGUUUAGUCUCUAAGCUACUAUAUUAUAUCUCGGUGGACUUUUAAGAGUGCAACCGACAUAGAGCACAUGCAAGUGGGCAUAUGGGACAUGAAAUUUCUUCUUACAAAGAUUGCAUGAUUUUUAUAUUAGAGUUGUUCACGUGCAAUGUAUUUAGCUUGUUUUGCAGUUAAAUUAAUUGGAUAAGUAAACAUUGGCAUUUCUAAAUCGACUGUGAAGUGCUUCAUGUACGUGUAAAGUAUUAGAAAUUUCUUUCUUGGCAACUUGUUUUUUCCUUGCCAUCUACUGGUAGGUUUGACUAAAAUUAUAUUCCCUGUCAUGCUAAUUAAUUUUCAUGUGCAUGCUCAAAAGAAGAGUAUGACCUUAGUGCACCAAAAUCACUUUGAUUAAUUUGUGAUAGGUUUUUUUGCAUCAUUUAGAUAAUGUUUAGUUCUAAGAAAAAUUUAUAUAAAAAUGGUUUAUUUAUCUUACAUAUAUAUAUAUAUAUAUAUAUUUUUUUUUUUUUCAUUUUUUUUUCUUCUAUUUUAUUUAUUUAUUUUAUUUUCCUUAUGUUUUCCUCACAUUUUCCGGAACUAAACAUAGUCUUACGAAAUCAACAAUUGCCUUCAACUGAGUAGAUUCUGUUGUUUUAGCAAUGUUAGGCUGCUAACUUGUGGUGGUACGAACCAAAUGACCCAUGUUAAUCUUGGCUUGGUUUGAUUUGGCUCUAUCUCAGAGAGCUAAAGGAUCACGUCAACUCUGGUUUCUACUAUUCAGGUCCAUUCCCAGAUGAACUGGUUCAAAUUUGAGAAAAUGGUAACAGACCUUUAGUGAUGUUGGUUUGGAGCCAGUUGCCAAACCCGCCCUGAGCUUUACCACUAAUGUCAAGGGAGAAAGCCAUUUGAACAAAAACAAUAGCUUCAAGAGACUGAAUCGUGGAUGAAAUCUGAUCCACAUUUCUUCUCAUUUUGGGAAAAAAUGAGAACUUAACUACAAAGAUUCUACUGCCUCAUUCAUAGUGCUUUUCCUGAUCCAAGGUUGGUUCGUUUCCCAAAUUGUGAGGUGCACGUGCCACUCUCACGCUCAGGAGUGUAUCCACGUGGUGGACAUCAGAUGGUGGCUUAAUAUCUGGUGUCGGUGGCUUUACUUUACUAGGAGAGUAGUGUGUCUUCAUCUCAUUCACUGCCGGAGGGUGGCGUAAGCAGUGACGCUAAGGUGGGGCACAGUCAAUAUCAUUUGCAUUUGACCAUUAUAGUUUUCUCCCGGCUUGAAAGUAACCUUAUCGUGAUAAAGGAUUACUAGCACUAGUUCAGAUGACCGUCAUGUUAAUUCGGACCAUGUUUGUGUCACAUUAUCAGCAACCAUGUGUUUAUGGUUCAUGCUAUCUGCAACUAAACUUGAUAUAUAACCAGGUGAACUUCAAUCAAAAUUCUGGAAGUACUCUUGUGAUAGAUGGUGCCUGUCUGCAGAGUCCAUCAAUUGAAAAAUGGAGUGAGUGUAUCUAUAAGAGGGAAGGCUUGGCAAAUGUUCAGUUUUCUGGGAAUUCAACAAGGAUCUAAAAUAGAUUGUUUUCUUUGCCGACUUCAAUGGUUGAAAUUUGAGAAGAUUGUGUCCACAUAUCACAACUAUUACUGGUCCUUCUGUUGCAAUUUAUCCUGUAAGGCUCUAACAUGUCUUCCAAUUCCCACUUCCCUGUUACUCCAGGAAAGCUAUUUCUGUCAUUGUGAAGAAGAAAAGAGAAUGUACAUAUCGAUGCUUUUAAGUGACUGGAGCAUUCAUAUCAGGUGGUCUGCAGCCAUAUAUGCCACUUUGUGAAGGUUGGAACAGUCAAUCACUAGGCUAUAUAUUGGUGUGGCCCAGCCACUUCAAUCAAGGACAAGUCUUCAUACUUAAAGUCAAAUUCUGCCUUUAGUCUCAUUAUAAAUUGCUGUUUAAAUAUUAAGCAAACUUUUGUUUAAUGCGAUUAAGACAGUACUAACUCAAUACUUGUUCUAUUUUUGGAUGCAAAUGCUUGAUGGUUUCAUCAUUGGAUGGGAUAAAGGUGCAUUCAUGAUUAUGAAUACUUGUAGUUAUAUUUUCAUUCUCUUUUUUCUCAAUGAGACUUGUUGGCACAAUGUUGCUGUUCAGAAACCUACCUCUCCAUGGAAAAUAAGUUGCGAUUGAUAGUACUGGAUAUGUUCAAGAAAGCUAAAUAUAGAUAGCACAAAAUAUUAUCGAUAUAAAUAGCAUUAACAGCGUACGUAUGUCUCAAUGCUCAUCAGCUAUAAGCAUGGGACAAACACUUACUAUGAGCAACUUACGUCAAAAUUCCAGAAUAGGACAUAGAAGUGACAGAUCUAUAUAUAUAGAACACUGCAUAUGAGUCACAAGAAAGGAAAUUACGGGUGCAUAGCAGCUCUUAUUUUACAUACUACUACUCAUACUGAUCAAAGUCACUCAGUUGGGAUGGGUGGGAGUAGGAGGUUUGUGGGGUGGCUUGUGCGGAGGAGUUGGCAGCUUCUUUCCAGGACCUGGUUGCUUCUCUGCUGGAGUUGAAGGAGGCUUAAUCUUCCGAGGUGGCUUGUAUGAGUCUUCAGCAUUCUCAGCUGGAGGGUGACCAGGGUUGUGACCAUAAUGUGGUGGCUUCUCUCCCUUAGGUGGUUUGCCAACUGGGGUUGGUGGCUUGUAUGAGUCUUCAGCAUUCUCAGCAGGAGGGUGACCAGGGUUGUGACCAUAAUGUGGUGGCUUCUCUCCCUUAGGUGGUUUGCCAACUGGGGUUGGUGGCUUGUGUUCUGGGAGUGGCUUCUCCCCCUUGGGAGGUUUUUCCAAUGGGGUUGGUUUGUGUUCAGGAGGUGGCUUCUCCACUGGAGGCUUGUGUUCAGGAGGUGGCUUCUCCACCGGUGGCUUGUGUUCAGGAGGUGGCUUCUCCACCGGAGGCUUAUGCUCUGGUGGUGGCUUCUCCACCGGAGGCUUAUGCUCUGGUGGUGGCUUCUUGAAUGGGGGAUGCUGAGGGUAAUCAGCAAGUGAGGGGGCGGUGAGAACCACCAGGCCAAGCAACACCACUAGCAAAUAUGUAGGAGACAUCUUUGGGUUUGGGCUCAGAUGGUGCAAAACUAGGAGAAUUGGCUAGCCUUUUAUAGCGGAUCGUACUCAAUAAUGAAAUGACACGUGUCAUUAUGACCCAUGUGUAAUGGGGUCGAUUUGGGUCCUACAGUGUUGAAAACUUCGACAUCCAGUUUUGGCCUUUUGCUUUCUCUACAGCCGCCUUGCUUUUUCCCUCUUUCCUUUUGUUUUCCUCCUGCCCCAUUCUAUCAACUAAACACAAUUAUGUAGUUGUUUAAUUCUUAAAUGAGAUAUUAUCGGUCAAUCGUAUUAUAUUUUAUCAAGAGAGAACGGAGUGCAAUGCAGCUGUAAUUUUAUCGUUUACUUUUAUCUCUUGGACCACUGCAUUUUUGUUAAGAGGUGCAAUAAUACACGUCUUUAUCUGCCAUUCAAUGUUUACAGUAAAGAGAGGGCACAAAACUCUUCACUGCUCUGCAUGUGUCCCAAAAAUGCGAUUGGACAAAUUAUGAUUUGCAUGCUAAAAAGAGGCAAAUGAGGUUAAUUCGCACCAUAAUUAUUUGGUUUUCUGGACACCAUAAAAAGAUGUUAUACAGGCAGGGAAAAACCUUCAGAGUUAGCUACCAAAGAUAAUUAUCAAGCAGAUAUCACCAAGAGAAUUCCAUAGAGUCUGAAUCAAAGACAGAUUGCUCGCUCGUGGGGGUUCUUACUUUCUUUUGGGUAUAACUCACUGAGGUCACUGUCUUUUUUAUUUGCAUUUCACAGUUAGAGUUCUGCUCUGGAAGGUUUGUUCUGGAAACAUAUAAAAGGAGCAUCAUUUUGUUCUUGGGUAACCCAUAGUCGUGAGUGGGUCCAUUUGCAUGCUACUUAGUUGAAAAGUUGGACAAUUUGCUCCGACGCCUACCUCCUGGAUUCCAUGCUCGGUAAAACAAGAAUAAAAAAAAAUAUAUAAUUUACAAAUGGGGGAAAGAAAAAAUGUCGGAAAAAAUAGUAAAAUUCAUGUCACAUGCUAGUGAGAGAAGGGGUUGUUACACUCACUCGAAGUUCUUUUCAAAAUAUCGAAUGGUAUUUUACUUUAUGUGUCAGCGCAGUUGUGAAUGGAACGUGCAAAAGUCCAAAUUGGCGUUUUUAUUUUUCCCAUGUAGGAUGGUGACCUUUAAUAAAUAUUUAAAACAAAAGACGAAAAAAAAAAGGAGGGAAAAGGGAUCACAAAAGAUAAAAUAAUGUUUACAAAAGCUCAAUUAGUUUGCAAAUUACUGUUUGGAUUUUGAUAGUAUUUUAUUUGUCGUUCUAUAUUUGAUGUAAAAGAGAAUUUAAGAUAUUUCCGAAGCAAAAGCAUUAGUUUGCUCUGUGAUGUCCCACAUCGAAUAGGGGAGAAAGUUUCUGGCGCUAUAUAUGUAGAGGCUCCUCUUAACCAAGUAGAUGCGUUUUAAAACCAUGAGGGCCCCCUUAGGUCCAAAGCGGACAAUAUCUACAUGAUUGGGUGUAAGUCAUUACAAAUGGUAUCAGAGCCGAUCCCCGACCCCGGUGUGGGGGUUUGUUUGGCCCUGUAAGGGGUGUUUGUCUGUUUGACCCCACAAUCCCAUGGGACACAACGAGGACGUUGUGUCUGCAUGGGGGGGCGUUUGUGAUGUCCCACAUCGGAUAGGGGAGAAAGUUCCUAGUGCUAUAUAUGUAGAUGUUUCUCUUAACCAAGUAGAUGCAUUUUAAAAUUGUGAGGGCCUCUUUGGGCCCAAAGCGGACAAUAUCUACAUGGUUGAGUGUAAGUCAUUACAUGCUCCAUGUCAAUUUCAGCAUUUCUCAUAUGUUUCACACAUACACAGAAGAGCAUCGUUUUUUAAAGCAUGCAUUUAUGUUGGAUUAAUUUGGAUUUUGUGGGAACUGGGGCAAGGAUCACAUGGAAGAGAGGUUGACUUUUUUCAGUACUUCAAUGGUUGAAAUAUGUGAAGGCUUGAUUGAUACUAAAGCUUGAAAUUGCGACUCUGUCAUUUGUAAAAAAAUAUGACAGCUUCCAUGCUCUCGUUUGGUUGCAUUGUCCGGUCGAGAGGUGCAAAAAGCAUUCUCUCUCUUCUAAUAGUCUUUUCGUUUAAAUCAAGGGAUUUGCCUUCCCGGUCGAGGUCCAAUAGAGGGUAACGGUCACCUACUAAACAUUAAAUGCUCCAACAACUAGUGAACUGAUCGACCCCAGCUCGACUAGUUGAGGUUACUUUUUGGUUUUCUUGUCUCCCGAGGUUAGAAACCUAUAAAUAGAGAGCUUCACUUCAUUUAUGAGUAAGAGAACACCUAAAUUUAUUUGUUUACCUACUUGUUUUUGCCAUAAAAGCUCUCAUUUCUUUUCUUGGUGUAUUAAAUCUCCAUUUGCAUAUCCUUUAGUGCACCUUUGUGAUUCAUUCUAGCCUUGAGUUGUAUUUAAGCCUUUGUUGAGCUAGGUUGAGAGUUUCAUACUUGUUUAUUGAGUGUUAAAGCCUUCAAGUGAGUUAAAACUUGAAGAGAUUGUGUAAGAGCCCAUUGGAGUCGGAAUCCAAGUGUAAAGGUGAUUAAAAGCUUGGUUGAAGCUUCAAGUUAGUGGAACUCUCACUCGGUUAUGAGCUUGAGAAGAGUGGACAUAGACAAGGCAGUGUCGAACCACUAUAAAAUCUGAGUUUGAUUUCUCUAACCUUAUCUCUUUAUAUUUGCUUCUCUUGUGCUUAAAUUUUUUGUGUUUAAAAAGAAUUUUUAAAAACUCAAUUCACCCCCUUCUUGGGAGUUUUUCUCUUUUAAGAUCAGCUUUUAUUUUCUCAAUUGGUAUCAGAACUAUGCCUCUUGUUUAAGACUUAAUCGUCUAAGAGGAAAUGGCUAAUCCAUCAAGUUCAUCUCACAUUGAAAGUUUUGCAACCAAUAGACUUCUUUUUUUUUUUUUGCGGGAACUGAUUAUCCCUAUUGGAAAACUAAAAUGACUUGGUUUUUACAAUCAAUUGAUUUAGAUGUAUGAGAUGCCAUUGAAGAUGACCUAACUUUUCCUUCAAAACUAGUUGAUGGAGUCAUGGUUCCAAAACCUAAGCAAGAAUGGGAUGAGCGUGAUUGAAGAAAUUUUCAAUUAAAUGCUAAAGUCGUUUAUACUUUGCAAUGCUCUAUGGACAGAAAUGAAUAUAAUAGAAUAUGUCAAUGCAAAUCGGUUAAAGAAAUUUGGAGAUUGCUUGAAAUAACUCAUAAAGGAACAAAUCAAGUUAAAGAGUCAAAAAUCAAUUUACUUGUUCAUAGAUAUGAAUUGUUUUUUAUGAAAGAUAAUGAAACUAUUGUUAAGAUGAUCACUAGGUUCACCAACAUUGUUAAUGGUCUUAAAGCCUUGGGAAAGACCUACAAGGAAUCCGAAAACGUGAUGAAGAUCUUGAGGUCACUUCCAUCAAAGUGGCAUACCAAGGUCACCGCAAUUUAAGAAGCAAAAGACUUGAUCAAGCUACCUUUGGAGGAGUUCAUAGGGUCAUUGAUGACAUAUGAAAUCAAUUUGGCAAAGAAGUAACAAAAAGGUGAAGACAAAAAGAAGAAGAACAUAACUCUCAAAGCUACAACUAAGGAAGAAGAAGUUGAAGAAGAAAAACAAAUUGAAGAAGAUGAAGAUUUAGCCCUCAUCACAAGAAAGUUCAACAAAUUCAUGAGGGGUGAAAGGUUUAGAAGAAGAAGGUUCACUUCUAGAAGAGACUUUUCUAAAAAGGAAUCUUCAUCUAAUGGUGACAAAAAGAGAUGGGAAGAGAAAAGAGACUUGGUGUGUUUCAAGUGCAAGAAACCGGGACACAUUAAAUAUGAUUGUCCUCUCUACAAAAGUGAAGUCAAGAGGAAAAAGAAUAAGGCAAUGAUGGCCACUUAGAGUGAAAGUGAAGAUGAAUCAUCCGAAGAAGAAAAUGAGAAAGAAGUGGCAAACAUGUGUUUCAUGGCAAUAGAUGAACUUGAUGAGGUAAAAUCUAACCUUAGUGAUUAAGAUAUACAUGAUGCAUUUGAAGAAUUGUAUGAGGAUUUUUAAAAACUUAGUUUGAAAAAUAUUUCUCUUAAAAAGAAAGUUCAACAACUUGACAAAGAACUUAGAGAAGUAAAAGAAAAAUUUUCAAAUGUUAAAGUUUCUAAAACUCAUCUUGAAAAAGAAAAUGAGAUUCUAAGAAAGAAAAAUGAAUAGUUGAACUCCUCUCUUUCAAUCUUUUCUUCUAGACAAAAAUCUUUUGAAAUGAUUCUAACUAGCUAAAAAUGUGUUUUUGACAAACAAGGGUUAAGAUUUAAAUCUUCAAAAAAUCAAAAGUAUUUUAAAAACUAUUUUGUAAAGGAAUCCACAAGUGCAAGUCCUUCCACUACUUGCAACUUUUGUGGAAGAGAAUGGCACAUUAGUAGUACGCCCUUUAAGAAAUGGUUCUCAAAAGAAUUUAAAUGCAAAAACUAAAAAAGAUUUGGAUUGAGAAAUCCAAGGUCACUAACCCUCAAGGACCCAAAAAGAUAUAGGUACCUAAAUCAACUUGAGUUUUAUGUUGUAAGGUUCAAAGAAUGAUAAGUGGUUCUUAGAUAAUGGUUGCUCAAGACACAUGACCGGAGAUGAAUCCAAGUUUGCUUUUCUUAAAAAGAAAAAUGGAGGAUAUGUUACCUUUGGAGACAAUGCAAAAGAAAGGAUGAUUGGUCAAGGCAACAUUGGUAAUGGCACAUCCUCUCUCAUUGAAAGUGUUUUAUUAGUAGAUGGUUUCAAACAUAACCUUUUAAGCAUUAGUCAAUUUUGCGACAAAGGUUUUUAAGUGAUUUUUUAAGCAUCUCAUUGCAUCAUCAAGGAUAUUCAAAAUGAUAAAACCAUUUUCAUGGGCCAUAGAUGUGAUAAUGUUUAUGCUAUAAAUAUUUCAAAAUAUGAUGGCCAUGAUAGAUGUUUUUCAAGCAUGCAUGAUCAAAGUUGGUUGUGCCAUAGGAGAUUGAGACAUGCUAACAUAGACCUCAUUUCCCAACUCAACAAAGAUGAACUUGUUAGAGGCCUUCCCAAAAUAAUUUUUUAAAAAGAUAAAGUUUGUGAAGCUUGUCAAGUGGGAAAGUAAAUCAAAAACUCUUUUAAAAACAAAAACUUCAUUUCCACAUCUAGGCCACUUGAGUUGUUGCAUAUGGAUUUAUUUGGUCCCUCUAGGACACCAAGUCUUAGAGGAAAUUCUUAUGCAUAUGCUAUUGUGGACGACUUCUCUAGAUACACAUGAGUCUUGUUUUUUAGUCAAAAGAAUAAAGUUUUUUAUGAGUUUUCAAAGUUUUGCAAUAAGAUUCAAAAUGAAAAAGGUUUUUCAAUUACUUAUAUAAGAAGUGAUCAUGGGAGAGAAUUCGAAAAUAUUGAUUUUGAAGAGUAUUGCAAUGAGCAUGGAAUUGACCACAAUUUUUUGGCUCUUAGAACUCCUCAACAAAAUGGGGUAGUUGAAAGGAAAAAUAGAACUCUUCAAAAAAUGACAAGAACCAUACUAAAUGAAAACAACUUACCAAAAUAUUUUUAGGCCAAAACGGUUAACACUUCUUGUUAUGUUUUAAAUAGAGUAUUAUUGAGGCUCAUACUUAAGAAAACUCCCUAUGAGCUUUGGAAAAACAAAAAACCCAACAUUAGUUAUUCCAAAGUCUUUGGAUGCAAUAUUUUAUAAUAAACACCAAAGACAAUCUUGGAAAAUUUGAUGCAAAAUUGGAUGUUGGAAUUUUCCUUGGUUACUCAACUUCAAGUAAAGCUUUUCGAGUUUUAACAAAAGAACCAUGGUUGUAGAGGAGUCCAUCCAUGUUAUUUUUUAUGAAUCUCCAAGAAAGAGAGAGGAUUGAUGAUGAUUUAGGUUUGAAGACCUCUAUAGGAAGAUUGCAAAUCGAAGAUAGAAGACAACAAGAAGAAAAUGGAGAGAAUCCAAAGAAAGAAGGAUCACCAUUGGCACUACCCCCUCAUCAACAAGCGCAAGGUGAAUCAAGUCAAGAGCUUCCUAAAGAAUGGAAGUUUGUCAUCAAUCACCCACAAGAUCAAAUUAUAGGCAAUCCAUCUAGUGGGGUAAGAACUAGAUCCUCUCUUAGAAAUAUUUGCAAUAAUCUAGCUUUUAUCUCUCAAAUUGAGCCUAAAAAUAUAAAUGAUGUUUUAGAUGAUGAAAAUUGGAUAAUUGCAAUGCAAGAAGAGUUAAAUCCAUUUGAAAGAAGUGGAGUAUGGGAAUUAGUACCAAGACCUUCAAAUCAAAGUGUUAUUGGAACUAGAUGGAUCUUUAGAAAUAAAAUGGAUGAAAAUAGCAUAAUUGUUAGAAAUAAAGCAAGAUUGGUAGCCCAAGGUUUUAAUCAAGAAGAAAUGAUAGAUUAUGAAGAAACCUUUGCCCCCGUAGCUAGGUUGGAAGCCAUUAGGAUGCUACUUGCCUUUGCAUGUUUUAAAGACUUUGUUUUAUAUCAAAUGGAUGUGAAAAGUGCUUUUUUAAAUGGUUUUAUAAAUGAAGAAGUAUAUGUUGAACAACCACCCGGUUUUCAAAGUUUCAACUUUCCUAACCAUGUUUUUAAACUUAAAAAGACACUUUAUGGUUUGAAACAAGCACCUAGAUCAUGGUAUGAAAAAUUGAGUAAAUUUCUUUUGAAAAAAAUGUUUUAAAAUGGGAAAAAUUGACACAACUCUUUUUAUAAAAACCAAAGAAAAUGAUAUGCUCUUAGUUCAAAUAUAUAUUGAUGAUAUCAUUUUUGGUGCUACUAAUGUCUCUCUUUAUGAAGAAUUUUCUAAGUGCAUGCAUAGUGAGUUUGAAAUGAGCAUGAUAGGAGAACUCAACUUCUUCCUUGGACUUCAAAUCAAGCAACUAAAGGAAUGAACCUUCAUCAAUCAAGCAAAGUAUAUAAGAGAUCUUCUCAAAAGGUUCAACAUGGAAGAAGCCAAAACAAUGAAGACUCUAAUGAGCUCAUCCAUUAAGCUUGAUAAGGAUGAGAAAGGUAAAUCCAUUGACUCUAUUAUGUAUAGAGGCAUGAUAGGUUCUUUGCUCUAUUUGACCACUAGUAGACCUUACAUUAUGUAUAGUGUGUGUUUGUGUACUAGAUUUCAAUCUUGUCUUAAAAAAUCUCACUUAAGUGUCGUGAAAAGAAUCCUCAAAUAUUUGAAAGGGACAAUGGACAUAGGCUUAUGGUAUCCUAAGAGUGAUAACUUUGAAUUAAUUGGUUUUUUGGAUGCUGAUUUUGUCAGUUGUAGGGUUGAAAAAUAAAACACUAGUGGCACUUUUCAUUUCUUAAGACACUUACUUGUCUCAUGGCAUAAUAAGAAGCAAAAUUUGGUAGCUUUGUCAACAGCAGAAGCUAAAUACAUAGCAACUGGUUUAUGUUGUGCACAAAUCCUUUGGAUGAAAUAAACACUUAGUGAUUUUGAUUUAUCUUUUGAGCAUAUUCCUAUUAAAUGUGAUAAUAGUAGUGCCAUAAGUAUAUCAAAAAAUCUCGUGCAACACUCUAGGACUAAGCAUAUAGAGAUUAGACAUAAUUUUCUUAGAUAUCAUACACAAAAGGAUGAUAUAACACUUGAAUUUGUAAGCAUAAAAGACCAACUUGCCGAUAUCUUUACAAAACCUCUAAGAACAUUUUGUUGAUAUUAGAGGACAAUUAGGAGUGAUUUCUUUAUGAUCUAAUGUGAUGAAUUCUUGAUGAAUAUACUUUUUGAUUGCAUGAAUUUCAUGUCAUAUAUGCAUCAUAUAGAAAUAUACUUAGAUAAUGGUCAAAUUUCGACCAAAAAUCAAAAUUCCCAUGGCAUUAGGCAUAAAAAUUUUGGAAUUUCAACUGAAAAUGGUAGGAGGAGGAUCACAAAAUGAGAAAGUAUGCAAAAAUUGAAAAAUCAAAACGUUGACCAAGCGGUCAAUCGGACUAGACCGAUCGACUAGUUUGUCGAGAUUUAGGAUUUUUAAGAGACUCCAACGCUUCAAUUUUUGCACCGUUCUCCUCUAUUUCUUCACGGUUUCUCUGAUUUUGUCUUUUAGAGACUAAUUUGAGUGCGUUUUGGAUCAAUUGAAGCAUUUUGGAUUGGAUUUUAGGAAGAUUGAAAGUUAAGGUUUCGGAUUUGGGUCGCCUUCUCUUCCUCUCGCGUGUCACAAUCAGCUUUAGCAUUGUUCUCUUUCCAUUUUCACACACCUAGGGUUUCAGUUGUGAGCAUCUCUCUCUCUUUACCAACCACUACUCCCUUGCUUCUUCCAUAUGGCUCCUAGGCGAGAGUCCGCUACUUCUAGGGCACAAGGCAAGCACCCAACUGAGUCGUCUCAGUCAAAGGCACGUCGAAAAGUGAGAUUUGACAUUGCCUUGUUCAGUUCCAUGGAGGACUACCAACUAUACAAGCAACACUUUGCUUAGAGACGAGUAGUUCCCAAGAGAAAUAUUAAUUUUCCUCAACUUCAGCAUUUCGAAUUUAAGGGUCUAUUUACUAGGAUGGUUGGUUGUCUAUUGUCACAAUUUCGGAGCCGGUUUUCCUGACCUUAGUGCGAGUUUUUUACUCGAGGGCGACUUAUGGCAUGGGUGGCAUGAUCAUUUCUACUGUUGGAGGAGUUGAGAUCUGUCUGGACCCAGAGAGCAUCUGCCAUAUUUUCGAUAUUGCUCUGGUUGGACUCAAAGUAUACAAGUCCAAAAUGUGGCCCAUUGUGCCAGGAUUUGAGCUUAGAGAGGUCAUUCAGAGGAUUUGUGAACUUCCAGACGCCCAGGAGAUGGGCAAACCAUUGCCACACAGUUUGACGGUCAUCAACAGGGUGCUACACCAUAUAUUGUGCUCUAUCUUUCUACCACGAAGUGGACAUUGAGAUGAGGUCUCUUAUUAUGAGGCAUUCCUUAUUGACUCCAUUCUAACGGAGAGACGAAUUCAUCUACUAUGUCAUCAUUCACUAAGCCUCCUCACAGUGACAUACCACCUCAUCAGGCACCUCUUGCUCCUGACCAUGCUCCAUUGAUGGAUUUAUUUACUCAUAUUAGCUCUCUAGGCACUCGCAUGAAGGAGUUUGUUGUAGUUAGUGAUACAUGGUUCUACUCCAUAGAGGAUCGCAUGGAUCAGUAUCAGACUGGCUUCACGUCACAGUUUGAGUAUCUCCAAUAGAGGAUUGAGCAUAUUGAGGAUCACUUGAGCAUGAGAAGAUGAUGGCUUUUCUAUGCUCUGUGUUUCCACCUCCACCUCGUCAACCUUGAUUUCUUAGAGACCCAUUGUUUUCAUUUUGUAAUGUUGCCAAAAGGGGGAGAUAUUUAGGAUCUAGGACUCUAUAGGAGACUUACAUGCAUAUCAUUUUCAUAUCAUUGUUUGGAUCGUACAUAUUGGAUAGUGAUACUUUUUACUUAUAUAUGAUAUGCCUAUAUGUUUCAUGUCUUACAUUGUUUCUUAUUGCAAAUUAUCUCUAACAUGUCUUGAUUAUCUUUUUUUUAACUUCAUAAAUUUUGAUUGUUAACCCAUGAUUGGUUUGAGGGGAAGAUUCUUCUUCUCCUAGAUAACCAAGGUUUGUCAUCAUAAAAAAAUUGGAGAUUGUUAGCCCAAGGGUUCUCCUAAUCAUGUUUUGAUGAUAACAAACCAUGCUUAAGUUACUAAUUGGUUUGAAUUAUAAAGAAUUUCAAGUGUUAAUUUGAAAAUUCAUCAAAGAACCUAAUGGAUGCAAGAUCAAGAUUUUUGGAAGACCUUUAAUCAUAAGAAACAUAUGUAAGAUGAAUGCAUGGGUGCACUUAAGAUUUGCAUAUCAUUUCAUGCAUAUUUGGAAAACACGGUUUAUGCUUUAAAGUUACAUUUCCAUCAAAAUUUGAGAUCCAUCAAAUGAACCUUAGGAAAAAUGUUUUAAAAUUGGCAUAUAAUUUUACCUAAAGACCUUGCCUAAGUGUUAGAAGCAAAAGGACAAAAAAAAUAUAGGUUUUCUGGUCAAAAAUGGUGAACCAGUCAAGGCAUUGUCUAAAUCAGCUCAAUCGGCCAAGGUACCGGUCGAUCGGUUUCCCUUUCCCUGUCGAGAUCUAGUCAAGAGGUACAAAAAUCACAAUCUCUGUCUCUUUCUCUCUUUGUCUAUCUUCCAGUAGUCUUUCCUUCCCGGUCGAGGGAUUUGCCUUCCCGAUUGAGGUCCGAUUGAGAGUAAUAGUCACUUGCCAAAUAUUAAAUGCUCCAACAGUUAGUGAACUGGUCGACCCCCACCUUGCCCAGUUGAGGUUACUUUUUGGUUUUCUUGGCUCCCGAUGUUAGAAACCUAUAAAUAGAGAGUUCCACUUCAUUUAUGAGCAAGAGAACACUUGCAUUUAUUUGUUUACCUACUUGUUCUUGCCUUAAAAGCUCUCAUUUCUUUUCUUGGUGCAUUAAAUCUCCAUUUUGAUAUCCUUUAGUGCACCUUUGUGAUUCAUCUUAGCCUUGAGUUGUAUUUGAGCCCUUUUUUUAGCUAGGUUGAGAGUUUCAUACUUGUUAAUUGAGUGUUAAAGCCUUCAAGUGAGUUGAAACUUGUAGAGAUUAUGUGAGAGUCGAUUGGAGCCGAAAUCCAAGUGUAAAGGUGAUUAGAAGCUUGGUUGAAGCUUCAAGUUAGUGGAAUCCUCACUCAAUUAGGAGCUUGAGGAGAGUGGACGUAGCCAAGGAAGUGUCGAACCACUAUAAAAUUUGAGUUUGAUUUCUCUAACAUUGUCUCUUUAUAUUUGUUUAUCUUGUGCUUAAAUUUAUUGUGUUUAAAAAGAAUUUUUAAAUACCCAAUUCACCCCCCUCUUGGGUGUUUUUCUCUUUUAAAAUUAGCCUUUAUUUUCUCACAAACUAUUGUAGUAUAGUGGUUUUUAGGUGUCAUCCAUUAGGAUGAAUUGUUCUCGGUAAUUAAGGCGUGAAUGAGAGGAGAAUUAAUGAUUGUGAUUAAGUAAAAUUGAUUUGAAAAUUCAUGGUGAAAAAUCAAUUUAACAAUGGUUUCUAAUUGAGAAAAACAAUGAAAUGUGAAAUAAAAUAAAAUUAAUAGGAAAUGAAAUUCUCGAAGUUAGAAUUUUCUAAAAAACAAAUUCCAUGGUGAAUGGAUGUUGAGAUCUAAUUUUCAUCAAGUUAGAUUGAAAACCGAAAUUUUCAUAUAAACUGAUUUUUUAUUUAGUUUUAGGUCUAGAUUUAAUUUCCCUUAAAAUUAGGUUAUUUAAUCCAAGAAAUCAAUUCAAAUCAUAUAUUCAAUUCAUCUUAAAUUAUCUUCCAAUUAUUCACACAAUGCAACUAUUCAAUCUCAUCAAAUCUAGCUUUUAAGAAUUUAAUGAAUCUACCUAGUUUGCAUUGUAAUAGUCAUCCAUGACAAUUUGAAGAGAAAAAUAAUUCAAUUAAUCAAUCACUUGGAUCAAAUUACCUUUGCAAUUAAAGUUCAUUUCUCUAAUUCACCACAGAUUUUGUCUCUAGAUCCUCCUUUCUCAAAGAAAAAUGAGAUUUAGCCACACAUGAUUGGAGAUUUGGUCUCAUAAGGCAUGUUUAGCUAGUGAUAAAAUGAGAGAAAAUAAAGAAAAAUAGAGAAUUCGAUUAAGAAAGAAAAUCUAAAAAAUUCUACAAUUAGAAAUGUCCAAAAAGCUUUUUCAUGAGAAAAUCAAGUUUCUAUUUAUAGGCCAAGGUCAAGUGGACACUUGACAUCAUCUAAGAGGUCUUCCGGAAGCUUCUUCAUCAAGAAAUCUGGAGUUUAAUAAUAAAAUGGUCAUUUCACAAGAGCUCAAACAAUUUCGCAUGAUUAUGUGAAAUAAAAAAUGCAACAACAGCAAUUUACAUCUUCUUGGAGCAUUUCGCAUGACUGUGUGAAAUUUUCACAUGAUCAUGUGGAAUCGACUUGACAACUCUCAUUUAGCCUACAACAUAAUUCCACCUUUUGGUCCAUUUUUCAUAGUCAUGCGAAAUGGAAAUAUUUGAUUUUUAAGUUUUCUUUUGUCAUUUCUUUCAUUUCCUUCUCUUGAUUCCACUUCAACUACCUCCGAAUCCUGGUCCAAACCAAUUGCAUUACUUCUUUCAUUAUGCAUUUGGAUCAUCAUCAACAUUAUUUGUUCUCUUCAAUUUGAUUCAUCUCUUUUGUCACCAAUUUAUCAAAAUCAUACCUUGAAAUGACUCCAAAACUUCAUAAAACUUGUUAGUAACUCUUGCAAGGGCAACAACAUAUUAAUUAAGUGUUUUAGGCAUAGUUACUACUCAAAAGAUGCGAAACUCAUGAUAAUUAUUAUAUAAAAUAUGCUCUUUUUGAGUAGUAAUCAACUUUCUUGCAUAAGCAGACCUUUUAGGGUGGAGUACUAAAGACCAAUAUGCUUGUCCUUGUUGUAAUAAAGAAACUUGCUCUUAUUGAUUGCACCAUGGGAGAAAAUUUUGCUACAUGAGUUAUCAUCAAUUUCUUCCCACCAAUCAUAGAUUUAGACGUGACAAGAGGCCUCUUAAUGGCAAGGAGGAACUGACACUCACACUUAUACAAUUAUCGGGCAUUGAUGUGUUGCAACAAUUAGAAUAACUUACACCAAUUAUGUUGGGGAAGUCACAAAAGGCAAACAUGAAAACUAAAAGGAAAAAAGAAAAAUGUUACAUAUCACCACAACUGGAAAGAAAAAAGUAUUUACUUUCAUUUGCCAUAUUGGAAAGCACUUAUUUUACAUCAUAAUAAUUUAGACAUAAUGCAUAUUGAGAAAAAUGUGUGACAAUAUAAUUGAGACAUUGUUCAGUAUUGACGAAGAAACAAGGACAACCUAAAUAGUCAUCUCGAUUUACAAGCUCUAACUAUUAGAAAUGAGAUUCACCCAAUAGAAAGCAGGACCAAAUUUAUUUUGCUUGCAACAUGCUACUCACUCACCCCAAAUGAGAUUAAGGAAUUUUGCAAGUUUUUGAAAUCAAUAAAGGUCCCCAAUGGCUAUUCUUUCAAUAUCUCUCGUUAUGUGCAACUCAAUGAAAGGAAGAUAUAUGAGCUCAAAUUGUAUGAUUGUCAUGUCCUAAUGCAACAACUUCUCUCACUUGUAGUUCGUGGAGUUCUACAUAAGAAUGUUUGUGGAGUUAUCAUAGAAUUGCGUAAUUUUUUCAAGCAAUUGUGCUCAAAGGUGUUAGAAACAAAUCACUUACACCAACUUGAGAACAAUAUUAUUGUCAUACUAUGUAAAAUGGAGCAAAUAUUUCUUCCAUCAUUCUUUGAUAUUAUGGUGCAUUUACUUGUGCAUCUAGUAAGGCAAAGGUUGCAAGACUUGUGCAAUAUUGUUGGAUGUACCUAAUUGAACGAUAUUGUUAUAAUUUCAUAUGAAUCAUUUAAUUUUAUUUUAUAUUAUGUUCAGUUCAUUAACAUGUACAUUGGUCUACAUAUGGAUGAUGAUAGGUACCUAAGCACUUUAAAGUCAUAUGUGCGUAAUAGAACUUUUCUAGAAGGUUCUAUUGUAGAAAGGUACCUUGCAAAAGAAUGUACAACAUUUUAUUCUAGGUACUUGAAUGAUGUGGAAAUAAAGUAUAAUCACAAUGAUAGAAACUUUGUUGGUUUCAACACUAGAGGAGAUGAAAGGGGUUAUCUUUAAACAUAUUGGACAUGCAUUGGGAAAGCCCAUAUUUCAUUAACUUAGUUCAAAAGAGUGGUCACAAGCACAUUUAUAUGUGUUGACAAAUUGCGAAGAUGUCAUACCAUUCAUUGAGUAAAAAAUUUAUUUGAAUUUUAAUUAAAGCUCUAGUUUAUAUCCUUAAUCAAUGUUUUUUAAAUUCACAAGGAGCACAAGCAAACCAUCAAGGCUAGACCACAUAUACGUGUUUGAGACGUAGAUUUAAUUCAUAACAAGGAAUUUAUCAAGUGGUUUGAAAGACAUGUAAGUAUAUUCCUUAUUAUAAGGGAUUUAUUUCACAUUAUGUUUAUAUUGAAUCCAAACCUAUUAUUGAAUUGUAGGUUGAACAAUUACAUAAUGAAGGUCAUAUAUCUGAACACCUUCUCACAUUAUCAUGUGUUCCAAAUUCAUUAGUUACAUGCUUCAAAUGAUAUAUUGUCAAUGGAUUUAGAUCCCACAUUAAAGAACGUGAUAAAAAAGUUUUUAAAAAAAGACUCAGAAUAAUGGAAUUGUUGUAGUUGCAAAAACGUCAAGCUUUACAAGUGCAUGUGAUAUGAGUCCAAUUAUUAGUGAUGCUCUCUACUAUGGUGUUCUAACUAAAGUUGUUGAGUUACAUUAUCUUGGUGAAAAUAAGGUUGUUUUAUUCGAGUUUGAUUGGUGGGAUGUUACAAAUAUUGGAAAAUUGAUAAAAGAUGAUGAGUACAAUUACACAUUUGUUAACUUUGCAUGAAUUCUAACCACGAACGAACGAUUUGUACUUGCAUCUCCAGCAAAGUAAGUGUUCUAUGUGAAGAAUGCGAAUGAAUCAGAUUGGCAUACUAUCAUGGAGAUGCAACCUCAAGACCUCUAUAAGAUGAACGGGAUAGGAUCCAAUGGUGAUUUUGAACCAUUUCAACAAAGUGAACUACAUGAUCACUAAUAUAUCUCAGAUUUAGUUGAUGAAGAUAUAAUCAAGUGGAACAAAAGUGAUGUUUUAGGACUAAUCAUCCUAAAAAAUAUUGUAGUUUCUUAAAAAAAAAAUGAAAAUGAAGAAGAUAAUUGAACCUUUGUCAUACUUUAAAAAGCAACUAUGCAUUGUUCAUUUUGUAUGUUUUGGUUUUCUUCAUUUAAUUUCCUGAUUUUUGUGAUUCAAUGUCAUAUUAUUGAUCUUGAAAUAUUUUUCUAAUUUUUCAUUCUACGAUGGUUUCAACAAGGAUGACAUCAAGUCAAAAAAGGAAAUGUGGUCCCACACACAAUAUUGCAUUACAGGGAUUAAGGUCAGGGAAGAAGGUAAAAGUUGCAUUUAAUGAGUACAAUCAAUUGGUUAAACAGAAAAAUGGAAAACACUUAUCGAGCUACAUAGGGACACUUGUAUCUAACCAACACAAUGUACCUCUCCAAGCUAGUGAUUGGAAAAAUGUUCCAAAUGAUGCAAAAGAGAAAGUAUGGCCUUUGUUUUGGUAUGUUGUAUUUCUCACUAUAUGAUGUCAUUUCACUGUUAUUCUAUUUUGUGACUAACGUUUGAAUCAUAUGUAAGAAAAAUUUGAAGUAGAUAAAGACUGAAAAGAUUACAUGUUGGGUAUAGCCUCAAAUAAAUAUAGAAGCUAUAAAAAUAUGAUGAAUGCAAAAUACUAUGACCCUUGGCAUAAGGAUGCAUGAGGAGAGGUUAAUACAUAAAUCACCAUUUGUCUCUGAUGUUGAUUGGAAGUGGCUUGUCUCUGAUGCAUAAACCAAAUCCCCCACUGAAUGUUUGAUAUUUGAUAGCAGGAAAAACACACCCGCAGCUAUACACCUCCAUCAUUCAGAUAAUUAUAGUGGGGGAGAUGAUUCAUGGUUGCCCUUAUACCCUUUAUUUGCACCAUCUAUUGAGAUUCUUUAUCAUGGCCAGGUUUUACUGCAGCAAUAAGAUAUGGUGGCAACAAUUUUAUCUAUAGGUGCGGUUCCAGACCGCCUCCAUAGGUGCGGUUCCUGACUGCCUCCAUAGGUGCCUCUUCUUGUAAUGUUUGUUCUGGGAAUUACACUUGAAAGCCUUAUCGUGAUAAGGGAUUACAAACACUAGUUCAGAGGACAGCCAUGUUAAACUUCCACUAUGUUUGUGUCACAUUAUCAGCAGCCUAGUGUUUAUUGGUCAUGCUAUCUGCAACUAAUAUAACCCGGUGAACUUCAAUCUAAAUUCUGAAAGUACUCAUGUGACAGAUGGUGCCUUUCAGCAGAUAUCAUCAAUUUAAAAGUAGUGUGUGUGCCUAUAGGUGGGAAGGCCUUGGCAAAUGUUCAGUAUUCCGGUAAUUCAAGAAGGAUAUAUCUAAAAUAGAUUUUCUUCUUGCCCAUUUCAAUAGUUAAAAUUUGAGAAGAUUGUGUCCACAUCACACAAAUAUUAUUGGUCCUUCUGUUGCAAUUUACCUCUGAACAUGUCUUCCAAUUCCCACGGUCCUGUUACUCCAGGAAAACUAUUUCGGUCAUAUUGAAAAAAAAAAUAUUAAAGAAGGUACACAUGCUUUUAAGUGGACUGGGGCAUUCAUAUCAGGUGGUCUGUAUCCACAUAUGCCACUUCGUGAAAGGUGGAACAGCCUAAUCACUAGGCUAUUUAGUGUGGCCCAGCCACGUUAAUCAAGCACAAGUCUUCAUACUUAAAGUCAAAUGGUGUCUUUAGUCUCAUUACACAUCGCUAUUUGAAGAUUAACUCAUCACUAGUGUAAUGCGAUUAAGACAGUCCUAACUCAAUAUUUGUUCUAGUUUUGGAUGCAAAUGCUUGCUGGUUUCAUCAUUGGAUGGGAUAAAGGUGCAAUCAGGACUAUGAAUACGUGCAGUAAUACUUCAUUCUCUUUUUUCUCAAUGAGACUUCUUGGCACAAUUUUGCUGCUCAGCAACCUACCUUUCCAUGGAAAAUCAGUUGUGACUGAUAGUAAUGGAUAUAUUCUAGAAAGCUAAACAUAGAUAGCAUUCAAUAUUAUCGAUAUAACAUUAACAGCGUAUGUCUCAAUGCUCAUCAGCUACAAGCAAUGGACAAACACUUUGAGUAACUCACAGCAGUCAAAAUUCCUAAACAGGACAGACGUGACAGAUCUAUAUAUAGAACACUGCAUAUGAGUCACAGGAAAAGAUAAUACGGGUACAUAGAAGCUCUUAUUUUACAUAUUACUCAUACUGAUCAAAGUCGCUCAGUUGGGAUGGAUGGGAGAAGGAGGUUUGAGGGGUGGCUUGUGCGGGGAAGUUGGCAGCUUCUUUCCGGGAGCUGGUUGCUUCUUUGCUGGAGUUGAAGGAGGCUUAAUCUUCCGAGGUGGCUUGUAUGAGUCUUCAGCAUUCUCAGCAGGAGGGUGACCAGGGUUGUGACCAUAAUGUGGUGGCUUCUCUCCCUUAGGUGGUUUGCCAACUGGGGUUGGUGGCUUGUUUUCUGGGAGUGGCUUCUCUCCCUUGGGUGGUUUGCCAACUGGGGUUGGUGGCUUGUGUUCUGGGAGUGGCUUCUCCCCCUUGGGAGGUUUUUCGAAUGGGGUGGGUUUGUGUCCUGGUGGUGGCUUCUCUCCCUUGGGAGGUUUACCAAUUGGGGUCGGUGGCUUGUGUUCUGGGAGGGGCUUCUCUCCCUGGGGAGGUUUAGUGGGUGGCUUGUGUUCUGGAGGUGGCUUCUCCACCGGAGGCUUAUGCUCUGGUGGUGGCUUCUCGAAGGGGGGAUGCUCAGGGUAAUCACCAAGUGAGGGGGUGGUGAGAACCACCAUGCCAAGCAACAACACUAGCAAGUAUGUAGUAGACAUCUUUGGGUUUGGACUCAGACAGUGCAAAACUACGAGAAAUCGCUAGCCCUUUAUAGCGGCUCGGACCUAAUACUGACAUAAUAUAAAAUAAAUAUUAUAUUUUAUCAAGAGAGAACAGAGUGUAAUUUUAUCAUUAAUACCGAUCGAGGCCAAAGAAAGAAGACCCAUAAUCCAUUUCCCACAAGCAUACACAAUGCAGCUGUAAUUUUAUCAUUUACUUUUAUCCCUUGGACCACUGCAUUUUUGUUGAGAGACACAAUAACACAUUUUUAUCUGUCAUUCAACAUUUACAGUAAAGAGAGGGCACAAAACGCAAUUAGAUAAAUUAUGUUUUGCCUGCUAAAAAGAGGCAAAUAACUUUAUUUGCAACAUAAUUAUUUUGGUUUCUAGUGACCCCGGGGCCUUUCGGUUGGUUUGGGAUCGGAAAAUGAACAUCAUAGGGGGGGUUGUGCCCUUAUGGGCAUAUAUAUCUGAUAGCUUCAACUGGCCUUGUUCCUAGAAAGAAAUUGCCAAAGAUAUAAACUUAUUCCAGGCUGAAAGUAGAUGAGAGUCAUAAUGAACAUCAACCUUUGUUCAGUUUGAUUCAAUGCCCCCAUAGUGUUCAUUUCACAGAUCUGAAUGAUUAUAUCCGUUGAAUACAUAAAUUAAUGAAGACAAAUAUGAAACCCAAGAUACAUCUCUGCAUAACAACCCCAACCCUGGUUGCUAUGUUUCCCUUCUUCUAUUCACAUGAGGAUACUGGUUAUAAUUGUCAAACUUGCAACAAGCCCUUUGACACCUAACGUCAAUGGACGAAUUAAAAGUCUCCUUCAAACGUCUAUUUCACAGCAUGAAGCUUAUAAAGGAUGCUGACAACCUUCAGAGUUAGCGACAAAAGAUAAUUAUCAAGGAGAGAUAGUUCCAUGAGAAUUCCAAGGAGUCUGAAUCAAAGACAAAUUGCUCACUCAAGGGUUCUUAUUUUCUUUUAGGUACAAAUCUCUUGAGUGUUGUUAAAGAAACACGUCACUGUCAUUUUGAUUUGCAUUUAACAUUUCACUUUUGUUCUGGAAGGUUUGUUCCGGAAACAUAUCAAAUGAGCAUCAUUUUCUUCUUCGGUGACACAUGGUCGCGAGUACGUGGGUCCAUUUUCAUGCCACUUAGUUGAAAAGUUGGAAAGAAAAAACAUGCCAACAAGAAGAUAGUGAGAGAAGGGGCACUUCAAGCCUUUAACAUGAACAAACAGUAAAUAAAAGAUGUUUCUCCACUCAUAAAAGUGUGUUAGAUAGCAAUAUAACGAAUCACAUCCAAAAUCUUUACUAGGCUCAAACAUAAAGAAGACUCAUUUUUAAGAAAAGAUAAAAAUGGCAUUGUCUGAUAGUAUCCAAUACACGAGAUGGCACUUAAUUUGUACAAGAUCUGUCAAUGCUGACGCACAUUUUCUGAUUAAAAAAAAACUGAUCAGUCAAAAGCAAUGAAGAGAAGUGAUGACAAUGAAUGAUGCUUCCAAUAUUUUCACCCCUUAUAGUGUUCUUCAUGAUUCAGAUAUAUAAUUGGAAAUAGAACAACCCUAUGCCAUACAUUCGUCUAAGUAUGGUGUCUAAUUUUUUGUGUCAGCGGUUGCGAAUGGAGCGUGCAAAAGUCCAAAUUGGCGUCUCUCCAUUUCCACAUAGGAAGGUGACCUUUAUUGACAAAUACCCAAUAUUUGUAGACAUUCCUUAAAUAUCAUAACUUCUUGUUGAUUUGAAAAUCAUUUUUCAACUACCAUGUUUUAAUAAAUAUUUUUUAAAAUGUAUUUUUAUCAAAGUCCACCAUGAUGGAUAAUAUUCACCAUGCAAUAAUUAAUAAAGUACAAACUAAGCGAAAUGAAAAGCAUUUUCUUUGCUUUGAGUUGAUUUUGGUUGCAUUGAGUUGAUUUUGGUUUCAUGGUUUUUUCAACUCUUAUUUUGAUUGGAAGAUGUCAAGAAAAGAAAACAUAAAGAAAAAUUAAAAGGGAAAAAAGAAGAAAAAUAAAAAAAAAUAGAUUUAAAAGUUAAUAAAUUAUUUUUUAUAUUUAUUUUAAUUCAUUUCACUUAUUUUUCUUUUACUAUAUAAAAUUUAAAUAAUUUAAAUUUUAUAAUUAAUUUAAUUACAUUUCAUUUUCUUCUAUAUUUAAAUAUUGGAAAAAUAUUUUACUUAAUAUUUUUUUCUUUAAUUUCUUUGGCAUUUUGGGAACCAAACUUAGCCUUUAAAAUAAAAAACAAAAAAAAAAUGAAAAUAAGGAGGGAAAAGUGAGAAAAGAUAAAAACAAUAUGUAAAGGAUUUGAAAAGUAUUAGUUUGUAAUUACUAUUUGGAUUUCAAUAGUAUUUUAUUUGUCUUUCUAUAUUUCAUGUAAGAGAGAAUUUAAGAUAUUCCCCAAGGCAAAGCAUUAGUUACCUGCAAUCAGUGGUGAUAAGGCUCCAAGCCAAUUUUGGGCCCCAUAUCUUAAGACAGUACAAUUUCCAUUUCAACAUUUCUGAUUUCUCAGAUGUUUCACAUACCACAGAAGAACAUUGUUUGUGAAAAUAUGCAUUUAUGUUGGAUUUUGUAUGCUGUGGGGACUGGGGCAAGGAUCAUAUGGAAGAGUGGUUGACUUUUUCUGUACUUUAACGGUUGAAAUAGGAUAAGCACGGGCAUUUGUGAGGCUUAAUUGAUUUUGAAGCCUGAAAUUGCGUUUCUGUCAUUUUGUCAAAAAAAUGGCAGAUUCCAUACUCAUAUGUUUGGCCUGUGGCCAUGUACAGAUGCCAUUUAGUGACCAGUUUGUAACUGUCAAUCGUUGCGUUUUGACUCUGCCUCAACAACAUCUGCCAUUGACGGGUUUUCAUACUUGCAAAUCAAAUAGUCUUUCGUCCCAUCAGGAAUUUCGGUUUAAAUAUUAUUAAGCAUACGUUUGGCUGACAAUCAUUAUCCAGUUCAUGAUUUGGUUUCUUACCCUUAAUCAAUGGUUUCUAAGUGAAUAUAUGUAGAAGGAAAUCCGAAGUGUAGACAGUAGUAUCGAUAACUCUCAAUAUUCUCUAUAUAAUAGAAUAAACAGCGUCAUAGUGAUCGUCGCCUACAAGCAAGGUACAAAUACCAAAACGAGUGACUCACAUAGACAUCUCCCAACAAGAUGUAGUAGUGACUGACACAUGGACACAAUUAACUCGUAGAAAAGGAUAAGACCAUUGCACAGCAGCUCUUAUUUUACAUACUACUUAUGCUAACCAAAGUCAAUUAGUUGGGAUGGGUGGGAGAUGGAGGUUUGUGCGGUGGCUUGUGGGGCGGAGUUGAUGGCUUCUUUCCAGGAGCUUCUGGCUUUUUCAUCGGAGCUGAAGGAGGCUCAAUCUUAUGAGGCGGCUUGUAUGAGUCUUCUUUACUCUCGACAGGAGGGUGGCCAGGGUUGUGAUCAUAAUGUGGUGGCUUCUCUCCCUUAGGUGGCUUGCCAACUGGGGUUGGUGGCUUGUGUUCAGGAAGUGGUUUCUCUCCCAUGGGAGGUUUAGCAAUUGGGGUUGGUGGCUUGUGUUCUGGGAGUGGCUUCUCUCCCUUGGGAGGUUUAGUAGGUGACUUGUGUUCUGGAGGUGGCUUCUCCACCGGAGGCUUGUGCUCCGGUGGUGGCUUCUUGGUUGGAGGGGGCUUGGGGUAAUCAGCAAGAGAUGGGGUGGUGAGAACCACCAGUCCAAGGAACAACACUAGCAAGUAUGUGGGAGACAUUUUUGAGUUUGGGCUGAUCAGAUGAUGCAAAACUAAAGCAUUACGUGACCUUUUAUAGCAUGUAGCUCCCAAUACCCACUAAGUAUUGUGGGGUCCAUUUGUGCCCUACGGGGUUGAAAACUUAGACAAUUGGGCAAGGACCCACCUGACUAUGGAGGACUAGUGAGGUGUGAUCAUAGCUUUAGGAUUUUUCUUCCUCUGCAGCCGUCGUGCCGUUGGCAUGAUUUUCUUAAUCUUAAAUAAAGGCAUAGUUAUAGAGUUGUUUAAUCUCUAAAUGGGAUUUUAUAUAUAUCUUCAGAUAGCCAUUAAUAUAUUUGAUGAAGAAAGAAAGACAAGUGCAUACAACAUGUAUACGACUAGCUUUCAUGGAGUUCAUUUAUGAUCAGUUUUCCUGUACAUGUAAACCAGGAUCAUAUAUAUGUUUCUGUUCCACAACUAUUUUGGAAUCUUGUUUAUCAGUUUUUAUCAUUAUAAUGUCACAUAGGCUGCCAACUUGGGCGCUAAAAGAACCAGUUGGGCUAGUUCGUUUCAGAAUUUCAAUGUGGAUUCAGGAAUUGUUUUGUAAGAUAUGCGAAAUAGUAGAGGGAUGAAUAGUGUUUCAUUAAUAAAAGUGUCCUGUAAAUUAGAAGGUGUCAUAGAAACUAUAAUCAAUAAAUAACUUUUUUUCCCCACGGGUGGUGUUUCUUGUGGGGAUCAGUGACUGGUUUAGGUUCACCCAAAAUGAGUUCAGACUAAAAUUGGUUUGAGUCAAUGCCGUGUCUCUUUUUUCCAGAAAUCAACUAUUUUAUGCAUUGAAUAAAUCAUACAAAGAAAAUAUGAACGCCCGCAAAACCUAAACCCUGGUUGCUAACUUUCUAUGUUUCAGUUCUAUUCACGCAAGAAUAUUAGUUUAAGUUUGGGAAAAAUGGCAACUUACCUAGUGAUUACUUGGUUUUGGUUUGCGACUAUUUACGCAACCAACCAUGAGUUUGACUUUAACGUCAUGGGUUGAAGCCUCCUACAGGAAGGGAGAAAGCUCCACAGCUAGCUCCAAAAGAGAAUUAUCACAUUGAUAGCUCCAGAGAUUCCCAAGGGGACUGAAUCAAAGACAAGUUCCUCACUUUUUCUUCUUUUGAGGCCAAAUAUGAACCAAGGAUCACACAACCUCAUUCAACUUCAUAAGUUUGAUUUCAUGCAGUUGAACACUGGGUGAAGGCCAUGACAAGAAUUGAUUCAAAAAUUCUAUCACUCUUUUAAGUAAUGGAAGAUUAUUAUCUCUGAUUGGCAUCACAACAGCACAUGCUCCUAGAUCUUUCUAGACACUCCAUGCAAUGAAAGCACAAUGGAUCUUGUAACGAUAGAAACUAAGCCAUGCUACAGUACUAGAUGAUGAGGUAAAACUAGUAGACACGGGUGGCAGCCUAUAUGGGAGGGACACAAGUCUAAUUGAUUUGCAUUUCAGCAUUAUAGAUAGGUAUGUUUUGGAAGAUUUGUUCUGGAAAUACCGCACCAAGUAGGAUUCUUUUUCUCUUUAGUGGGUCCACUUGCAUGCCAAUUAACGAGUUGAAAAGUAUGAGCACCUACCUCGUGCUCGUGGAACCGAAGGUCAGUGAAGUGGGGCUCCUUUUGGCCUCGUGUAAACUUGAUUCAGAAGUGAAGUUAAUAGUCUUCCAUUCAGAUGGAUACAUGGGAAUUUUUCUCUUUUAUUUAUUUAUUUAUUUUUUUUUUGUGUGUGUAUGUCAAAGGAUAAUGAAUGAAGCGCGUUAGCUUGUUUUCUGACUGGAACCGCAGAUGUCCAAAUUGGAGUUCCUUCAUUUCUUACUUAGGAUUGUUACAUGUAUAAACAAGGUAUAAGAAAUAUGCCAACGUGUCUUGAGGAGUUAUUGAUUAGAAAUAACAAGUCACCCGACUGUAGAGUUCCAAGAUUUGAAUCUUCAGACCCUAUAGCAGCCUCUGGGGUACGUGGCAUCCUAUAGCAUAUUAAUGAAGGCUUUUUCGAUUUAGACUUCACAAUACCAAUUAAUAUGUAUGCACAAAAUGGAGAUGACCCCAAAAAAAACAGAAUCGCCAUAGUUUAUGAGGUUAAGGUGAUUCUCCACUUAAUAUCUACAUUAGCUAAUUAUGUAAAUCAAAUGAACUUCUAUUUUUCCUUUUUUUUUUUGGUUUAUGUCAAAUAGUAGCCCAUAAUUAACCCAACCAUUAGCCUGUUUGAAUUGAUUUCACAUGCACAAUGUUGUAGUAGUUCAUAUUUUGAAUUUUAUUUUUACAAAGGUAGUUAAGGAAAAUGAAGUAUAAUAAUUAUAAAAGCAGACUAUAUACACUACAAUAAUUGUUAGAAUGGUAUCUCAAAUUCUAAUUUAAAAUAUUAUUUUUUGUAAAAGAAAUAUUAUAUAGAAUAUUUCCUAAUUUUAUAAAUGAUUAUAAUUAGAUCUUUAUAAAAUAAGGAAAGUUGGUAAGAAUAUCUUUAUAAAUAUUUUAGGUCAUGAGAGAAAGAAAUGGGAUAAAAAUGUGAUGAAGAGGUGAAAUAAGAGAGUUGAUUAGGAUAUAGAUGUGAAGAAGAAAGGGAUUCAAUAUAUAUAUAUCUUUCAAUUACCACAUUAAAACCCUGUGAACCUUUUAUAUGGUUUACUUUAUUUUUAUAUUCCUCCUUUAAUAUAUUUACAUUAAUGCUUCCAUUGGCACAACAAUAACGAAUUACAAAUACAAGCAACAAGUCCCAUGUUUUAUUACCAAAAGCAGGUAAAAUCCACCUAAUAUAUUACAAUAUAUUCAUCCAAUAUUUUAGACCAAUUCUUCACCAUAAAUAUCAUAAUGUGGCUUUUGUUCUUUCUUAAAUUUAAAUUGAAUUGUCUUAUAUCAAUUUGUUUGUGAUUUUUUCAUUAACUUCACUUUCAUUUGGUUAUCUUUGGUUUUUGAAAAGUAUUAAGGAAUUAAUUAACAAAAUAAUGUUAAGAAAAAUAAUUUUCUCUCUUUUGAUUUUGAUUUUGUAGUAGAAAAAUAUAAUUAAAAUUAUUUAAAAAGUAUGUAAUUUUAAAUUAUUUAAUAUUUAGAUAAAAAAAAUAAGUCUAAUGAGUUUAAAAUAACAUAUAAAAAUAAUUUAUUUAUUUUAAAUUUAUUUUUUAUUUUCCAUUAUGUUCUCUUUCUCUUUUACUUUUUCAUAUUUUUUCUUACGAAGAAUCAAACACAACCUCAUAUUAUAUGUCAAGUGUUUGUCUAUAUUUGAGCAAUGUUAGAUACGGCCAUGGAUUCAUCAAACUAAACUGAUUUUAAUAGAUACUUCACAAAUUGAUUUAUACACUAAAUCAUUGGAUAGCAAUGAUGCAUUGGAAUUAAACGUAGGAUGAAGCUCGAAGAACACUGUUUGUGUAACAACAUAUUUAUGAAAUUAUGCAAAGGAUGAGCUUCGGGGUAGUAGUACAAGGUCAUUAAUGGAGAGCCGUGUUAAACCUUGAUUGUGAUUGGAUUCCGUUAUCAGCAACAGCAACCUUGUUUGUAACCUUGAAAGUCAUUCUGUCCACAUCGAAACUCCAAUUUGACGUUUGUAAUUACCAUUCCUGGAGUGUUCCUUGAUUGAAAUUUAAAUAAUAAUUGCGGCCCACAAGGAAUAUUUUCGAUUCUGUGGGAAUUUGACAAGGUUUGUUAGAGAAGACUGGUGACAUGUUGACUUCAAUGGUUCAAAUAGGAGACGUAUGUGGAUUUGGGGGGUUUAAUUGAAACUGAGUCCCUAUGGCUUUUUAAUAUUUGCAUUGAGCAGUCUCCAUGUGACUUCCUAAUUCCCACCAACCCUCCUGUCCAUGCUGUGAAACUAAAUUGUAAUUUAUCAGCCUUUGUCAAUGGUUUCUAAAUUAAAGAUAUAGACCAUGCAUGUACUUUAAUAAAAGCAAAUCUAAAGUGUAGAUAGCAGCAAUGGUGACACCCAAUAUUCUCCAUAAAAUAGAAUUAGAAUAAGCAGUGUUACAUUGUUCAUGAUCACCUACAAGCAUACAAGAACUUCCAUGAAUAACUCAUAGCAAUUGCCAACAGGGCGUCGUAGAGACUCAUACAUAGAACACUAUCCACCCAGAGGAAAGGACAAGACCAGUGCGCUGCAGCUCUUAUUUUUCACAUGUAUACCACCACUCGUAAUAACCAAAUUCACUCAGUUGGGAUAGGUGGGAGAUGGUGGUUUGUGGGGUGGCUUGUGGGGAGGAGUUGGAGGAGGCUUUAUUUUCUGAGGCGGCUUGUAUGAGUGUGCAGGAGGAUGCCCGGGAGUGUGACCAUAAUGUGGUGGCUUCUCUCCCGUAGGUGGUUUGCCAAAUGGGCUUGGUGGCUUCUCUCCCUUAGGAGGUUUACCAAUUGGGGUUGGUGGCUUGUGUUCUGGGAGUGGUUUCUCUCCCUUGGUAGGUUUGCCAAUUGGGGUUGGCGGCUUAUGUUCUGGGAGUGGCUUCUCUCCCUUGGGAGGUUUGCUAAUUGGGGUUGGCGGCUUAUGUUCUGGGGGCGGCUUCUCUCCCUUGGGAGGUUUGCCAAUUGGAGUUGGCGGCUUAUGUUCUGGGAGUGGCUUUUCUCCCUUGGGAGGCUUGCCAAUUGGGGUUGGCGGCUUAUGUUCUGGGGGUGGCUUCUCUCCUUUAGGAGGUUUGCCAAUUGGAGUCGGCGGCUUAUGUUCUGGAAGUGGCUUUUUUCCCUUGGGAGGUUUGCCAAUUGGGGUUGGCGGCUUAUGUUCUGGGGGUGGCUUCUCUCCCUUGGGAGGUUUGCCAAUUGGAGUCGGCGGCUUAUGUUCUGGGAGUGGCUUCUCUCCCUUGGGAGGUUUUGUUGGUGGCUUGUGUUCUGGAGAUGGCUUCUCCCCUGGAGGCUUGUGCUCCGGAGGUGGCUUCUGAAAUGGCGGGGGCUUGGGGUAAUGAGCAAGAGAUGGAGUACUGGUGAGAACCACCAUUCCAAGCAACAAUACUAGCAAGCAUGUGGGAGAC
rnacentral:lncRNA from 1 species